CUGAGUCUGUCUUUAUUCUUGGCACUGACAGGAAGGAUUUGUUGGCUGACCGAAGUGAACGGGAUGGACAGUAAGGUGUCAGGAGCUCUUUCAGGUACUGUGGGCCUUGAUUAUUUAAGGCUUUGAAGGUUAGCAGGCCAAUUUUAAAAUAUAUUUGCCAUUUAAUUGGAAGUCAAUGCAGGGAGUGGAGAACAGGUGUUAUGUGGCAAGAGCGAGUUUAAUUGGUCAGUAGUCUGGCUGCUGCAUUUUGUACAGUCUGAAGGCGAUGGACUUAUUUUUCUGGGAGGCCCAAGUAAAGUACAUUGCAGUAAGACCAAGAUGAUACAAGUGCAUGGAUUAAUGUUGGCAUAUCAUCCGGUGGAAUUAAGUGUUGUAUCCUGGCUAUGUUUUUCAGAUGAAAGUUGGCAGAUUUCAUUACGGAGGAAAUAUGCUGUUUAAAUGAUAGUCCAGAGUCAAUCAGCACUCCGAGGUUUCGUACCUUAGAUAAACUGAUGAGUUCAGAGCCUCCAAGCCCCAAGUCAGUUGGGUGAUCAUGGGAUAUGUUUGUUGCCCGGGGUCCCUUCACCAAGAGUAACUCUGUUUUGUCCGGGUUCACUUUAAGCCAACUAGCAUUCAUCCAUUCUUUGAGAUAUGCUAAGCAACUGUUGAUGUGGCAUGUUGGGUCUGUGGUAUCUGGAGCAAAGGAGAAGUAGAGUUGUGUGUCAUCAGCAGAACAGUGAUACCAUAGGCCAUGUGCCUGACGAUGAUAGCAUGGGAGACAAGAUGGAUCCUUGUGGAACUCUGCAGGCCAGUUCUGUUGGUGCCGAUGAGCAUGAUCCUGAUGUUACUCUCUAUGAUCUACCAGUGAGUAGUACUCACCUAAGGUGUUUUGUCUUGACGUGGCAGGUGAGCUUACACUUUAAUGCCCAUUGGAACAUUACUAAAAACCUUCAGUUAUUUAAAUGUGUAUAGUGAUUUGGGAUUGUGCGCAAGUAACUUUUUCUUUGCUUUUAUUUUACGUAUUGGGGCAGAUAUGUACUUUAGUCGUUGCUGCCGCCUAGGAGUAACGGGCACUUGAACACAGGAUUCAAGUGCUCGUUACUCCAAUGCUGUCGCCCACCCUGUGUUUUCCCUAUUAAGAGUUAAUAAGUGUGUAGAGGUUUAGAAAAAUACCCUCUCUGUCUCAUUAGAGAUUUUACCUUUCAGCAUAAAGCAGCAAGGUGAAUUGUUAGUGUACAACUCACUGACAAGCUUUUGUCUUGACAUGGCAGGGGAGCUUACACUUUAAUAGCAACUGGAGUGAUACUAAAAAAAUCCCUCCAGUUAUUUAAAUGUGCCUAGGGAUUAGGGAUAGUGUGCAAGUAACUUUCUUUCGCAUUACAAACGCUACAUGGCUGGCUGAAAAAAACAGGGAGCAGAGGAAACAAUACUGUGCAUCAUAAGAGUGCAGCGCCUUUAUAUUGUUGUUUAAGAUGACUGUUUUUAGCAUGCUGUAACUUUACAUUAUUUGAAUAAUAGUAUACCAUCUAACCGCAGUAGACACUAGUCUUUGACUGCCUGAGAAUAAUGGUAAAAAUCUAAAGAAUAAUACCACACUGUUAUAUAGAUUAAUCAGAAAAAGUUUUUUUUUUUAUAUGUUUUACCUUUAUUUAUAAAUAUUGAUAAAUAUAUUGGCACAAGGUUGGAUGAAAGUACAAAUGUUUGUCUAGAAUAUCAAAUUAUAUCUCCACAAUUCCAUUCAAACAAAAAUUUAAACACUAGUUACAACCUCAACCAUCGCCAAAUGAGCAUACUCAGAAAAUGUGCCAAAAGACAUACAAAGAAGUUUCUUACAGAGAAAUACAAUAUAUAUACAAAACAGGCUGCUACCCCCUUAAUCAUAUCAAAUCGCAGGAAUCUAUCUUUGAGUUUGAAGGAAGGUGCACACAACGCUUCUAAUCUUUUUAAACUCUAAAGUCCUGGAAUCCCUCCAGCAAUGACAAGCAGUUCAUUAGACUAAAUUUUGUAUUUUCCACUGAUUUCUUUAAAAAAAAUUAAAAAACAAAUCCAAAAAUCCAAAUAAAAAAAUAAAAAAAUGCAGAAGUCCUAAGGCUACAAUCCUUAUAUACAGCAAUUAGUUCAAUAUCACCAGUAGGCUGAUGUAAUGUUAGGAGCUGCUUUAAACAAGAGGUCCUCAAGAACAAAUGAAGGGAUGACAGGUCCCGCACGCACAGCCCCAGAAUGCAAGGACCGCAGAGGAAUGCAAUUUAAAGUUCGGCAAACUACAGGAAAAACGGAUUGUGUUUAAUGACCUCGUUUUAAAAAAAAUCAGCUACUAGAAAUACAUCAGCCUAGUUCAUAUAGGUAUGGUGAGCUGCAGUGGUUAUGGUGCAUUGUGUCUAUUUAACUAAAAAUCUUGCAUUACUAAAGCAGCUUCCAGUUCAUAUUCCUUCAAUUCUUCUGCUCAAGUCUAUCUCUAUUGUUACCUAUACCAUCAUCUCUCACAGUCUCUUUUCCACUUUUCUUGAAUUCUCCCUUGAUCUAUACUUUUUUCUCUCUUGCUGCCCCUAUCCUCAAUUAUACAUAGACCUUUGCUCUUUCUAUACCAUUUUCUUAUUACUUAUAGUUAUAUUCUGUAUUCUUAGAUCUCCUGGUACGUGUAGGACUUCUCACCUACAGUUUUUUGCCAUUUUCUUCUAUGCCUCUCUCUGUCUUUUCCGCUAUUUUCCACCCUUACCAUUUUCGCCACUUUUUAGGGAUAGAUUUUUCUACCCAAGCCUAAUAUUAAUAUCCCAGUGCACAAUUAAUGUGUCACUUCACCAGUGUGCAACUGACAUCUAUCUUUGCUCUGUAGGUGCUGUUAUUCCCAGCCCAAAUAACCUUUCUAAUUCCCCUUAAAACUUAAAGCCCUUUAUACUCCGUUUGAUAUCCACGUUGCUAAACCGGACUGAACUCUUACUCCAUUGCCACUUGUUGCUGACUUGGACUGGACUUAACUUUUCUAUUUUCCCUUUGAAUUUAUUCUUUAUUGCCAGACUGGAUUGGACUUUUACUAUUCUCUAGGAUUUUCCCUCUGCUUCGGUUACCUGAUGCCAACCCGGACUGGAUCUGACACUUCUUCUGGAUUCCCCUUUUGGACUGAUUAAUUGCUGCCAGACCGGAUUGGACUUUAACCUUGCUUUUGGAUCACCCAUUCUAUUGCCUCACUGCUAACGACCUGGAUUGGACUUUACUACUCUUCUGGAUUCUCCCAAAUAAAUUGGAUUAUCACCUAAGUUCCAUUUUAGUAGUAAACUUCAUCAUGGCAACGAUACAAUUUCUCCAAGCCUGUCAUCUUAAACCAGUGAGCAGUCUUUAUUUUUAAUCUAUUUGGCAAGUUGUUUAAAAAUAUUACAGUGUAAGAGCAGUGCGUGUGUGUGUGUGUGCAAGAGCCGGUGUGUAUGUGUAAGAACCAGUGUGUAUGUGUAAGAACCAGUGUGUGAACUUCUGUGUGUGUGUGUAAGAACCAGCGUGUGAGUGAGUGUGUGUGUUCCUUUCCUAUGUAUUGAUGUUUACACAUACAUACACAAACAUACACACAUACACACACACACACACACUACAGAGAGGAGUAAGAAAUUCAGAGGGGGGAGAGAUACACAAAGGGGGGGAAGAGAACAAAGGUGACAAAAGAGAUAAGAUACAUUAAAGGGAGAAAUACAUUCAGAAGCGGAACAAAAGCCAUAAGGGGGUUUAGAGGCCACAAAAGGUGGGAUUUUCAAAAGCAUGAAAAUAAUGACAAACAGGGUAUCCAAUUUAAAAAAAAGGAAAACCUAAAACAAAAAUGCAAGAUGCACAAACAGGCAAAAGUAUAGGUAAGAUGGGCAAAAGUAGGGUUAGUAGACAUACAGGUGUAGGUGAAUUUUGGGGGGGGUGUCAAAAUGCGUCUUCACCUGUGCAGAAAAAAAUCCUUGCAGCCGCACUGCUUGAUCCUGUGAAGGAGCAUGAAGGCGCGCAACGCCACACUGAUGUCGACAUGCUCCACCUUCCUUUAAUGUUUCUAGGCAACUAAAGGAUCUGCUCUGACACAGGGUGCGGGCGAUGGAGCUUUGAGGCCAGAGUCUGUCAGCAGCAGGAAGCAACAAGCAAACCUUCAUCAAUUGUGAGUGGAGAGUCUGCUUGCUUAAUUUUUUUAUUUUUUUUAAUGGAUACUACUGUAGAGGGGGGUGACAGGGGUUUGUAAAAGAGGGUGACGUGUUUUGUAGAAGUUGGACCAGGAUUGUGUAAAUAGAGUGGACAGGGGUUUUGUAGAAGGUGGGAUGGGUUUAGUAGAAGGGGGCAGGGGUUUAGUGGAAGAGGGCAGGGUUUUCGUAGAAGGGGGUGACAGAGGUUUUGUUGAAGGGGAUGACAAGGGAUUUUUUUUUUUUUUUUUUUAGAUUAAUUCAAUGCGACACGUGCAGUAGUCACAAUAAGGCUUUUACUGUAUGUAAGAAAAGGUGUGUGUGUUUUUUUUUUUAGUAGGUAGCUGGUCAUUUAAAAAGUAGAUCAUGACACUAAAAAGCAUGGUUACCCCCUGGUCUACAGCAGGUCCCUACAUGCUUUUUAAUGUAAAUGCUGCCUUUUAAGAGAAAAGGUAGUGUUUACAUUGGUGCCUAGCAACACCUUUAGUGUCACUGAGACGGCUACUGGAGGCCCUCCCUAUCUCAGUGCUGCACACUGGCAUUUAGCAUCUCAAUGAUCUGCAUAGAGGCUCCAAAUGUUUCCCACAGAGAUGCGUUGAUUCAACGCAUCUCCAUGAGGAGAUGCUGAUUGGCACAGUGCUGCAUUUUGCUGUCCAUUCCUAUGGGAAAGCAUUGGAUUGGUUGAAACCAUUGAGAUUGAUAAUAUAAGCCAUGAAAGCAGAGCCAGCCAAGGCGAGACCAGCGCUGUUUGGGGAAAAAAGGGGAGUCAGGAAUAUGUUAAUACAUGAAGACUAGAACAAAAACGUCAUGGGCAUUUAACUUAUGCAGAGAAUGAAUAAACUCUAAGUGUGACACACCAGAUGUUUUAUGCAAUACAUCAGUUUAUUUUAUUAAAUAUUUUAUUAUUAUUUUUUUAUUUAUUUUUUUUUGUGGCCAUGAACAUACCAUAUAUUUUUAGAAUGAAAGUAAACACUACCUUUCUCUUAAAAAUUCAUUGACAGACACACACAGUCACUGAUUUGACACCCCCCCCUCCAUUGUCUGGCCUCACAUGGUGACAUGGUGUAAUUGAACCCCAAUGUUUGUUUGCUGAGACUGUAUUUUAUAUAUAUAUAUUGGUCUUUACAGCAGCCCAAUUCACUUUUUUUUUCUGUGUAGAUUUGGAAUCCAUACCAGAUUCCUAUUUGGUUGAGCACCCCACCCAUCCACUAUAGGUGCCCCUUCGGAGGUGACAACAGGAAAGCAAAUUAAAGAGCGUCUCUAAAGAAGCAUGCUAAUCUCCCAAGUUAAAAUUAGUGUAGAACCCACCAGUAUUGGUGUAACCGCUGGUGGUUCCCUUAUUUACCACUAUAAUGUCUUAAAGCGUAGAACUUAGUAGGGCUAACCAUACAGAUAUCUUAGCCAUAAUUGUAUAUAGUUAGUAAGAGAUCCUCUAUUUAACAAAUAUAAAUAAUUGAGAACACAAUAUAAAAUAAGGAUUGUCUUGGAAGCAAUAGUUUUGUCUUUUGGAUAUUUAUUAUAUAAAAAUAUAAAAUCCAUUAUAGCAGAGUUUAUAAGAUUAAAUGACAUGCUUGCAAAUAUCAUUAAUAGGUUAACAUACCCUUCUGAACAUGUCAUCAUGUCAGCCUCUCUGUCAUUUUAAGAUGGAGCAGCGUCUGUCUCCAAGUCUCUCCUCUGUGUCUUAACAUUUAAAAGUACACCUAUUUAUACCUUAGGUGUCUCCAUUUUAGAGUUACCGUAGUUCAAAUAUGAAAAGUAACACUUCUUUUACUUUAUUCAUUUUAGGACCUCCCUUAACUUGGCAAACAUACAAGGCCAUAACUAAAGGGUGCAAACGUCAUGGAAAUUUUCCUGACUUAGUUCAAGAUGGCAUCUUAAAGUCUGAAUAGAUUAUCUGUUGUUUAUACUAAGUCGUAAGUGUACAGUCGUGGGAGAUUCCCGGAUUUGGGGAAGUUCCAUUAACUUGGGGUUACCACAGUAUAUUGUGUACUGAAAGAGUCCUAGCAUAGCCUUGAAGCUUGUUUAUGCAUUAUUGUUAUUGUAAUUCAUCUGGGACAAAAUGGCCGAAACACAUGCACUCAGCUUAUUGCUUAAAGAAACAGUUAUGAAAAACAAUAUGUUCUGUAACAGACCGUUUUGCACAAAAGGGAAAAAAAACGCUUAGACGAUAAUCCCCUUUCAGAGACAGGCACAGCUACUGUAGAAUCACCAAAACUCACGAACUGAAUACAAGUGAAUGCUCCAAACUCCUGAACGGCAUACAAGGGAAUGCUCCAAACACUCGAACUGCAUACAAGGGAAUGGUCCAAACACUCGAACUGCAUACAAGUGAAUGCUCCAAACUCCCGAACGGCAUACAAGGGAAUAAGGUAGCACUCCAAAUACACGAACAGGAACCAUACGAAUUGCUGCUACCAGACGAACAGGAAAAGCUCCCAAGCGGCUUACACUCCUGGCAAUCAGUCCUUAGCAGCAUACAGUAAAUCCCCCCCCAAAGACGAGACAGAGCUCCGUGUUGAGGGUCAAGCAGUGGUCUGUUUAAUGAGGGCUACCUGCCCAGUAUUUAUGCAGGUCUCUCACCUGGUGGACACUCCCCUAGAGAACCAAAUGGGAGACUGUGACAAAAGACAGACAAGUAGACAAAUAGGACACACAGUCACAAUAUAUUCCCACAAUGCAUCCUGGCUUCCUUCCCUCUGCCCUGGGAGAUAAUUGGGAAGUAAUUAAAUUAUCUCCCAAGACAAAGGCAAAACUUCAUUACACAUGUGGGGAUACAAAACCAGUAUUAUACUUUAAAAUACAUAAAGUAACAUUUAUUACAUAAAACACAGACAUGUAACAUAUCCCCAGAUAGCUCAGGUCUGAGCGCACAUUAUUAAGCGAAUGGCGCUCAGACCACACGAAUACCAGUUUAAUCGCCAUGGAGCCAAAGUCUUUACAGUCAGUUUCAUACGAAUGGGCUCCAUGGGAUUCCUAUCUGGGGUAUAACACAUUCAACCAAAACUACCAAACACCGGGCCGUUCGUGCACUUCCACCGAACAAGAAGGGAGGUCGGCGGCUUCAGCGGUGUUCGCGCAAAACUGUGUCCGAUUUUAGUUCCAUGAAAAUAGAGGCGAACACCGCUGUGCAUUCGUAUGUUUAAAAUGGCCGCGACCUCGUGUUCGGGAUACGAAUGGCGGCCACCCAGCAUUCGUCAAUUAAGCUGCGGUUAACCGCAGCUUCAGGUAGGUUAAUUGCCGGCACACUCCAGCUCCCAGGUGGUCUUUUCAUUCGUGCAGUUGUUCGGUAGAUUGAAUCUACCGAACAACUGGCAGAAAAGCACAAAUACAGCUUUUCUCCAGGCGAAAUAAAGUCUUUUAAAAGGGGGCCAUAGUCCAGAGGCAGCAGGCGAGCAACCAGGCUUCUCCAAUGCAAUGUGGCAGAUUCUUUCAGCUCCUUCUCUUUUGUGAAGUAUUGACAUUUCUGUGUUUCAAAUAAAGACUGCCUUUUAAAAAGAAACCAUCAGGUGUGACCGGAUACUUGUAUUUACCUCCCCCCUCCCCUAUUAAUAUAACCGUUGUCAACAGCCAUCAUUCAGUACCACCCAUUCCAUUUACAUAGUAUAGUCAUUGCUACAUAGUCCCAGCCAACCUUCUCCAUGAAAACAAAAGGGCACAUUUUUCUUAGAUAUUGCCCCAAACACUCUCUCUAUAUUUACAAAGGCGUUUUAUUCCAUCCAUUGUCCCCAUCACCCUCUGUGUUAUUGUCACUCCCAGGGGCGGACUGACCACUCGGCACUUCGGUCAUAGACCGAGGGCCCGAGACAGUCAGGGGCCCGGCCGCACAGUAAUGCUCCAGCUGGAGAGAUCAGAGAUCUCUCCAACUGGAACCAAAAAAUAAUAAAAUAAAACUAUUUAAUUGAUAGGUUGUGGGGCCCCUGAUGGAGAGCGGGGCCCCCACAACCUACCGCUCUGCAAGUCACCCCUUCCCCUCCCCUCCCCUCCCAUGAGACCUGGCAGUUUUACCAGCUCUCUGCCAGGUCUCCUUCUCCCUGUCCCGCGGUGCUCUGUGUGUGAUGGGGAGAGGCGGGGCCAGGAAGUGACAGCACUUCCUGUGUACUCCUCUCACACAGAGCCCAACAGCGGGAAGGAGCAGCAGCCAGGGACAGAAGAGGAAGCAGAGAGACAGGUAGGAUAUAGUCACCCCCCCCACUGUGUCACUAUUCACCCCCCACUGUCACUAAUCACCCCCCCGUCACUCGUUACCCCCACUGUCACUAAUCACCCCCCGUCACUAGUCACUGUCACUAGUCCCCAAUGUCACUAGUCACCCCCUACUAGUCACCCCCUACUGAUGUCACUAGUCACCCCGUCACUAGUCACCCCCCGUCACUAGUCACUCCCCGUCACUAGUCCUCCCCGUCAGUAGUCACCCCCACUGACUCACUGUGUCACUAGUCACUCCCCACUACUAGUCACCCCCGUCACUAGUCACCCCCCGUGUCACUAGUCACCCCCGUGUCACUAAUCACCCCCUCACUGUCACUAGUCACCCCCCACUGUCACUAGUCACCCCCCGUCACUAAUCACCCCCCCACUGUCACUAGUCACCCCCCGUCACUAAUCACCCCCCUGUCACUAGUCACCCCCCUGUCACUAGUCACUAGUCUCACUCUGUCACUAGUCACCCACUCACUCUAGUGACAGAGUGAGGGAGAGGGUGACUAGUGACAGAGGGAGGGGGUGACUAGUGACAGAGUGAGGGUGGGGAUGACUAGUGACAGAGUUAAGGAGGGAGUGACUAGUGACAGAGGGAGGGGGUGACUAGUGACAGAGUGAGGGGAUGACUAGUGACAGAGUUAGGGAGGGAGUGACUAGUGACAGAGGGAGGGGGUGACUAGUGACAGAGUGAGGGGAUGACUAGUGACAGAGUUAGGGAGGGUGUGACUAGUGACAGUCACCACCUCCCUCACUCUGUCACUAGUCACCAUCUCCCUCACUCUGUCACUAGUCACCCCCUCCCUCAUUCUGUCACUAGUCACCCCCUCUGUCACUAGUCACCCCUCCCUCACUCUGUCGCUAGUCACCCAUUUUCUCCCUCACUCUGUCAGUAAUCACCCCCUCACUCUGUCACUAGUCACCCUCUCCCUCACUCUGACACUAGAGUGAGGGGAUGACUGGUGACAGAGUGAGGGAAGGGGUGACUAGUGGCAGAGUGAGGGAAGGAAGGGGUUACUGGUGACAGAGUGAGCGGAUGACUGGUGACAGAGUGAGGGGAUGACUGGUGACAGUGAGAGAGGGGGUGACUAGUGACAGUAAGGGAUGGAGGGGGUGACAAGUGACAGAAGGAGGGACGGAGUAGUGUCAGAGGGAGGUGGUGACUAGUGACAGAGUGAGGGAGGUAGUGACUAGUGACAGUCACCACCUCCCUCACUCUGUCACUAGUCACCCCUUCCUUUCCUCACUCUUCCACUAGUCACAGAGUGAGGGAGGGUGUGACUAGUGACAGAGUGAGGGAGGGGGUGACUAGUGACAGAGUGAGGGAGGGAAGUAGUGACUAGUGACAGAGUUAGGGAGGGAAGGGGUGACUAGUGACAGAGUGAGGAAGGGGGUGACUAGUGACAGAGGGAGGGGUGACUAGGGACAGAGUGAGGGAGGUGGUGACUAGUGACAGUCAUCACCUCCCUCACUCUGUCACUGUGUCACCCCCUCCCUCUGUCACUAGUCACCCACUCCCUCCCUCACUAUGUCACCAGUCAUCCCCUCACUCUGUCACCAGUCACCCCUUCCUUCCCUCACUCUGCCACUAGUCACCCCUUCCCUCACUCUGUCACCUGUCACCCCCUCACUCUGUCACUAGUCACCCCCUCACUCUAGUGACAGUGAGGGAGAGUGUGACUAGUGACAGAGAGAGGGACGAUGUGACUAGUGACAGUGAGGAAGGGGGUGACUAGUGACAGAGUGAGGGAGGGUGUGACUAGUGACAGAGUGAGGGAGGGGGUGAUUAGUGACAGAGGGAGGGAUGGGGUGACUAGUGACAGUCACCACCUCCUUCACUCUGUCACUAGUCACCCACUCCCUCCCUCACUCUGUCACUAGUCACCCCCUCUCUCACUCUGUCACUAGUCACCCCCUCUCUCACUCUGUCACCAGUCAUCCCUUCCUUCCCUCACUCUGCCACUAGUCAUCCCUUCCCUCACUCUGUCACCAGUCAUCCCCUCACUCUGUCACCAGUCACCCUUUCCUUCCCUCACAGUGACAGUUAGGGAGGGAGUGACUAGGGACAGAGGGGGUGAUUAGUGACAGAGUAAGGGAGGGGGUGACUAGUGACAGAGUGAGGGAGGGCGUUACACAGUGACAGAGUGAGGGGGUGACUAGUGACAGAGUGAGGGAGCGGGUGACACAGUGACAGAGUUAGGGAGGCAGUGACAAGUGACAGAGAGAGGGAUGGGGUGACUAGUGACAGUCACCCCCUCCCUCCCUCUGUCACUAGUCACCCCCUCCCUCUGUCACUAGUCACUCCCUCACUCUGUCACUAGUCACUCCCUCACUAGUCACUCUGUCACAAGUCAUCCCCUCACUCUGUCACCAGUCAUCCCUUCCCUCCCUCACUUUGCCACUAGUCAUCUCUUCCCUCCCUCACUCUGCCACUAGUUACCCAUUCCCUCACUCUGUCACUAGUCACCCCCUCUCCCUCCCUCUGUCACUAGUCACCCACUCCCGCACUCUGUCACCAGUCACCCCCCCUCACUGUGUCUACCCCCUCACUCUGCCACCACUCAACCACCCCCUCCCUCACUCUGCCACCAGGUACCCCCUCACUCUGCCACCUGUCACAACCUCCCACACUCUUCCACCUGUCACCUUCUUCCUCACACACUCUGUCACCUGUCACAUAUGCAUUCACACUGACACUAUAUACAAAAAAAGCUCAUGUAGUUAUCCAGACAUGCACAAGUGCAUUCACACAGACUCAAAUACAAACAUGCAUUGAUACACAGGUCUUCACAAUAUACACAUCCAAAGGAAUGCCGUAUUAUGAGUUAUAUUUAACAUUUAUUUAAUGCACAUAUAUUUGGCCUUCAAAGGGCCUGGGAUCUAAUUUUGCCCGGGGGCCCCAAAGGCUCUCAGUCCGCCCCUGGUCACUCCCUUCAUUUACAUCCCCAUAUUACUCAUUACUAGACUCCAUUAUCCCCAUGAUUACCCAUCCCUUGUAACAUAACCCGCAUACCUAUAUUCAAAUGUUUGGAGUGGUUGUAUUGCUUGGAAUGCGGAAUCACAGUACAGUGAAUCAGAAAGAAAGACACCCGCUGGUCUUAUUUUACUUUUUUUUUUUUUCUUUAGAAGAAAUCAGAAUGUUACAGGGCCUUGGGCAUGUUUGUGAUCACUAUUCAUUCUUCACAUAGGGAGGGUGAAUGGAGAAAAUAAAUGAAUGGUUCUUUGCCACUUGCUAACCCCUGGUCACUAGGUGUCCAUCUAAGGUUACCUAAUGGGUAAUUUUGCUCUGGAACACACAUGCAAAAAUGUGGCAGCACAAGGGGCAAUAAACCUGAAUUUUCAAUAGUGCAGUAAAAACCCCAUGAGUUGGCUCUUAUUGAAGCUGGUUUAUAAGGUAAACACUCACCUCUUCCAUUCUCUAAAUCCCAUCCAAGCUGUGUAGUGUCUGACCGAGAUUGGUUAAUCUGGGCUUGGUAGCAUGGAGGUGGAAAAGAUGCUAAUUAGAAAAUAAAAAACAAAUAGAAUAAAAAUAAAGCAUACAUUUACAGGGUGCCCAAAAGAGUUAAAGUAUUGUCUGAGGAAAUGGACCCAGCAAACAAUGCAAGUCCACAGUCACAUUUGUGAAAUUAUUUAAACUUUAUCUGCAUCAUUGUGUGUCCCCUGGUGCUGUUUACCACCACUCUACAGACCCUAUUUAUAACAACACACACACACAUUAAUACACACAAUAUCUGCUCUCCACAUAAAGCCCCUGGGACCGCGGUCUCUCUACCGGCCAUACAGGGAUGCUGGGCAGUCGGCCCAGAUCUCCAGCGGCAGUGUGUUUCACUGGGAGCGAAGAGCAGCUUCCUCCCUCCCCAGCGGCAGAGUGUCCUACAGGGAGCAGAGACAGUCGGUCUCUCUUCCCAGCGACAGGACAAAUUAUGGAAAGGGGAGACAGUCAGUCUCCCUCUUCAACAGCAGAGAGAUUGUCAGGGAGGGGAGCCUGUUUCCCCCUCUCCCCAGAGGCAGUGUCCUAUACUAGGAGGGGAGAGCCUCAUUCCCCCUCCCCAGCAGCAACUUAUUACACAAAGGGGAGACAAUACACUAUCCACCGGUGCAGAUGGGACCGUGGUCUCCACGCCCAAACUACAGGGAGUGGGGACAGUCGGUCCUACUCCCCAGCAGGAGAGUGUCCUACAGGGAGCAGAGACAGUCACUCCCCAGCAGCAGGACAAUGUAUUGGGAGUGGAGACCAUCAGUUCCCCUCCCCAGCGGCAGUAUAUGGUUCAGGGAGAAGAGCCUGUUACCACCUCUCCCCAGCGGCAGCUUAUUAACCAAAGGGGAGACCCUAGUCUCCCAGAUGACACAGACGGUGAGUGACCUCUGUACCUGAACCACAGGGAUGCAGGGCAGCCUGGCCAGACCACCAGCAGCAGGACCAUUUAUUGGAAGAGGAGACAGUUGGUCUCCCCCUCCCACCACAGCACCGGUUCCAGGGAGAGGAGCAUACUACCCCCUCUGCCCAGCUAAGGCACCAACCAGGCUACUCCAGCUGAAGCGCUGGCACCAGGGCAGAGUACCGCGGUCUCUGCCCACUCAGCAACCCAGAGUGCCAGUACCCCACACAGCCGUGGGGGAGCCCCUGGACAAAGGCAAGCUACACAUUACCCCGGGUGCAGUAACUAUUUAUUGUGGGUGGGCUGUUGGGCUGCUGAUUAUGUUUUGUGGGUGGGUUGCUGGACUAACCAAGGCACUGACCGACAGUCUUGUUAGUCUUGUUGGGAAAGGGGAGAAGAGUGGUGGGACCAACCUCAUCACUGGGCAUUGGAGAAGCCUGUUUGCCCGCCUCCUGCCUUCUGACUAUGGCCCCUGUGAGACGUUGCCCUGUGUAAGCAUUAUUUGGGCUUACUGGAUUUUGAAACACUUUUUCUGCCCCUUUGAAAACAUGAGAAGGUGUGCCCCUCCCCCGUUUCCUGUCUAUUGUUCUCCAGCAGGGCGUUGUCCCAGGGAUACUGCCAGACCAGUUGGAACUUAUUGCUAAACUUUAACCCCAUGGUGAUUUGACUGUGUUUGUGGGAUCUGAGCGCUGUUCGGAUAUAGUGAGCAUUAAGAUCCAAGCUAUCUGGGGAUAGGUUGAAUGUGGGGGUUCUGUUCAGUAUGAUAGGAAUGAUGUAUUAUUGUGUGUUUUUGCGGUUGUUGUAAAUGGAGAUAUUUUCUGAAUGCUGGAGAUAGUUGGCUUACUACACCCAAGCCAUGCUUGCAGUCGGUCAAAUAGGUCUUCCAUCUAUCUUUUGAACCACUCGACAAAUUUGUAUGAUUUGGACACUUGUUUGUAUUUGGAGUAUGCUGAUUCUGAAAAUGUAAGUUUUAUGUGAAUGUGAUGUAUACUUUUAAAGUUAUGAAUAUUGUGUAAAACUGUGUAUUUUCUUGCCUGUGAUAAUUACGUUAGCCCAUUGUGUUCAGUAAUUGUAUCUCAGGCAGAGGGGAGGAUUUCUGCUGGUAUGAAUGGGAGUGUUUAGCUGUGUUGUAAUGUAUUAAAUGGUUUGUUCUUUAAAACCCUGUGGGCAGUACUAUGUUUGUAAAAUAGGCAUAAAAGCAGAGUGUUUGAUUAAAAGCUUCAGUUCUACUUCACCCUCACUGGAGUGCCGUCUCUUAUUGGGGGAAUCUGCUACAAGGUAUUGCUAUGCUAGUCAUACUCCCUUGCUAUAUCACUACUAAGCUCUUGUAAGAGCUUGUUCCUGUUUUGCUCUCUGAAGGAGUCUACGGUGGUUAUGGUGUCGGCUGGAGUGCUUGGAGCCCUCAGGAAGCGCUAGGAGCAUCCUUCAACGGAGGUACCCAGUCGGGGUGCCAGGUGAUCCGUUUCAGCCCCUAUUUACAUGGACACAAACAUACACCACCACAAACUGCUCCAUGCACACAGACACAAUCCCACAAUCCUAAAGGCAUUCUUCCCCCCCACACCCGCAGCCCUACAUACACAACCCCAUAAGCAGCAAACCCCAUAAGCAACAUCUCUAGAAACAAGCAAUGCAACAAGCAGCCACCCCACACAUGCAACCCCACAAGUAGCAUCUCCACAAACAUACGCCCGCUCUCAUCUUUGUCCCACUUAUCAUCCGACCACCAACCUAGUCACAUUCACCAGUCAUUCUUACCACAAACUAGUCGCAUUAAUGCAUUUAAUCGAAUACCCCAACUUUUUGUGUGUGUAUUUAUAUCUAUCUACCUAUCUAUCUAUCUGGAGAGUGGGUAUUGUUGAGGACAUUGGCCUCGGGGCAGCAAGGAGGGUAAAUUCAGCCCUGCUGGUUAUACUGCGGUUAUAAUGAUAUAAUAUAACCAUGUUUAUCUCUGUUCAUGCCCUUUGUGUUUAGAUUGAGGUUAGCAAUAUUUCAGUGCUGUAGCCUCAAUCUGCUUCUUUUUGUGGGCAGUGGAUGGUGUUUAGAGAGAUCCAGCUGUGUGUGUAAUUGAGAUGCUCCAUUAAUCUGCUACAGUUUCCAGUUCUAAACUUAGCCUGCCUAUCUCUCCAUAGAAAUACUUUAGCUAUUACUAGUACAGUCUGGGGUGGUAUGCAGGAAGAUCUUUAUAUUAAUAACAUUUACAAUGCUGCUUCAUAAAUAGUUACGAACAGGUCUUCCUCAACCUGUUAUUUGGCAUGUGUUACACAGCUCAUGGUUGAACUCAGUACAGUCCUGAAAUGGACUGGAUCAAAUUGUGCUGAUACAUUUUUGGCUGUUUCAUUUGGGUACUUGUCAAGCUGCCAAACGCAGUGAUUGGGUUAAUAUAACCACAAACAAAUAACUGAUCCCACUGCUUCAUAGUCUUUUACGCAAAAAUCAGGAGUGAAAUAUAAUUCACUCAUAAUGACUAGGGUAACUAUGGAUGUGGUCCAAAAUAUCCAUAAAGUUUAAUAUUAAAUUAGAUUUGUUCUAGAAUAAUUGACCAGAAUUGGUGAUAAAAUGGUUACAGUAAAAGUAUCAAAAUGUUUCCGGGUAAAUACCCUAGGGUGGCUACUUUUUUUAAUGCUUAUCUUAAACAUACAGGAUAAUUCACUAAACACCCAAUUUUGCCGAAUUCCUACAAGAAUGGCAAUUCUCAUAUUUAGAAAAGCCAAAUCUGGUCAGAAUUAGGUCAGUCCCACCAGUCCCACUGUAGCAAGCAGCCAGAUGCAUUUAGUGUCCAGAGUAAAAUCAUGUGCUUUCACAACUCAGCAAUGAUUUAAUGAUUUAAAAAAAAAACAAAAAAAAAAACGAUUUGAAUACAUCCAUUAGAAUGCACGUUAGCAAAUUAUCAUUCACUUGCUUUUUACAAGUGAACAACUAGUUUAAGUACUAUUUGACUGCUGGCAUUGCUAACAACCAGGAAGCAAACAGUUAAAUAACUUUGGACUAUGUGUUGGAUAACCAUAUACCUGCCACAUUAAAAAAAAUAGCCUGUUUGGGUCAAUAAAGCGACGCGGUACACCUCCCUAAUGCUCCAAUCAUCCACCCAUGGUUGCUCCCGCCAGCCACCUGUGGUUAGUGGUUGACAGCUACUAAUGUUAAAUAGGUGGCAGUUGUUUCCCCAACCUCCACCGAUAGGUGUCAGCUACUAAUAAAAUAUACACUGUGGAUGGAAUAUACCCUCCCAAAAAAUAUAUACUUACCAUAGAAAAAAAAUAUUUCUUCUAAAUCUUCUUUAUUUUAACCCCAUAAAAGGCCAAAUUAAAAUAUAUGCUAAAGCAAUGCAACUAUUGAAAACAAUAAUUAAAAUAUCCUAUUCACAAAAAACACAAUGAAAAAAUAAUAAAACUGACACAACAAAAAAAUAGAUCUAUCUUCCCCCAAAGAGGGCCCCAUGCAGAAUGUAGCCCAUGGAACAGCAAAGCAGUGGAAUAGGGCCUUGACAGAGCUAAGGAGGCUGGCAUAGAAGGGGUUAAAUGUUUAAGGGUGUGGGGGUGUGGAGGGGAGAGGAAGUGUAUAGGAGGGGUUUCAGCUGGUAUUUAACAUGGCCAUUGUGUGAAAGCUGGCCUUUUGUUAACUGAUAAACACACAGAAAAAAACAUUAGUUGCUCACUAUAUACUUCAACCCCUUAAAGACCAAACUUCUGGAAUAAAAGGGAAUCACGACAUGUCACGUGUCCUUAAGGGGUUAAGGCAGCAGUAAAUCUUACAAGGAUUCCCCAAAACCUUGUAGGAAUAGAGACAGAAGACAAAUACAAAAAAUAGAUAACCGCACCUUAAAACACAGUAAUGUACAAAAGUGAAGUCAAAUCUAAAUCAAAUGUGCAUACUUUUUUUGUUAAAAGUCAAUGUUAUACAGUGCAUGGUAUCUCAAAGAAAAAGGAAAAAGAGAGACAAUAAUAGUGCAGUAUGUCUUUAACACAGUGAAUUAGAGUGACAUAGCAAAAACUCACAAUUUAUAGAGCUACAAAAAGCUCUGCUGUGUAGGGCGAAGACGGUACAAUCCCCGUCACUGGAUAUAUUUUCAGCUACAGAGGUGGUAGACUUUUUCUGUGUCUCGAAUAUGUGAAGACAAAAAUUGGAAUAUCCAGUAGUGCAAUAUGUAUAUCAAAGUGGUAGUGCAUAUAUGAAAAGGUAGGUAUCUUACUCACAUUAACUAGAGCAUAGACCUGCUCUAGUAUAAAGCGCUUUGGUGGUAUGAUCCCCACCUGCGAUAUAUGUCUAAAAGGAUGACACUACGCGUGUGUCACAUUCUGUUCCUGUCUGCGGAUCAUUUCUGGCCUUGGCUUCUGAUAUCCAGUACUCUAUUUACAAUUCUUGUUUACUUUUUCUUGGUUUUUCUGGUUUUCUAUUCUAUGUCUAGUUUUCUUUAUGCUGGGUUUUCUAAGUUCAUUCUUUUAUUCCGUUCCUGGAAUUCCCAGUCUCAUGGAUUCCUUUAAAUGUUUGUUUUUUUGUUGCCACACCCAUUCCUUUGCCUUUUAUCCUUUUUGUUUCAGUGUUCCCUGCUAGCAGUGGUCUCAUUCAUCUGCUCCUUUCCUUGCAGGUAAGUACUGUGUGUGUUUUAUUGUUGUACUAUUCUAGUCUUACCUUGUUUCUAGUACUGGAUACAUAUCUGCAUAAUAUCAAGCUCCUGGGAUCCGCAGAAGCUGCAUCAGGGCCCUGUUAUGUGGCCGCAUAAACCCUGAUGCUCAACACCAGGGAGCAUGUGGUUACCCUGUACUAGACCCUGAUAGUUAAUUUCCACGCUGUGACUCCUACCAUCAUUAGGCAUACAGGGGUCCCAGUCUUUGGACCGCCACACGUGACAGCAUGUCAUGAGUUUUAAGGUGAGAAAUGUCUUUAUAAAUGCUUUGAGUUCUCAUUCGAGUGCUCGGAUUGGUUGGCUUGUAUGUCUACAUCCUCUUGUAUAUUAUAUUAGAAGUCCCAACCCAUGGGUGGCGUCUUGGGGAGGCAUUAGGUUUCCCCCAAUUAAUAAAUAGUGUGGGAGAUUAGUAUGUCCCCUCGUUUAAUUUAACAGCCUCCACCUGCUGGCUUUUUAAAAAUCUUUUUAACAUUUUAAUGUGGUGGCUGGUUGCAAGUUCUGGCCAGCCACCACAUAGUUUACUGCUGAGAGGUUUUUGAACUAUUUGCCUUCUGGCUGCUAGUACUGCCAACAGAUAAAUCGUUUUGAUAUUUAAAAUCCCUUUGAAGCAAAAAACGAGCCCAGAUUUCAGCAAUUUGGCAGUGUUUGGUGCGGCUGAAAUUUGGACCAUAUUCAUGCUCAUUUUGAGCCUUCUCUGCAAAAUUCGGACAAUGUUAAAUAGUGUGAAGAAUGCCUGGAUUUUACAUCCUUAAUGGAUAAUGAUACUCUACAUAUUAGGUGUUCCCAAUAGUUGCAUUAAAAAAAUCUAUAAUUUUUAUAGGUUUUUUUCUACAAAAUUUCUAAUAGUGUAAAACAUUUUGUAGGCAAAAUACAUUUUUGCAAGAGAGAAAAAGGAGCGAUAAGUUGCAGUGAUCUGAAGGUAGAGUUGUGUUGAAGUAUGCAACAAAAUAAACAUCAGCAGCAGAGGCUUGUCCAUAGGAAGCACCUGAGUUAUAUAAUUUGUUGCAAUAAUUAAAAAAACCCCUGUGUUCUGACUGUCUCUAUUAUUAUUCAGUUCUCCAUUUUUUGAGAACAACUGGGCAUGUUAAGGUAUUUGGUUUGUGAAAAGAAGCCCAGUCUGAGUACCAGCCCCAGACAUGCUCAUUCUUCCACUACAACUGAUUUCUAACAUCACCUUGAUGAUUUGCACAUGCAUAUCUGAGUAAUUAUGCCUUGAUAGACUAAGUGAAGCCUGCACCUCUACAAAUAUUGGAUACCUGGACUUUUCUUUUUAUGGAUUCUAUAUAAUAUUAAGGGUUUCGUCGUCCCAGCUUCCUGGAACACCUUCUUACAGUUGUAAUCCCACUUCAGCAUGAGUGCACUCUCUCCUGACUAUCUGUUGAUAGACAGACAUGUCAAUUGCCUUCACUUUUACGGUUCUUAUUAGCUCACAGCACUGGGGGCAGAAUGCAGGCAGUCAAGGCACACAUUCUGAGCCAGGCAGCAAGUUAGCACCCUGACCAAUGUAGCAGGACCAAGCCCAGAGUACAGCAUGUUCCAAAACAAGUGUCAGUCUCAAAUAACUCCACAAAUAGAGGAAAAAUCCUCUAGUAUGUGAGAUCAGAGCACAUUUAGCGUUCACAUUUUGCCAAAUGCUACUUGGCAGCAGGCAGGCAGGCCAAGUAGCAUUUGUCAAAAUGUGCAUUAUAAAAUGCGAACGCUAAAUGUGCUCCGACCUCACACACUAGUGGAUUUUUCCAGGCUGUCUUAUCGUGAGGAGGUAUUGUGGAGUUAUUUGAGACUGACACUUGUUUUGGAACAUGCUGUACUCUGGGCUUGGUCAUGCUCCAUUCGUCAGGGUGCUAACUUGCUACCUGGCUCAGAAUGUGUGUCUUGACUGGGACCAAGAAUACUUAUCAACCAACCUCCAUCUCCCACAGGCUGAUGGGGAUAUCCAGUAGUUUCAACUACUCCAAAACCUAGAAGUGUUGUUUCCUCCAUCUAUAGCUUUGUAAUUGCCUUCAAAAUAUGUCUGGCACCAAUGGCACAGGCUAGAAUUGUCUGCAAACUGAUUCUGACUGACUCCCUCCUCUCCUCCCCGGCAUUCUUCACCCGUGCGGCUCUCUUAGCUGGGAGGAAGUGACGGCUUCCUCCCAGCGGGCGCUGUGAUGUCAUCAUUGGGGCCUGGUCACACUCCUAAAGCACCCCAGCGCUGACUGGGCCCCAGGUUAUUCGUGGGCAUGGACCCCUUAACCCGAUACGGACACACAAUAUCGGUAGGCACCACGGUCGCAGGGGUCGGCAGCGUGGCCAGGCCACCUGGAGUUACAGGCCCCUGUGACCGCGGUUGUUCCACCACUGGCAAUGUGUGCAUGCUGUGCCUGAGUGGUGUGUCAGUAUGUGUAUAAUGUAAGUCUGGGGGUGUUUGUCACUGUGCAUGGUGUGUCUGUAUAUAAUAUGUGGACCUGCCAUGUAUAAUAGAAGUGGUUAUUCUGGCUCCAUUUCUUUCACCACUCCCCCAAAGUCUAGUCAGCAAAAAAUAUCGACCUUUGAACUGUCGUUAUUUUUGCAAUACUGGCACCGGCCAGAGAGCAUAUAAUGUUGGCUGUGCUGGUAAAAUACCGGCCAUGUGGCAACCCCAGUGUACCAGGCUAUGUAUCUAUAUGGAAGAGUGUGUGGCGUAACAUCUCCAUAUGCAAAUACACUAUGUGUGUGUAUUGUUGUGUACCUGUAGCUAACAGUGUCAUGACAGUCGCAAUUGCGGCCGCGCCUUGGAGUUAUGUUUGUGAAGGGGGCCCUUUUUUUUUUUUAAAUUCUUGCACCGGAGCCUAGUGGAUCCUAGUUACACCCCAGACUAGGAAGAAAUCACUUGUUCAUUUAAUAAAAUUACAUAUAUAAUAACUGUUCCCCAACUUCCUACCUCUACAGGAGGAGCGCACUCUACCUGUGCUAAAGGAGCACUCAGCUGGUAUGCCAGGCCUAACACUCGCCAGCUCUUUCAUCCCAGUGCAAAGAGAUAUGUUGCAGCCUCUCUCUCCAUGCAUAUCCUCGUGGAUUCCUGGGGAGAGGGAGAACAAGCCACACUGGGUAUAGGCUCUUUACGUUAUUAUAAACAGUGUAUAUGGUUCCAUUUGCUGCACUGGAACAAUAUAGAGGCACAUCACGAUCUGACAGACUGAACGCCUCUUCCUCACUCUUUCUGCUUGUAGUUUAAUCAGUAAUAAGUACUAGCGAUCACCGAGAAAAGGGAGAAUCCUUCACACGUGCUGACAGGAUUGUGUCUGACUGUGAGGAGUCAGGCUUGAAGACAUGGUCUGUUAAAUAUCAUGUCACCGGCCCGCUGUGUUCCAUGAAGGGUUGGUGGGGAGAUCAAAGAUCUCCCUCACCGGCCCACAUGUAGUGUAUUGUGGCCGCUGGAGGGAGAGAAAGUGAGGGAGACAGGAGAGGAAACUGGAAAAGCUCUAUCUUGCAGCUCUGCCGGGUUCCUCUCGUGAGAUUCGGAGGGUUGCCAUGGCAACGCUCCAGGUCUCGCGAGAGUGAACUCUAGCCCCACAGAUUUUCUUCCCAGUCCGGCCCUGCAUAGUGGCAACAGUUGGGGAGAGGUGCUGUUAUCAGAGGCUCCGCUCCCUACUGCUGUUCUUCACUGCUAGGAAUAGGUGGCAGGUUAUAAAACUCAAAUUCCACUCACAAACUGCGAGAAUGCAAGUUGAAAUGUUGCGUCCUAUAUAUAUAUUAAACAGUUCAGGAAAAUUAAAAAAAAGACCACUUCAUUUUUUUUCUUACAUCAGCAUCUCUACAUGUAGUGCAGCCAUUACAUUCCAGCAUCUGUUGAAUUGCAACACUUGCACACCUCAUUCUACUUAACAAGGUACUGAUUAGGUGAUCACCUGAACCAAAUCUUAUUUAGUGAGGAAAGUAUUAAAAAAACUGCAGUGGUCAGUACUUUCCUCUUGCAUUAGGACCAGCUGGAUGAUAAAACCAGAGCUAGUAUAAUCGCAAGGUAAUUAGAAAACAAAUUACUAUUGACCAUGCCAAAAUAGUUGAAAAGAAAGGUUGUGACUGAGGAAAAGAAGGGUUCAACUCUAACUUUACUAUCAGAGAGAUUCAUUGAAUGUCAGGUUGUUUACAUCCUUAAAAUGUCACAGCAUACCUCACUCACUUCCCGGACGCCACUUGUUUCUCGGAGUCCCGGGAGUGAAAGACGCGCUCCGCCUACCUCCCGGUCACUGGCUGUCUCUUCAUUUCACCUGGGCCCCGCAGACGCACCACGUGGGUGGCGGCGUUCAGGGGAAGGGAGGCAAAAGCUGUCCGUUCGCCGACGUACCGCCAGACAGGUUAAGUGGCAUGUGUGCUAUGUGACCCACACUUCCAUUCCAGGGGGAAUGUCAUUCGAGGGGGCCCGGCCACCCUGUCAACCCCCGGGACUGGGGUACCUGCAAGCAUUUUGGUGUGGCCCUUACUUUUCGGAAAAAAUGCGGGGGCCGCAUUGAAGGAGCCCAUCGGGUGGCCAAUGUCUUGCAAUAGAUUUUUUUGGGGCCCAGUCAGCACCUACGGGAAUGGAGCUUGGAACGUGCACCACUAAAACCUACCAGUGCACUUCUCCUACUAUUAACACCCCAUCUUCUAUCCAUUCUGUCUGUAAAGAUGAACCCAUGCAACUGGAACUCGUUAAAGGAUACCUUCCUGCUGUAGAGAUUCAGAGGCAUAAAAUCCAUGAUCCUAGUCUUAAUUGUGGCAAACCUAAUCAAGUCGCUAAAGCCAUCACCCAAGCAAGGUAAAUACAACUUGACAUCAUUAAGUUCUCCUGCACUUAAACCAAGCUCCGAGACACCACAUUUAACCCUAUAUCUUCUCUUCCAGUGGCGAGAACAGUAGAUUGAACCUUCUGCUAUGGUGGACUUUGGUGCUAGUGGCUGCUUCAUUGAUAUUACUUUGGCUACUACCUUAUCUAUACCUACACGUAAUACAAUAAAUCCUUUCCACAUUCAAAUGGCUGAUGGCAGUCCUUUAAAAUCAGGAGCAGUUUUACAAGAAACCUGUAACUGUUUAUUGUGGGAAGGGACACAAAAAUCAUGCUUUGCUUCUCCUUUUUUCCCUUUGUUUACCUUUGCUAUCUCUCCAUGACCCAGUAAUCCAGUGGGGAUCUGCUACGGUACUCUUCCCCUCCAAUUAUUGUAGAAAAAUAUUGUUUAAUAAACAAUAAACACGAUUUUGGUAUGCUAAAUACCAUUUUGGAUAUUAAUAUGUAGCAUGAAAAAGAGGUUAUCUUGCCAGAGGUGGACAAAUCGGAAAAAUAUAUGUUUAACAAAAAGGCAGUGGAAACAGUACCCCCAGGUAAAUUUAUGACAGCCCAAUUGAUUUACUUCCUGGGGGAGCCAUUCCAUAUGGACAUAUAUCCAUUGUCUAAACCAGAACUGGAGAUAAUUAAGGAAUAUAUAAAAGAAAAUAUGCAAAAAGCUUUUACACGCCAUUCCUCAUCACCAGCAGUGACUGGUAUUCUCUUCAUCUAUAAAAAAGAUGGAGGCCUACACCCAUAUGUAGAUUAUCGCGAACUCAACCAAAGGAGAAUUAAAAACAGAUACCCACUUCCACUUAUAUCAUAAUUACAUGAAAUAUGCCUUCUAUUACAUCAAGUUAGAUCUCAGAAGGAAUAAAUAAGAGAUAAAAUAUACAAAUAGGAGAUAAUAUUUACAAAAAUAGUCUCUGAAAAUACAAGGUGGGUCUUGGGUAGGUCUUCUUUGGUUCUUGAUAAGGUCCUCAGUGGUUAAUAUGAAAAACAAAAUUAAGACCAAUAGUGCAAAACCGUUAGGGGAUGGUGUCACGGACAACUAGAAAUAGAGAAAUGCCAACUCACGAUCGAUAGAGCUAUGCCCAGCUCUAGGUAAAACAGCAUACAGUGGUAUUUGAAACUCCCCACAUGUAGGAUAUAGCUGGACAAUAGGUGAUUCUUCAAUACUUUGUACAACGACUCACAUACGUGUCAGCAUAUAAAAUACAUAAAAGAAAAAAAAGGACCAAUGGUGCAAUAAUGUAUGACACCUGCAGCUACAAACACUGAAGUCCUAAGAGUGCCAAUUUACAAUAAAAAGAGCUAUAACCAGCUGUAAGUAAAACAGCAUACAGUGGUAUUUAAACUCCCCACAUGUAGGAUAUCCUUCUAGUGAUGUAUGGAGUGCAGGAAUUAUGAAAGACAAAAGCACAAAAGUGAACCUAUAGUGUUCUCAGUGGAUAUCAUUGGUGCUAAAAGGUAAAAUGAAACAUACUUACAAUGUAUAGAGCAGCCACACUGCUCUAUGAACCAGGCGUGAGUGGAAUAAUCCCCACCUAAGGAUUUCUUUGUAGUACUGUUUUUUUUAAAACAGUAAAAAUCAGCCAGGAUAAAAGUAGCAAAAAUAAAAAUAGAAGGACUGACCUUAGAAGUAUAGGUAGUCUAAAAAUACUUUAAUUAUAACAAGAUCAUAAAAAAAACACAACGUGUUUCGCCCAAAAUAGGCUUUUUCAAGUGUGCGGAUCUGUGAAUACGAUAAAUGGAAAACCGCCUUCCACACAAUGUACAGACAUUUUGAGUAUCUGGUAAUGCCCUACGGCUUAUGCAAUGCCCCUGCUACUUUCCAAUAUGACUUUUUCAGGGACCUACUUGACCAGUAUGUUGUAAUAUAUCUAGACAAUAUAUUCAUUUUUUUCAUCAUCUGUCCAAGAACAUGGCAUACAUGUUAAAACUGUGUUGGAACAUUUACAGAAACACCAUCUAUAUGUUUAACUGGAUAAAUGUAUAUUUCAUACACAACGUGUAGAAUUCCUGGAAUUUCUUCUAACCCCUGGCCAUGUAGAAAUAGACUCUCGUAAGGUUGAAGCUAUUACUUCUUGGCCCAUCCCUACAAACAAAAAAGAAGUACGUUUCAUUGGUUUUGCAAACUUCUACAGAGAAUUCAUACAUUUUUCCAGUAAAGCUUCACCUUUCACGGUUUUCACCAAAAAAAACCCCAAUAAAUAUUUGUGGGAUCAAAAGGCACCGAUGGCUUUUUUACAGCCUAAAUCAACUUUUUUUCAGCUCCUAUUUUAUCCCUCCUAGAUCCUGAGAAAACAUUUUGUAGAGGUUGAUGCAUUUGAAAGGGCAACCGGGCCAUCCUUUCACAAAAAGGAGAGGAUGACCAGCUACACCCCAUGGCAUAUCACUCUAAAAGACUGUCAACCAGAGAAGUCAAUUAUGACGUUGGAGAUAAAGAAUUAUUUGCCAUUAAGCAAGCCCUUGAGGAAUGGCGUCAUCUAUUGGAGGGAGGUAUUCAUCCAGGUCACAAUAAUCUGGAAUACCUAUAAAAGGCCAAGAUGUUAUGUUCUUCAUCCGUUUCUUGUUCCAUAUAGACUAUCAACCAGGUUCAAACUGUUUAGGAGGAUGCACCAUUCCGUAUCUCUACUCAUGGAAGGCCAAAAUUCUGACUCGCCUCCAAAAGGGCUAUAUCAUGACAACCACCUCAUCUCUAACAAGUUAUGAGACUAAACUAAAGAUCCCACUAUGCCUUUGCUACCAGAAGGUUUCAACACUCAUUCUGGAAAGAUUCAUGUUCCCCAAACAUUGAGAAAAGAGAUACUGCAAUCCUGUCAUGAUUCACAUGAUUUCCACAGCAGGUCAUGGAGGGUGUUUUAAAAUAUUGGAGCUGGUAAAAAUAAUUUUUUUGGUGGCCAUCCAUGACUUGACCAGUAUGUUGUAAUAUAUCUAGACAAUAUAUUCAUUUUUUUCAUCAUCUGUCCAAGAACAUGACCUACAUGUUAAAACUGUGUUGGAACAUUUACAGAAACACCAUCUAUAUGUUUAACUGGAGAAAUGUAUAUUUCAUACACAACGUGUAGAAUUCCUGGGAUUUCUUCUAACCCCUGGCCAUGUAGAAAUAGACACUCGUAAGGUUGAAGCUAUUACUUCUUGGCCCAUCCCUACAAACAAAAAAGAAGUACGUUUCAUUGGUUUUGCAAAUUACUACAGAGAAUUCAUACAUUACAAGGGGAAUAACAUUUUAGUCAGUGUCUCGAUACUGUCCCCCCCCCGCUCCUCAGCCUAGUGAAUUAAUGAGUGCUGCAAAUAUAGCUGCUGCUGGGAUUGUAGAGUCAAACACUCUCAGGGAGAUGUGAAUAUGUAGGUAUAUACAUAAUGAUUUUAAAAUCUUCAAUGAGUCUGUACAAGCAGAGCUUUUUAAAAUUCCCUAGUACAACACCUAUAAUCCUUUGUUCUCUAUUGUGCCAUAUUGGCUGGCAUUAUGAAAAGUAUAAGAGUGAAUUAACGCUCAUCAACACUGACGAAUCAAAAAUAAAGCCUGGAUAAUAAACAAAUGCCAAUUUUUACAUCCCGGAGCAAAUUAAACAAGCAGUUAAGUCCUGUUUUAUUCCACCUCUGUUCUAUUUACAUUGCAAAGCUUCUAUUCAGAGAAUUGGGCUUAUGGCAAGUUACUCACCCUAUGUGACAUCCAGGUAAUUAAACCUGACCAGCCAAGAAGUAGAUUAAUCAUCUUGUCCAUUCAGAGCAUGACAGUAAGGAUAUCAACAUAUACACGUAUACCCAUAUGCUUUCCAAAAGAAGUAUCCACCAAAUUCUCACUGUUUAAAUGCUGAUGUGUUAGCAAUGAAGCCAGUGUGUCCCUGGCUGGCAAGGUCAUUGACGGAAUAUUACUCUAUCUAUCCCUCUGAAUCCAUCUACUGCUACAGUCAAAGUUACUGCUAUUUGACAAUCUUGAGAGAAGUCUGCUGCUCACUGAGCAGGGUUUAGUGGGAGCAGGAAGUGGAGUGGGAGGAGCUGAGACAGUUGGUGAGCAGGCACAUAGCUGGGGUGAGGAAGCAGGGGGGAGGGAAGAGGAAAGGUUUAGCUAGUCCUGAUCUUGUGCAGCCUAACAUAUUUGCCCGUUUGAGUGAAGAUGUUGGGAGCAUCAGCUCAGGAGUAGCUGUACUGCAGGAAGCUGUUCCUUCUAACAGCCGUGGGAACAGCCCCUCUAGUAUGGGUGGGGUUGAGAGGGUAAGAAAGUCUAGACAGGUUGUUGUGGUAGAGGACUCUAUUAUUAAGAGAGUAGAUAGGGAAAUCUGCCACUCUGAUCAGCUAAACCGGACAGUUUGCUGUCUCCCGGGUGCUCCGGUCUGGCAUGUUGCCAACAGAGUGGAGGGAUUAUUGGGAGGGGUUGCGGAUGACCCAGCUGUUACAGGUACCAUAUUGGUACCUGUAACGGAACUCCGACAGAGUACCUUCCGUUGAUGGAAGCUUGCCUCAUGGUCUGUAUACGUUUCUACGUUGGGUUGGGCCUAUAGAGAGCCAACCGCUCCUUCAGUAGAACGUCAAACCAUACUUGACUGUACCGAUACUCCAUGCUUGCUUGGUGUUCCCAGGAUGCUGCUCCUCGCUUUUAUGAAAGCCAUCCCACCGUUGCCACCACUGUAACGGAACUCCCCGUACUCCGACCGAGUACCUUCCGUUGAUGAAUGCUUCCUAGCUUGCACCGAGGACCACAAGCACUGCACUGGACACCACAACCACCGCAGACUCCACAACUGCCGUAGCUUAACUGGAGUCUUGCCGUCUUCUGUCCUCCAAGACCGUGUGGGGAAGACCUCUCCUCCAGGAGAGCGUAUCAAGAACAAGCUCUUAAAAGAGCUAAGUGACUAAAGCUCAGGGGAAUAUGCAGAGCAUAGCAAUCCCCAGUGUGAGUAUAGCUGUCCCCUCCAAUCACGAGACAAAACUACGUGUUGAGGGUCAAGAAGAACUGUUUUAAUUAGCACAAAAGGGCCUUCUUUUAUGGAGGUCUUACACAUACAGGACCACCCACAAGGUUUUUCAGAACAACCAAUAAAAACAUUAGAACACAUACAAUAAAGUAAACCACUCCCAGCCGAAAUCCUCUCCUCUGCCUGUGAUGCAAUUAUCUCAAGACAAUAGACUAACUUAAUUAUCACAGGCAGAAAAUAUACAGUUUUUACACAACAUUAAUAACUUUAAAAGUAUACAUGCAAUAUUAAUAGAAGUACAUAUUUGAAAUCAGCGUCCUUUCAAUAUAAAUAUAUUAAAAAAUCAUAGAAAUCCGUCCAGUAGAUCAAAAGUUAGUCGGACGUCCUUUUUCUGACCGACCGCAAGCACAUUUUCAUGCCCAAAACAGUUCCAUAGAUUUGGGCUGUGCAGUCGGUCAAUUUCACACUGAAAAAUGACUAAGUCCCAUUCGAACAUGCAUUCGAAUCUUCGACGGGACUUAGCCUCUGGCCGCAGUGUCGAAGUGGAGGGAGAACAUACGGGUCAGCGGUGUUCGUUGAAAUGUAUAGCCGAUUUCAGUUCCAUAGAUUCAGGAGCACACACUGCUGACCACGUUCGACUAACUUAAAAUGGCUGCCGGUUUUCGAAUGGCGACUACUUCAGCACUUCGACUGCAUCCAAAGUGCCAGUUUAAAAGUACAAAUCCUUUCUCUGGGAGUUAAAGGGCCAGCAGCAGCACCAAAAAACUCCAUUAUGCCCAAAUCAGUUCCUUAAAGGGCAAUACAUCUCAGGUCACAUGGCAGGAGGCUGGCAAUCAGUCCUCUCCAAUGCCCAGUGGCAAAUGGCAGUUUGUCACAGUACCAAUGACAAAGUCAGAAGAAUGAGUUCAAGGAAUUAGGAUGUAAGCUAAAGAAAAGGACCUCCAAAGUAAUAUUUUCAGAAAUAUUACCUGUGUCGCACGCUACAGCAGAAAGGCAGUGGGAGAUUAGAGAGGUCAAUGCGUGGCUGAAGUCUUGGUGCAGGAAAGAGGGUUUGGGGUUUUUAGAGCACUGGGCUGAUUUUCCGCUUGGGUGCAACCUGUAUAGUCGUGAUGGAUUGCACCUAAGCAAAGGUCUGCUGUGCUGGGGGAUAGGAAGGUUGGAGGAGAUUUUAAACUAGUAGUAGGAGGGGAAGGGUCAAAGCAAUCUAGAAAAUGGAGAUAGGAAAGAAAGGAGAUGGGCUUUAGCUCAGAAUGAAGGAGGUGGAGACGGGGGAGGGGAAAGCUCAGAACAGAGGAGGUAUGUAAUAUUGAUGAAAAUUCACAAAAAGUACAAAUGACUCAUGAUAAUAUUAAAUGUAUGCUUAUUAAUGCAAGGAGCCUAUAAAAAAUGUGGGGAACUAGAGGCAAUAGCAUACACUAAACAGUAUGAUAUAAUACGCAUAACAGAAACAUGGGGGGAUGAGACACAUGACUGGGCAGUUAACUUAAAUGGGUACACGUUAUUUAGGAAGGAUAGAAAAAACAAGAAGGGUGGUGGCGUAUGUUUGUAUGUCAGCCAUGAGUUAAAGUCAAAUCUUGGGCAUGUAGAGUGUGACGAGGAAAAUGUGGAAGCUUUAUGGGUAGAUAUCUGCUUGGGGCAAACAAAGGGAAAUCAAUUAUUGGUUGGGAUAUGUUGUAAACCACCUAAUGUAAAUAUUAAUGAGGAAGAACAGCUGUUAGAGCAAAUUGGGAAAGCUGCAAAUCGGGGUAACACGUUAAUUAUUGGAGAUUUUCAUUGCACGCACAUAAAUUGGGAUAGAGGGACUAGUACUUUUGCAAGGGGAAACAGGUUUUUGAAUAUGUUAAAUGACACCUUUAUGUCACAACUGGUACAAGCACCAACUAGAAGGGAUGCUUGUCUGGAUCUCGUUAUAACAAACAAUGUUGAUCUUUUGACCAACAUUCAAGUAGGGGAGCAUUUGGGAAAUAGUGAUCACAAUAUGGUAAUUUUUUAAAUAAACUCAAAAAAGCAAAAGCAUGUAGGGUAUACUAAAAUGUAUAAUUUAAAAAAAGGCAAUUUCAAUAAGAUUAGGGCAGCUCUACAACAUAUCGACUGGCAUAAACUCCUUAGUGAUAAAAACACUGAGGAUAAAUGGAAACUAUUCAAACAAAUAUUAGAAAGGUACAUUUCCCUGUAUGUACCAUUGGGUAAUAAAUAUAAAAGAAACAAAUUGAAACCAAUGUGGCUUAGUAGAGAAGUAAAACAAGAGAUUAAAAAUAAGAAAAGGGCAUUUAAAGCAUUUAAAUCGGAAAAAUCAAAGGCAUCCUAUAUAAGAUAUAAGGAAGCCAAUAAUGCUUGCAAAAAGGCAAUUAAAGUGGCUAAACUAGAAAAUGAGAAAUUGAUAGCCAAAGAAUGCAAAACCAACCCCAACAUUUUUUUUAAGUACAUCAAUUCUAAAAAUCUAAAAAUGAAGACCAGGAAAAGGCAGAAAUUUGAAAUAAAUAUUUUUCUUUAGUAUAUAUUAAUGAGGAACCUAUGGCAAGUGAUAUGCAAAUGAUUGCUGCAAAAAACUUGCAGAUAACUUGUGAUUGGAUGACUCGAGACAAGGUGCUACAGCAGUUAAAGAAAAUUAAUGUAAAUAAAGCUUUGUGGCCUGACAGUAUUCACCCAUGAGUACUUAAGGAGCUAAGUGGGGAAAUAAGUGAACCUCUGUAUUUAAUUUUUCAAGAUUCUUUUGUUUCAGGUAUUUACCGGAAGAUUGGAGGAAGGCAGAUGUUGUUCCUAUAUUUAAAAGGGUUCAAAAUCCUUGCCUGGAAAUUAUAGACCUGUGAGCUUAACUUCUGUAACUGGGAAAACAUUUGAAGGGCUAUUAAGGGAUAAUAUUCAGGAAUUCCUUGGGAAGAACUUUGUUAUUAGCAAUAAUGAGCAUGGUUUUAUGAAACACAGGUCAUGUCAAACUAACCUAAUUGCAUUCUACGAAGAAGUAAAUAGAAGUAUAGGUCAGGGUGUUGCAGUGGAUGUGAUCUACUUGGAUUUUGCCAAGGCAUUUGAUAUGGUUUUUGUUGGGUUUUGUGUGUUUUUAAGGUACUUUUUGGGGUUUCAUAAAAUUGUAUGGUUUUUCUGUGCUUGGAGAUCAUUAGGAAAUUAGUACAGUUCCUGAUUCAAUUAUCUCCCAAGCACAGAGGAGGGAUUCUAUUGUUUGUGUAUGGGAGUGUCUCACUGUAUGACUCUGUUUUUAUUGGUUUGUUCACUUUCUGUCCCUGUGCCCAACAAGGUCCACCUUGGUAUCGCCCUUAUUGGGAAACUUGCAUAAAAGGCCAGUGUGCCUCCAUUAAAAUGCUAUUCCAGCUUACACUCCAAAACUGUGUGUCGUCCUGUUAGUGGAGGGAAAGAAGAUUUACUCCUGUGUCUGCUGUUCCAGCUUACAGGAGAUUCAACGGGGAAAGUCCUUGUAAGGACUAGAGCUAAUUCCCCAUUCGGCUCCAUGAAGGAGCGGUUCCAGGGCCCAGUCAAGCCACGGCGACUGUGGGCAGAAGUGUUGCGGUUUGUCCCCUGUUCUAGCUAGGAAGCGGUCCUUGGCGGAGGUACCCAGCCAGGGGUACAGGGAGCUCUGCUACAUAGAGCAAAUAGAAAAUGCACAAUCAUAUAUUGUCACUCACCCCACCUUGACUCAAGACAAUAUAAAAUAUACAAAAUUGUCUAAUUUGUCUAUAUUCUAUACGCCACCUUGAGAGUAUAUAUAUAUAUAUAUAUAUAUAUAUAAAAAAAGAGAGAGAGCAUAAUCAUUAGCAUUCUAUAGUUCACCCCACCUUGACUCAAGGCAAUGUAAAAUAUACAAAAUUAUCUAUUUGUGCUAUGUUCCCUUUAUUAAAUACAAUAAAGAGCAUAAUAAAAUAACAAAGUCACAGGAAAUGAAGAGAGAAAUAAAAAGUAGAUUGAAUGCUACCAGCACCUUAAAACAUUGAAAUGUAUGCAAAGCUUGACAGCGUGCAAUCUAAAUAAAACUGACAAUGCUCUGUUGCCUUUCAAAGAUAAAAAUCUAAAAUCAGCAUGAGGCUAUUUUUGUUGGUAACCAAAUGAAAAAGAACAAAAACAAAAAUUUACUGUUGUAAACCAACAGACAGUAACACUAUCACACCUCUCCAUUGUGAUCAACGUAUAAGCCUCACCUUGGCAACAAUUCACCUGAUAUAGAAAUAUAUAAAAUUAGUAAUCCAGCAUCAAUAUACAAAAAUAAAAAUAAAUACAACAUAGCUGGCAGUGCAGGUGAAAGAAAUAAACAUGUUAAAAUGUUUGGUCUUCUCAUGGGUCUAAAUUUUUCUUCCUUCUCAAUUGGCCUCAUCUCUGUAGUUUUCUAAAAAAACUAACUUUAGUAGAAAGUUAAUAUCACACAAUUAGAAUAGGUAAUUCAAGAGCGGUUGUAUCUGUUCUAACUUUUUAACAGUUUCUUUGUUAACCAUCUCCUCUAAUCUACUUUAUUGUGCCUUGAGACAAUCCAGUUUUUCAAGGAACUCAUUUCGUUCACAUGUUGGAGAAAUGUUUUCUGUCUUUAGUUGUUUAUUCUGUGCUUUAAGCACAUGGUAAGGAAUCCAAGGUUCUGUUAUUUCCCGGAGUCCAUCUAUCACACAUGGGCCUUCUUAUGAUGAAUAUGCACAUCAGAUUUACAGAAUUUUUUAUAAGUGGGGACUUUCUCUGAUUGAUAUAUCUGUAAGGUUGGGGACUUUGUAACAAUUACACGUCUUAUUUACUUUUUCUUGAUUUCGUAGAAUUGCUCCAGCCCCUUUUUUCAAUUCAGUAUAUUUACAAAGGUGUCUUGUGGGGACAAAGUUAAACCAAUUAACUCUUGAAUAUCUGGCAGUGUCCUAUUAAGUAAUGCUUUCUUAUUUACAUAUUCAUUCUGAUCAGCAUGUGCUCCAGGUGGUACAGUCAGUUUGAAUAAAACAAAUAACCUAUUUACAAACCCUUGAACAGACUCCCCUCUCUUCUGAGCACAAUUACCAAAAGAAAAAUGAUGAUUUUUUUUCCCUCUAGACCAAGAACGUUUGAUAACUCUUUGAUAAGUUGUUGCUUGGUUCUAGGUUCUAUAAAUAUCUCAUAUGGCAGACUUGCUCUUAGUGACUGGUCCGUACUAGUAAUUAUCACAUCAAAAAUAUCUAAUUCAUUUAAGUUUCUGUGUGUUUUUUCAAAUUGAUACAUUUUUAACAUUACAUCUACUGGAUCAUCAUCCAAACGUAUACAUCCCAGUUGUUUGCUCAGUGCAAUAACCUCUGUACAUUUUAAGGAAUGGGUCACAGUAGUUUCAUGUUGUACAUACCCCUGUGCAUCCACCAUGUGCUCUGUAGAGACUGGUGCCAUUUUUGCAUGAAUACUGCACUCACAAUCUCUUUCAUUAUUAAUUAACACCUCCAUCUUUGUUGCAAACAAACCUCCACAAUUGGUUUUCAGUCCAUAUUUUGUAGCAGCAAAACCAUUUAUUUUUCUUAGUUUACAUUUUAAAUAAUCAAGUUUUUUCUGGCUGCUGGAAGCAAGGAUUCUAAUAGCACCCUUUGCAUCCUUCAGUCUUUCGACAAGUUGCUCAUUACAACUACGCAAUUCCUAAUUUUCUUGACGCAUUUGCUGACUGCCUACACACAAAGCAGCAGCAUUUUGCGCAGACAGUUUAAACGCUUCCACAUUAUUUUUUAAACUCAAAACAUCUGCCUCUAAUUUCUCCUUUUGCUUAUUUAAAGAUUUGUACUUCUCCGCAAUCCAAUGGGCAGCAUAAAUCAAAGCAAGUUUACCACUAGAUUUGGACAAUUUCUUUUCAAUAAUUGCCCUGGCCACAUAAUCCUGAGAAUUAAGCCACGGAUCUAAUGCACCCUCCAUACAUUUUAUUAUUGCUUCUGAAUUAGACACCUUAACAAUAUUUUUCAAUAAACUCUCCAUCAUUGACAAAGCACAAUUCACUGACAUUUCUAUACACAAUAUCUGAACAGUAUCCAAAAGUCAAUAUACAAUCUAUACACUUAUGAAUAUGUUUAAAAUUCACACUAAAUCCCUCCUGGCUGGCUCGCCAUUAUAUAAGAAAUUAUGACCCUCUUACAAGGAUAUUCUUUUAGGGAAUGUGUGACAAAGAAGACACAAACACUAGUGUAUAAUAAAAUGUAUUGUAAAUAUUGAUUUAGGAUACUGUUACAGAUUUUAGAAGGAUAUACACAAUACACAUUAUAACCACAUCCAGUAAAAAAAAAAAAAAAAGAUACCUAGUAAAAGGGCAAUACUUUAAAUGAAGAUCUUCCCCUUGCGCCUUCAUCUUUGGUAGUCUGAGACAGUCUCUCUUAGUUCACCAUGGCACCUGUGCUUGCUGCACUGUGCUCUCCAAAAGAGACAAAAAGAGAAAGAGAGGAGAGGAACCCAACCUCCUUGGCUGUUGUUCUUUUAAAGACUGAUUCUUGCUGUUAUUAACUACAAGUCCCAGAAUUCAUUUUCCCUUCCAAAAGUGGUUUAUCCCACCCUCUUUUCACAGAGAGUUCCAUCUUUACACAAGUCCUUUUUUUUAUCUCUUCCCUCCAGUUACACUACAACACUCUGUAAAAAGUGACCAGUUAGGGUUGGUUUCUGGGUAGAUUGGUCAGGAUGGCUUGGGAAAACACAAAGUUCAUGGUUACACCUAGAUGUUUAUUACUCUGAUCUUCUGAUCUCCUGAUAACAUGACCCUUGAAACCUUUAUAGUAAAGAUUUGUACCCUUUGUACCCAUUGAUGACAACCUCCUUUAAAAUGUAAAUGGAAUUCCAUUGUGAAACCAGAUAGCUUAUUAAAAAACUGACCUUCACAAAGCAUAUGUCAAUAUAUUAAAUAGAAAAUAUAAUUUUUAAAGGCACCCCAUUUCUUACAAUUGGAAAGGUUACCGUCCAGAGGAACGCUAUUGGGAACUUGCCACAUACUUUCACGCCCCAACUUUUGGUAAGAAAUUUCCAUAGGCUCUAUCCUACUAAACCCACUCAGCGCCCUAGAAGAGGGCUUAUGUCACGGCACGCCGGGAGGGUUUGGCAUGCCUCACUCACUUCCUGGACGCCACUGUUUUCUCCACCCUUCAACGUUCCCUCUCCGGUUCCCCCAGGCCCUGCACCAUGAGGUUUGCAGUGUGCCGGGGAAUGGAGACAAGCUCUGCCUGACUGCAGGAGUACCUCCACUUUGGCAGACAUUAUGUAUGCCAUAUCUCCCACACUGCCCCAGGAUACCCCCAGGCUGUCAUAGCCCUGGGGGACCCAUGCUGGUAUUCCUGUAAGCAGUGUGGGGAACAGUAGCUUUCAGUUAACAAAUGUACAUAGUGUCCUGCCCACAUAAUAGGUGUGGACACCUACUUACACAGAGGAGCCUUCCAAUUAUAUAGGCCCUUAGACCCCUCCUUAUUUCAUUUUCCCCAUUUAAGCACAGACCACCCUAGGCUCUGUGUUCAGUUAUUUUGUUGUCUCCCUAGAAUACAGUGUCAGAUCGUGUAUGGAGUUAUUUGAUUACCUUCACCUGUCUGGAUUUACUGAAUUAACUCCUGCCUGAACUCAUAAUACUCUUUGCUUCCUGGAUUUUCUGAGUUAACCUUUGGCUGCCUGGACUCUGGUUAACCCCUGCAAUCCUGUUUCAGUCUUGGUUAACCCCUGCAAUCCUGCUCCAACUUUUGUCAGUUCUUUACAUCAUUUGUCCAGUGCUGAAACUUUGGUAAAUACUUUACUUUUCAUAUUAAGGACUUUUAUUUCUUAUCACAAUAUUGCCUUCUUUUCUGGUUUUGUUUUGCAUUGUGAUUUUUCAAUAAUACCUAUUUACUUUUUAAUAAAGACCUUAAAUUCAGUGACUGUGUUCAUACAAAAUCUCUGCAUCAUGAGCCCAUUCACCCCAAACUUGUGACAUAAAAUUUCCAAGUUAGUGGUUCCAAAGUAGAAGGUCUAGCAGGCAAAAUCAAUUCUUCACUGAUUGGGAUGUCUGCUAAGUCAUUCAAAUGUCACUCAACCACCUUAAGAUGACAUCAAAUGACUUACAUUAGAGUGGCACAUGGUAUCUGUGGGAACUGUUUGAAUCAGGCUCCUAGGGACAGAGUUGUAGAAGUGUAAAAAGUCCUUCAUGGAUGAGAAGUAAAGAAGAACUAGGCUGAGUUAAAAUUGUAAUAUGUUAAAAUUAGUGUAGGGCCCACAAAUAUUCAGGUACUGCGGCGUAGUGACCGGCUUAACAUGAUAUGGCCAUAUGCUGGUACUGAAUCCCCAUAUUUGUUUGAGGACAUAUGUGAUUUUAAGUUGCCUUGUAAAAUUUAAGUUGUGUUUUUGUGUGUGCACUAUGUCUUAAUCUGUAUUUUGUAUAAAUUUUGGGACUUACCGCAGCACCCCUUACAGGUGUGCCCCCAAUUCCCCUUUUUUGCCAGUUCACCUGUAGUCCUUCCUUCACAACACUUGCCACUUUGGAGAUGACUCUGCUCCAGUCCUCUAGCCAACACUAUUUGGUCGUUCUCAAAGUCACUCAGAUCUUUUUUCUUCCCAAUUUUUUUCUGCUCCCAAAACAUGAAAUUCAAGAAUUGACUGUUGACUUGCUGACAAUUAUAUCCCACCCCUUGACAGGUGCCAUUGUAACGCUAUGAUCAACGUUAUUCACUUCACCUGUCAGUGGAUUUAAGAUGUGUGUGUGAUAAUAUUAAAUAAAUAUAUAAUAUUUUUUUCAUAUAAAUAUCAAUGUAAAGCUAUCUUCUAUCUGAUAUAAUGAACAACGGCAUUGCUUGGGUUGGGCUUUAGAAGCUGAAGCCCGGGUUGUAGGGUUCUUUAGCUCCAGAUGCCUACAGGUGUUCGAAGAGCAGCAGAAUACUGGUAUUUGUUUCGUUUAUGCAUCCAGGGACGUUUACUCAAAGCAGCCACUUGAUAUGUGUAAAAAAAUCAAGAAUAUGACUUCUAGUGGAGCUCUAGGGUAGAUUAAGUUAUUCUUUGAAUUACAAAUGCCCCUGAUAAUGAAUUUAAGAUUUGCAAUACAUUUAUUUUCUUUGUUUUUUUUUCCCCAGUGAUACAGAGUUUACUUAUUUAUUUUUUCUUCUAAAAAAUCUUCAGACUGCAAAUUCAGAUUGGUCAUAAGGAUGCAAUACCUUUUGUUUUAUAUAAAUGUAUUGGGAAGCUACAUAUGUAGAAAUUUGAAAUGACAACAAAGUUGCUCUUCAAACCAUUUUUACAAUAUAAAACUGUAUGCCAUUUCAAGAGAGUGUCCUGAGGUUCUCUGCCUGUUUUUAUUGUGUUUGCUUUUGUAAGAUGCUUAAAAAUAGUACAAAUAUAUACAUUGCCUUGCAAAAGUAUUCACCCCCUUGGCAUUUUUCGUGUUUUGUUGCCUCACAACCUGGAAUUAACAUAGAUUGUUUGAGGAUUUGCAUCAUUUAAUUUACAGAACAUGCCCACAACUUUGAAGAUGUUUUUUAUAUUUUUUUUAAUGUUAAGCAAACAACAAAUAGGACAAAAAUAACAGAAAAAGUCAAUGUGCAUAACUAUUCACCCCCCUAAAGUCAAUACUUUGUAGAGUCAACUUUUGCUGCAAUCACAGCUCCAAGUCGCUUUGGAUAAGUCUCUAUGAGCUUGCCACAUCUUACCACUGGGAAUUUUGCCCAUUCCUCCUUGCAAAACUUCUCCAGCUCCUUCAAGUUGGAUGGUUUGCGCUUGUGAACAGCAAUCUUUAAAUCUGACAACAGAUUUUCUAUUGGAUUGAGGUCUAGGCUUUGACUAGGCCAUUGCAACACAUUUACAGGUUUCCCCUCACUCAAGUGUUGCUUUAUAAGUGUGUUUGGGGUCAUUGUCCUGCUGGAAGGUGAACCUCCGUCCAAGCCUCAAAUCACACACAGCAUGAUACAGGUGGUACAGAUAUUGUUCAAGAAUAUCCCUAUAUUUACAUAUUUUCCCUCAACUCUGACCGGUUUCCCAGUCCCGGCUGCUGAAAAACAUCCCCACAGCAUGAUGUUGCCACCACCAUGUUUCACUGAGGGAUGGUGUUCUUUGGGUGAUGUGAUGUGUUGGGCUUUUUCCAGACAUAUCGUUUUCUUUGGUUACAUUUUAGUCUCAUCAGACCAGAGCACCUUCCUCCAUACAUUUUGGGAGUCUCCCACAUGCCUUUUCGCAAACUCAAAACGUGCCAUUUUGUUUUUUGCUAAAAGUAAUGACUUUCUUCUGGCCACCCUGCCAUAAAGCCCAACUCUAUGGAGCGUACGGCUUAUUCUUGUCCCAUGUACAGAUACUCCAGUCUCUGCUGUGGAACUCUGCAGCUCCUCCAGGGUUACCUUAGGUCUCUGUGCUGCCUCUCUGAUUAAUUCCCUCCUCGCCCGGUCCGUGAGUUUUGGUGGGCGGCCGUCUCUUGGCAGAUUUUCUGUUGUGCCAUGUUCUUUCCAUUUGGUUAUAAUAGAUUAGAUGGUGCUCCUGGGGAUCAUCAAAGAUUUGGAUAUUUUUUUUAUAACCUAACCCUGACUUCUCAACAACAUUGUCCCUAACUUGUUUGGAGAGUUCCUUGGUUUUCAUGGCAGUGUUUUGGUUAGUGGUGCCUCUUGCUUAGGUGUUGCAGCCUCUGAGGCCUUUCAAAAAAGGUGUGUAUAUGUAAUGACAGAUCAUGUGACACUUAUAUUGCACACAGGUGGACAUCAUUUCACUAAUUAUGUGACUUCUGAAGGUAAUUUUCUGUUUUCUAUUUCUAAAAAACAGUUUUAUGUAUACAUUUUUCUAAUUUCACUUCACCAACUUAGACUAUUGUGUUCUGAACCAUCACAUAAAAUUCAGAUUAAUAAAACAUUAAAUUUGAGAAGGCUGUAAUGUAACAAAAUAGGUAAACAGUCAAGGGGGGUGAAUACUUUUCCAAGGCACUGUAUUUGCAUUUCUAUCUUGAUUUCUUUCUUUCUAUCUUUCUUUUCAUUAUACCGUACUUUAUUGAAGAAAUGUUUGUCCACAGGGUGCAGAAUAUUAAACAAGGAGGGGGGAAAGGGAGGAGUUAGAAAAACAAAAGUAAAACCACUCCAACAGUGACAGCCAUGGGUAGAACAUCACAUUGUUGGAUAUCAUGUUUGUGACAGUAAAUAAUUCCAUACGAAGAUAAUGUAUAAAUAUAUAACUAAUGUACAUAACAGAGUCAAAUUUAGAGUGUGUUCCAAAAAUGAUAUCCAAUGAGAUCAAAUGUUCUCAAAAGUUUUUAAAGUGAUUCCCAUAGCCAUGUAUUGAAAGCUCUCACUCCUUCAGCGCUAUGUUUAUGUGGACCCACAAAGCAUGUAAUUACAGCACUUCCCGGGAGACAGCCAAAAGGAAAACCCUCAUAUGUACAUAGUGCAGAUAAUUCCAGAAUCAGAUAUCAGUAUCACAGCACGAUAAACGGAUUUGUUAUGCUAUUGUGACUUUUAUUUUGUUUUUAAUUUAUACAUAUAAUCAAAAUUAGUAAAACCUAUUCUUGUUCUGAGAAAUAAAGGCUAUUACAUGUGUGAAAUUACCAAGAAACUGAAGAUCUCAUACAGCACUGUGUACUACUCCCUUCACAGAAUAGAGCAAACUGGCUCUAACCGGAAUAGAAAGAGGAGUGCACAACAGAGAAACAGGACAAAUACAUUAGAGUAUCUGAUUCGAAAAAGAGACACCUCAAAAGUCCUCAACUGGUAGCUUCAUUUAAUAGUACCCCCAAAACACAGUCUCAACGUCAACAAGGAAGAGGCAUCUCUGGGAUGCUGGUCUUCUAGGCAAAGUUGCAAAGGAAAAUCAAUCUUUCAGACUUGCCAAUACAGGGAGUGCAGAAUUAUUAGGCAAGUUGUAUUUUUGAGGAUUAAUUUUAUUAUUGAACAACAACCAUGUUCUCAAUGAACCCAAAAAACUCAUUAAUAUCAAAGCUGAAUAUUUUUGGAAGUAGUUUUUAGUUUGUUUUUAGUUUUAGCUAUGUUAGGGGGAUAUCUGUGUGUGCAGGUGACUAUUACUGUGCAUAAUUAUUAGGCAAUUUAACAAAAAACAAAUAUAUACCCAUUUCAAUUAUUUAUUAUUACCAGUGAAACCAAUAUAACAUUUCAACAUUCACAAAUAUACAUUUCUGACAUUCAAAAACAAAACAAAAACAAAUCAGUGACCAAUAUAGCCACCUUUCUUUGCAAGGACACUCAAAAGCCUGCCAUCCAUGGAUUCUGUCAGUGUUUUGAUCUGUUCACCAUCAACAUUGCGUGCAGCAGCAACCACAGCCUCCCAGACACUGUUCAGAGAGGUGUACUGUUUUCCCUCCUUGUAAAUCUCACAUUUGAUGAUGGACCACAGGUUCUCAAUGGGGUUCAGAUCAGGUGAACAAGGAGGCCAUGUCAUUAGAUUUUCUUCUUUUAUACCCUUUCUUGCCAGCCAUGCUGUGGAGUACUUGGACGCGUGUGAUGGAGCAUUGUCCUGCAUGAAAAGCAUGUUUUUCUUGAAGGAUGCAGACUUCUUCCUGUACCACUGCUUGAAGAAGGUGUCUUCCAGGAACUGGCAGUAGGACUGGGAGUUGAGCUUGACUCCAUCCUCAACCCGAAAAGGCCCCACAAGCUCAUCUUUGAUGAUACCAGCCCAAACCAGUACUCCACCUCCACCUUGCUGGCGUCUGAGUCGGACUGGAGCUCUCUGCCCUUUACCAAUCCAGCCACGGGCCCAUCCAUCUGGCCCAUCAAGACUCACUCUCAUUUCAUCAGUCCAUAAAACCUUAGAAAAAUCAGUCUUGAGAUAUUUCUUGGCCCAGUCUUGACGUUUCAGCUUGUGUGUCUUGUUCAGUGGUGGUCGUCUUUCAGCCUUUCUUACCUUGGCCAUGUCUCUGAGUAUUGCACACCUUGUGCUUUUGGGCACUCCAGUGAUGUUGCAGCUCUGAAAUAUGGCCAAACUGGUGGCAAGUGGCAUCGUGGCAGCUGCACGCUUGACUUUUCUCAGUUCAUGGGCAGUUAUUUUGCGCCUUGGUUUUUCCACACGCUUCUUGCGACCCUGUUGACUAUUUUGAAUGAAACGCUUGAUUGUUCGAUGAUCACGCUUCAGAAGCUUUGCAAUUUUAAGAGUGCUGCAUCCCUCUGCAAGAUAUCUCACUAUUUUUGACUUUUCUGAGCCUGUCAAGUCCUUCUUUUGACCCAUUUUGCCAAAGGAAAGGAAGUUGCCUUAUAAUUAUGCACACCUGAUAUAGGGUGUUGAUGUCAUUAGACCACACCCCUUCUCAUUACAGAGAUGCACAUCACCUAAUAUGCUUAAUUGGUAGUAGGCUUUCGAGCCUAUACAGCUUGGAGUAAGACAACAUGCAUAAAGAGGAUGAUGUGGUCAAAAUACUCAUUUGCCUAAUAAUUCUGCACUCCCUGUAUAAAGAUUAAAAUAGACAAAAAGAACACAGACACUGGACAGAGGAAGACUGGAAAAACUAGUUAUGGAAAGACAAAUUUAAGUUUUAGGUGUUAGGAUCCCAAAGAAGAACAUUUGCGAGACACAUACCAAAUAAAAAGAUGCUGAAGGAGCGCUUGACACCAUCUGUCAAGCAUUGUGGAGGCAAUGUGAAGGUCUCAGGGAGCUUUGGUGGUGGUAAAGUGGGAGAUGUCUAUAUAGUAAAAGAGAACUCAAAGAAGGCAGGGAAUCACUCUAUUUUGCAAUGCCAUGCCAUACUCUGUGGACUUUCCGUGAUUGAAGCCUAUUUUCUCCUACAACAGGACAAUAACCCAGAGCAUCUCCAAACUAUGCCAGAACUAUUUAGGGAUGAACAGUUAGCUGAUAUUCUGCCUUUAAUGGAGUGGCCAGCACAAUCACCAGACCUCAACCUUAUUGAGCUGUAGUUGGAACAGCUUGACUGUAUGGUAUACAGGCCAAUCCAACUUGUGGGAGCUGCUUCAGGAUGCCUGGGGUGAAAUCUCUUCAGAUUACCUAAAAAUAAUUAACAACUAAAAUGUCAAAAGAUCUGCAAGGCUGUAAUUGCUGCACAUGGUAGAAUCUUUAGUGAAAGCUAAAUUUGACGGGCACAAAUAAUGUUUCACUUAAAAUUCAAUAUUUCUAACUUUAUCAAUGACUAUAUUUCCUAUUCAAACUCAUUUUUAUAUAAAUUUUCAUAGAAAAUAAGGCAAUUUCUGAGUGACUUCAAACUUCCAAAUACUAGUGUAUAUGCAGCAAUGGAUAAAACUGUAUUUAGUGUGACUACUGCACACAGUUUUGUAAGGAAACUGUAUACGUAAAAACAUAAUCUGCCUGUUAAGACAAAGGGCAUCUAAUAUUUUUCAAAUCCCAUAAUGCGAGAUGGCUGACAAUUCAAUCUCCAAACAGACACAUACCUGCCAAAGCAGGGGCCAGUCUGCACUUCAAAUAUGUAGGUGUGCCCUUCAAAGAGGAGGGUCCACCCAUAAGGACUGAAGCUUGCUUCCUCAAUGUAGACUAUAUACGGAGCACUGCUCAAGCGUUCUAUGUAUGAUCCUAAUGCCAAAUCACUACCUUCAGAUUUCAAAGUGCAGAACAGGUCCUGGGAACCCAGCUUUGCAUUGACUGUACCCCAAAAUAUGGGUUUGUUUGCACCUAUGCUGACACUGUGCCAUACAAGGGGAGCAACAUUUUAGUCAGUGUCUGUGUCUUCAUACUGUCCCCCCAGCUUCUCUGCCUAGUGAAUUGAAGAUUAUAUUAGCUUUGGUGGACUAAUAAUCUUAAUUUUAGUAAUGACAGGAGGCGAAUAUUUGAAUAACUUUCUUUACUGAAAACUACAGCAGCAUAGAAACAUAACAACCAAUCAGAAAAAGUUAUGAUGCCCAUAAAAGGCCCUGUCUAUGACAUCACUUCCUCUUUCUUUGAAGCGAAAAACAACAAAUAACCAUGAAUAACGUAAUCAUAUAAAGUUCUAACAGUUCAAUAACACAAAGUCUCCAGUAAAUCUUUGAUGUAGAGGUAUGGAAGAUGAAUCUUUGUCUUGCUGUGAAGACGUUCACACUGAAAGAAAAGAAAAAGGUGAAAGGUCUCUGACGUGGCAAGUUGCACGCAUAUAAUAAACAUUAAGAACCUGACAUAACAAUGGAUGCCUAAUGGAUAGUAAGCAAUGCAUGUUAAUUCUAAAAUUAUGGUAUUAAUCCAUAUAACACUCUAAACGGUACAUGUCUAAUUAUUCAACCCUAUACUACCCCCCAUAAGAUACAUGUCUAAGUAUUUAACCAUAUAACCAUAUAUGCUGAUACAUGUCUUCCUGAACCUAAAGGCUGUAUUCUAUGCAACCUGAUUAUGAUAUGGGAGGGGUCCUAUAGGGUGGGAAAUAUUCGCCUCCUGUCAUUACUAAAAUUAAGAUUAUUAGUACACUAAAGGUAAUAUAAUCUUCAAUUUUACCACAUGACAGGAGGCUUCAUAUUUGCAUUUUUAAAGCUUUGAAUUAACUAAUGUGAAGGAAGCAUGAGAUGUUUGACGAAAACAAAAUGUCCUAAAUGUACUCUCUCGUGUCCAAACCGCGCAGCGCAUAACGUCGGCUAGGGAGACGCCUGCCGAUAAUGCUUGUGAGGCUGCCGCACCUCUGACCGAGUGCGCACCGAAGCAAGGUUCAACACCAGCUAACGAUAAUAGCCAGCGGACCCAUCUAGCCAGUGUCGUCGUAGACACCGGUCCGUGAGGCCUUACAUAAGAAAUCAGGAGCUGGCCCAUCGAAGUAGUUCGAAGGGGAGCUGAGAUUUCUGUAUAUCUCAUUAGUGUCCUGCCAACACAUAGUUUGGGGUCUGACCCAAAGUACGGGUAUGACACUGAAGAUGAAUCUGACUUAGUCCGUCUUGAUAUGGAAAAGGUAACUCCUUCUGGUGUGAGAGAGAAACCGUCCACAUUGAACGCUCUAACAUCUGCCACCCGUUGAAACGAGACGAGGCAUAACAAGAGGGUUAGUUUGGCUCAAAGCUGUUUCAACAACAGAUAGGGGUUGUCCGGCCAGUCCCUAAGGAAUUUCAGCACCACAUCCAACUGCCAGAGGCGUAAAUAUUUGGGUGCCGGGGGACUUGUUAAUUUGGCACCUCGCAGUAGCUGACAAAACAGUGGAUCUUGACCCACUGGUCUGACGUACCGGAACGUGUGCCGCCGAAAUGCUGGAUCUGAUCACAUUGAGGGACCGAUAUGAUCGCCCCAACGAGAACAGAUGAGAUAGGUCAUUAAGGAUUAGUGGGACAGGGGCAGUAAAGGGAUCGGAAUCCCUUUCCACACACCAAUUACACCAGGCCGACCAAGUGGAAAUAUAGCAUUUCCUGGUGCCGGGAGCCCAUGAGUCAUAUAGGAGGUCUUUAGUUGAUUGUGAUAGGCCGUGGACUGACCAGGAACCCCUGAAAUCGUCCAGGCCACUAGCUCCAGUUGUCCUUCCAGGACGAGGGAGUGGGCUUCCCCUCGAGGUCCCAUCAGAAGUAGAGGGAAGGUUGGUAGUAGUGGAGGGGUUUCGCGAGACAACUCCAGAAGGUCCGGAAACCAUGGUUGACUCUGCCAGAGGGGUGUUACGAGAAGGAGUGAUAUCUUGUGGGUGCGUGUAUAUCGAAGUACCCGUGGAAUCAUGGAAAACGGUGGGAAUGCAUAUGCCCCGUGUUUGGGCCAGGUUUGUAGAAAUGCGUCCGCAGCUUCACCUUUCGGAUCCGGAAGCCAACUGUAGUAUCUCGGUAAUUGGUGGUUGGUCCUGGAGGCGAACAGAUCUAUUAUUAAUCGCUCUUUCCACCGUCGUAGCUCUUGGAAUAUCUCCUUGUUGAGUUUCCAAUCGCUGUUUUCUCGCCAGUGGCGCGAGAACCAGUCCGCCGUCAGGUUGGAGAUUCCCGGCAGAUAUUCCUUCUGUAGCGUGAUGUUCCGUGCUAGGCAAAAUCUGUAGAUGUCCUUCGUGGCUUCUGUCAGAGCCCGUGACCUGGCUCCACCUAGGCGGUUGAUGUACUGCACCGCCGAAACAUUGUCCAUGCGGAGCAAAAUGCAGCAGUUCGACCUGUCCUCGACCAGGCUGCGGAUGGUGAAGGACCUCACAUUGAUGUGUAGGUCGGUCUCCUCCCCUUGCCAUGGGCCUCCUGUGGAGACGUCCAUGCAGUAGGCACCCCAUCCCCAUAGGCUGGCGUCCAACUCCACGAUGAAGUCCAGGGAAGAGACAAAAAUCGCCUUGCCAUUCCAGGCUUCUAUGUGAAGUAACCACCAUCGAAGUUCCAUUCUCACUUCCGCCGACAGUGGGAUCCAGUGGUCGUAUGAAUGUCCGGUGCAUAGAUAUCCCGCCUUUAGCCGUUGCAUGGCCCUGUAGUGUAACGGGCCCGGGAAUAUCGCUUGUAUGGAGCAGGAGAGGAGUCCCACAAUCCGGGCGGGCAUUCUGAGCGGUAUCGCAUCCAUCCUCAGUACCCGUCUGAUUUCCUUCCGUAUCGAGGCUAUCUUCGCCGAAGGUAACCGUAGAUCGCAGUCCUUCGGGUCGAUGUCAAAGCCAAGGAAUUGGACCGACUGGGAGGUAGAGAGAGACUAUUUUUGUCUGUUCACUACAAAACCCAAAGAUUCCAGCAAGUGAACGACAAAUUUCAUCUGCAAUCGCAGUCUGGAAGCGAAUUCGCAAAAGAUUAUGAAAUCGUCCAGGUAUACAAGACAUCGUAUGCCCAAGGUUCAGAUGUGUGCCAUCACUGGUCUCAACAGCUUCGUGAAGCACCACGGAGCCGAACUAAGGCCGAAUGGCAGACAUGUAAACUGGCAUAUUUGUCCUCUCCAUCGGAAGCGGAGAAAGUGCCGGUAGUGUACGUCCACUGGUACUGACAGGUACGCGUCUUUGAGAUUCAGACACGUAAACCAGUCGUUCUUGAUGAGAAGGUCUUGCAGAAGAUGAAUUCCUUCCAUCUUAAAAUGUCUGUAUAUUAUGUAUGAAUUCAACUGUCGGAGGUUGAUAACUAGUCUGUAGUCGCCUGUUUUCUUCUUGACCAGGAAGAUGUUGCCUAGGAAGCCUCCCCCUCCUGGCGCAUAUUGUAUCGCACCCUUUUUGAAGAGUGUGUGGAUCUCCUCGUCGUUAGCUCCCAGUUCUGUAAAAAAAAAAGGACAGGCUGCCUGCUAUUAAAUUGGAAACAUUUUGGUAUGUAGGUGGAUUCACCAUUAGAGAAAUGGCCGUGUCCUCGACCUCUGAAGUCUCUAGUUCUUCCUGCCCCUCUGUACGAUGAGGGUCUUUGUGUUGUAGAUGGGAAGAAGCUUGGAGCUUGUGGGUACGAUAUGGAACCUGUCGCACAAAAGCAUCUGGUGGCUCGGUUCUGCUGCUGACCAGCCCUCCCAAAAACACCUGUUCCUGUGGGGGUGUGGAAAACCUGCUUGAGUGAGGUUUGGGCCUUAUUCAAGGUGGUGAAUAGGUUUACAUGCUUUUUAAGCUCUGUAAUGAAAGCCAAACAACAGUCCUUGUGCUUUCGGGCCGAAUUCCUUAGCUCCUAGAUCCAGGAGCUUGUUAUCUAUGCGGAUCAGUGCCGACUUGCGUCUUUCAGUGCACAAUGCGGGGUUUGCGUUGCCCGGAAGGCAUACUGAUCAUUGAGCCCAUUCACAUAUGAUGUUAGGGUCGAGUUGAGAGCCCUGGCUGAGUGCUAGAUCCACGAAAUAGAAUAUCUUAGCGAUGGGGCUGAGUAAAUCCAGCACUUUGUCUUGUGCUGCCUUCAUGCCUUUCUCCACACCCUUCGAGGGUCUUGUCCUGAACGUGACAUAAAGACCACGACAGUGUUGUCAAACUCGGGCGUAAGUGCCACUUUGUCAGGUAGCAGUGGUCUGGGGCAUUCGGCCUUGAGGCAUGCCUGUACCUCUUUUUCCAGAGAUUUGCACAGCCAAUAGUGUACGAACCACGUCAGAUGGUCCGGCAGGCUCCACCUCCAAGAGUGGGGUCCCUUGUUUGUCCGUAAAUGUUCCGUACUCGGUCAUUCCGGUGUUGGUGCCACUGGGGCUCUCUCUGUCUCGGUCGUCGUCGCCGAGAAUGGUCUCUCUGACGUAUUUCGAAGAGGUGGGGGGGUAGGUCCUGCCACUUUUCCUCCUCUGAAGGUGAACUGUCCCCGUGCCCUUCGUCUACCACGUCCAAGGUACGUGGUACAUUUUAAUCCUCCUCAUGGGAGGAUUGUAGUGCUCUCUUGUAUUUGGCUUUAGUGGAACGGGGGCUCAAGCCCUUCCGUUGUCACUUUGCCUUGGAGACUUCGGAGCCCGAGGCCUCCAUCAGUUCCAAGGGACUCGCGUCGCCCUGGCCCUGGGGUAGAGCCCUCAAGAGAGCCUUUUCCACGGAGGCCACUACUGCGACAUUUAUCAUUGCCUGAAAAUCUUGGCUGGAUUGAGUGUCUUCCAUGACUCUAUUUAUUUUUCUCGUGCUGUUGGGCGAUAAGAAGAGUCAGUGUGAAGGGUCAGUACAUAGGGUACCAGACUCCUGGUACAACUGGGAAUCGCCCAGAUUAGUACAUUGUAUGUAGAAGGAGGCUUGGAGUAUAUGGCUCUGGUGCCUAAAUAGGGGUCACCUGUAUUGAGCAGUCUGGUAUGUGUCAAUGGUAGUGGUGAGUUUGGGUUCACCACAGUUGUACACCAGAGCUGUAUGCAUGGUACGUUAGCAAUCAGAGACAAUGCUCAUGUUGAGAGGUGUAAGCACUCGUGCAUGUGAUCGGGGUUCACCCCGGGUGGUGUGCCAUGGUAAACUAGAGGACAUCCACAUUAUAGAUAAUGGUCUGCGAGCGAUCUUGCAUGCAUAUUUGGGGGGUCACCCCAGGUGGUGUGCCAUGAAGAAAUACCCAGAGGACACGCACAUUAAUUUGUACAUUUAGGUACAGUAAUAUAGUAUGACCCUGUGCAGGGUACAUUAGUUCACUCCUUUAAUGCCCGCAUGCUUUAUAUAUCCAUCAAGUGGCAUGGGAAACAGUUUGUACGCAUGAGACUGACAGCUUAGAGUAAUACUCCCAUUGAACAAAAGGGGGCUGUUAGAGCCAUGUGACAUGUCAUAUAUGAAAAACAACUGCGGUGUCAGCUGUCUAAGGACCUGUUUGUGGAAUCCUUGUUGGGAUUAAGACAGUUGCUGAGCGUGCCGAUCGGGUGAGUCCCGAUCCGCAGAGCGAGCAGGGAAGGCGGCUGUCUUGUAGCUCGCCAGCCGCGAGAUCCAAGAUGGCCGCCGCUCGCAUGUGAGAGUGCGCAACGGACCCGCGGCCGCGGGUCUGUAGCGCGGAAAGAACAAAAAACGCUGACCCGGCCUCCCUCCACCCGUCCCCACACAGUCCCUGGAGAGUAUAUGAGGCAGGUCCGCAAAGCGAGCGCGGCACGGGCAGCCAUGACGCCCGCGGACCGUCAAGCAGUAAUCAGUGUAACAUUAAGAGACUGUGAAUACAAGAUGAUAUUGGAAAAAACGAGUAUGGGAGGGAAGGGAACAGGUAUAAGAGGGCCAGGAGCAAUAAAGCUAAAAUAAAGAUGAAGUAAAUAUCAUGUAGACAAUGCAAAAUCUAGGUUAUACCAGAGAGGCAAAAUACUCUGACCUUUGUAGGCUGGAGCAGCAAAGAAAGAGGAAGUGAUGUCAUAGACAGGACCUUUUAUGGGCAUCAUAACUUUUUCUGAUUGGUUGUUAUGUGUCUAUGCUGCUGGAGUUUUCAGUAAAGAAAAUUAUGCAAAUAUGAAGCCUCCUAUCACGUGGUAAAAUUAAUGAGUGCAGCUGCAAAUACAGCUGCUGCUGGGAUUGGAGAGUCAAACACUCUCAGGAAGAUGCGAAUAUGUAGGUAUUGUGAUCCUUGUCAGCAGGUAGCACGGUCCUCUAGGGCAAAAACAUGCACAGUCCUUGUAAUUCAUAUACUCCAGGCACUUUAUUUGUAAGUUCACACAGGAUACAGCAGUAAAAUGAAAACAUAAAUGUAACAGAAAACCCUAUAAACAAAAACCUAGCUCGGUCUGAGCACUAACUCACUUUAGGUUCCCUAUCUCUCAGGGUUAAACUAAACAAAACAAUAUUGCACCAACCUUAUUAGAGAGCAACACUCUGCUAUCUAACCUGUUGCUUUCCUUUCUGCACUCCCAGUGCUCCAAGCCAGCCUUUCCCUGACUGCUUUCCUUUCUGCACUCCCAGUGCUCCAAGCCAGCCUUGCCCUGACUGCUUUCCUUUCUGCACUCCCAGUGCUCCAAGCCAGCCUUGCCCUGACUGCUUUCCUUUCCGCACUCCCAGUGCCUCCAAGCCAGCCUUGACUGCUUCCUUCUGCACUCCCAGUGCCUAGUCUCUUUGACUCUAUCUGGAGAGAUCAGCCUCUCUCCUACCUGCUUCCUGGGAGGAAGCCAGCAAUCCCUCUCUACCUGUCUAGCAGGGAGGAGUUUAUUCCCACUGCAACAGCUCAUUAACUGCAGCUGUGCAGUGGGUUGGAGACAGUCCAAAAAACCCUGGCCUGGAUCCAUGUCUCCCCAGAAAACCACUAAACUGUGGAGUGGAGCAUUGGCCCACCCUUCUCUCCAAAUGCUCCACCCCAGGGGCCCAUAACUAAACAGUGUUUUGUGUUGUGCAACACACAAACUACACUUUCUUCCCCUGGGGUUAAAAGGCCUAUCUGCCUUCACUUUAUCACAGUAUAUAUAAUGAUUUUAGAAUCUUCAAUAUGUCUGUACAAGCAGAGCUUUUCAAAAUUCCCUAGUACAACACAUACUUUUCAUAAUGCCAGCCAAUAUGGCACAAUAGAGAACAAAGGAUUAUAAGAGCGAAUUAACGCUCAUCAACACUGACGAAUCAAAAAUAAAGCCUGGAUAAUAAACGAAUGCCAAUCUUUACAUGCCAGAGCAAAUUAAACAAGCAGUUAAGUCCUGUUUUGUUCCACCUCCGUUCUAUUUACAUUGCAAAGCUUCUAUUCAGAGAAUGGGGCUUAUGGCAAGUUACUCAUCCUAUGUGACACCCAGGUAAUUAAACCUGACCUGGCAAGAAGUAGAUUAAUCAUCUUGUCCAUUCAGAGCAUGACAGUAAGGAUAUCAACAUUUACACGUAUACCCAUAUGCUUUCCAAAAGGAGUAUACACCAAAUUUUCACUGUUUAAAUGCUGAUGUGUUAGAAAUGAAACCAGUGUGUCUCUGGCUGGCAAGGUCAUUGAUGGUACAUUACUCUGUCUAUCCAGUGGUGUACACACAAUCCAUGAGGCCCCGGUGCGUAACUGAUCCAUAUCCCCCCUCCUUUCCUUCCUCCCCUGCCUUUGCUCGUCCCCCCGAUUGACACACACAUACACACAGACACACACAAGGACACAAACAUACACACACACACAGAAACACACAAGGACACAUACAUACACACACAGACACAUACACAUACAAAGACACAUACAUACAGACACAGAUACAUACAACGACACAUACAUACAGACAAACACACAUACAAACAGACAGACACACCGGCACAUACAGACAGACACCACUCUGACUCCUUCCUCUGCUUCCUCCCGCGAGGGCAGUCACUUCCUCCCAGCAUGUGAUCUCAUCCCAGGGGGCCCGUCGCGCUGUUAAAGCACCCAGCGCUUACCAGGUCCUCUGAAAAUCCAUCUGCAUUGGGUGGCCCUAACAGCCACCCGAUGGACCCCUUGAACGGCGGCCCCGGCAGUAUGCGUGCGGGCCGGGGCUGUAAAACAUGGCAGCUGGUACCCAGUCGCAGGGGUCCGCAGGGCGGCCAGGCUCCCUGGAGUGAUGGGCCCAGUCGCAACUGCGACCCCUGCAACUCCUAUAUAUACACCUAUCCCUGUGUGUCUAUGCCUCUGGAUCCAUCUACUGCUACAGUCAAAAUUACUGCUAUUUUCCAUAGUGUGUUUUUAUUUCUUGUUUUGCUAUUUGUCUGCACCCAUGUUGCUUGAUCUACAACAUUACCAUAUAUAAAUAUGAUGAUCAAUAAAUCACCACUUUUCAUGGAACCUCCAUGUAAAAGUUUGUUGGGUACCAUAUGAGUGUGAUUCCAGUUUUUGUCUUAUCUGCGGUUAAAUUGGGGAGCAGUGUAACCAGCAGUACUUGUGUCUAUCUGUGUAGUUUGGACUGAGUUAGUACAUUUCUAACACUGUUUAUCAAAUUAAAUUUUGUUAUAUAGUCCGGGGUAGUGGCACAGAUCCUGGUUUUGUGUUUUAUGUAAUUCUGAUUGCGGGGACUGCGAUGAGGAUGUCUUGUGCCCCAUCCUAUGCUAACCUGCACCUACCUAGGGUGGUGGGAAAGAGAAGUAGUCUGCUCUGAAACUCUCAAACAAUAUAAUGAUCAUGGUUCCUUGGGGAGGAGAUAUAUAGAUGACUUCCUCAUUGUCUGGACGGGCACCAGGAAACUCUUCGCCAAAUUUGUGGAAAUACUAAAUGUGAAUGAUCUUAACCUCAGAUUCAUCACUUAAUCACUUAACCGCAUUCCAUCACUUAAUUUUUUGGAUUGUACACUCACAAUAACAGAUGAGCUUGAGAUCAAUACCACUCUUUACCACAAACCUACUUCAACUAACACUAUGCUUAGAUGGGAGAAUCAUCAUCUCACUUCCCUCAAGAGAUGUAUCCCAGUAGGACAGUAUCUGAGGCUUAGGAGAAACUGUUUUUCUACUGAAGAUUUUAAGCAUAAGGCUAAACAGCUCAGGCAGAGGUUUAACCCCUUAAGGACCAAACUUCUGGAAUAAAAGGGAAUCAUGACAUGUCACACAUGUCAUGUGUCCUUAAGGGGUUAAAGAAAGAGGGUAUCCUAACAGAUGUUUAAAACAAGCUUACAAGAGAGCAUUACACUGUAAACGAAAAACUCUAUUGUGUGACACAGCUACAUUGUAUGCUGAUCAGAUGCAUAGUCAAUUUUGAGUAUGGUUGGGAUUUUGCUAAAAGAACCCUGGGAAGGUUCUGGCAACUCCUGACACAGGAUCCACACGUGGCACAUGUUGUUUCCCCAAGAGUCUCACGUACUGCUAGAAGGGGAAUGAACUUAAAAGAAAUUCUGGUACCAAGUUAUUAAACAAUAUCCAGUAUAAAAAGAAACUGGAUUACAGUACAUGGUACAUAUCAGUGUGGACGCAUGGCUAAUGGCUAAAGGAUCUAAGGUAUUAACAGACUGGACGGGACUGGCACUGUAAAUAUCCCAAUCAAGCAGUUUUUAAACUGCAAUAACUCUGGCGUGGUAUAUCUUCUGACAUGUGAAUGCGGCCUUAAGUAAGUGGGCAAAACCAUGCGCCCUCUGAAAAGCAGGGUAAUGGAACAUGUCCACUCAGUGACAACUUUUAAGGAUACUCCUGUCGCUAGACAUGUCAGACUCUACCAUAAAGAUUCACCCAGCGAAAGUAUGAAGUUUGCUGGAAUCGAAUAAAAUCCAUAUGGGAAAAAGGGAUGAGCAUUUGGAUCAGGCUCUAAAAAAGAGAGAAUGCUUCUGGAUCUAUGAACUGGAUACCUAGGCACCAAAAGGGUUGAAUGAGGGUUUUACGUUUACCCCAUUUAUCGAUGCAUAGGAGCAAUAUUGUUAAUACUAUCUAAAUGAGAUACUAGGCUUGUAAAUAAUGUAUCUUCCAAUACAUGUUUAUUAUAGGCACAUAAGUUUCUUUUCUUUUGUUUAUUCUUGAUUGUAUUAACUGUGUAUUGUCAUAAAGGGAAUCUCAGUGAUCAGAUUAAUCACGUUCUGGAUCAUAAUGGGUUAAUCUAGGAUUGUACUUAAUAGUACUGACACUUCAUAUCAUAGUUAUUUCUAUGCAGUAUAGCCCCUUCUCCGUCCACCUGUUAUAGUAGGAUGGAGAGAUUGUGUAGAUUAAUACUUCGUGGCAAAAUUUCAGUCAAUGAGUAGGCGGGUCGUGGGUGUAUCUUUUGGCUUAGUACACUCCCACUCCCACUCCCACCUGUUUUAGGGGAAGCAGAGACGUUGUAAUGUACCCCCAGCAUCAGAGCUACUCUGACUGUUUGGGCCCGCCCAUCGACACACUGAUGGGCGUAUCCUGUAUGUGCUAUAAAGCUUAACACAUAACCUGCCUUAAUUAAGGCAGGAAAAACAUCACCCCCCGCAUCCAAUUGGUCCACAUAGAUUCAUUCCCUAUUUAAAUAGCAAUACAGAACAGUGUACUUCUUAAUGCCUCAAACAAAGGUGCUUUAGUAGCACCGAAACGCGCAUCAGGCUUUGUUCUAUUAUUUUAAACUCACUGCAUGCUUUAUUUUCUUCACCUUCGGUUAUGUUGUGAGGGUUUAUGCAUCAAACUUAGGAGAGGAAACUCUCUCUAAUGGGGUUUAUUUAUGGAAUGUCUUGCAGACCACAUGGAAGGACUCUCUCUUAUUGUAUGGUGCUUUUUUUUUGUAGUCGAUCUACCUUUAUUUUUAAUGAGCAUAACAUAAGCUUGGUUAUCUGGAGUUUUUUUCAGUAUGACAGCACUAUAGGGAGACUGGGUGGUCAUAAUAGCUUUCAAAGUCUUAAUUUAUAAUUUAUCGAAGUCGGCUUAUUUCUAGUUAGUUCAGUGAAGGCUUAGCUAUAUAUGCCAUUUCCCUUGUAAUAGCUUUCCUAUAUUCUGCAUAGCAACAAGUAGCAACAUUGUUUAAAUAUCUUUGUUACAGUAACCCACUAGUUUUUCUGUGCCUAUUUAUAUGUGGGAUAGCUUUACAUUCUGGGACAUAGUUAUCUACCCUUUCCUCCAACCUGUUGGUCAGUGAGGCUUACGAAUUAUAGGUUUUCACUUUUUGCUACCUUUCUAUUUCACUUAAGUAGCCUCCUGCAUUCUGCUACCCUCUUUACCCCAUUAGGAUUGCAGAGCUUAAUAGUUCCUUUUGAUGGGAGUAUUUGUGUGAUUUGUGUGUGUUACUUAUGCUCCUUCCUUUUUAAUAUACUUUAAUAAAUUGACAUUUUUCUUACAUACCUGAAGGGACUUUACUGUGUCCUUUGGACUUUAUGUCCACUGGCCACUCCAUGGUACUAUUUUGCAAUUUUUAGGGUUACCCCCUUCCAAAGUUCCCUUGACAUACUACAGGCCCCACUACGGGACAUUCUUUACUUUUAUAUAAAAGGGGUUUAGGGUUUGAGAGGGGUUAAUGUCAGAGUUAGAUUACAUAGGGUACUUAGUGUUAAGAUUAACAGCUUGAGAGUGGUUAAUAUUGUAGUAUAAAGACGGUUUAGGAUUAUUGAGUUUAGGGCUAGAGUAGGGUUCAAUUUAGUAUUGGAGUACAUUAGGUGAUUAGUUUAGCAGAGGAGUUAAACAUAGCAUUAAGGUAGAGGUUUUUUUUUUCAGGUUUAGGCUGUGUGCUGGAGAUUGAAGGGUUAUUUUCAAAGUACUCACCCCCCUAUGUCUUCUGUAUACCAGUCAGAUUGAUGAUAGAGCUGUAAGUGUUGUUACACAGUGUGUAUCACUGAGCGCUCCACCUGAACUUCCUGCAUUUCCUGUGAGAGGCUGUUAGUGGGAAGAUGGGAAAUGAUCUCUUCAACUUCCUGUCCAGCCUUACACACAGACACUGGAGGAUCUGGGACUGCACUGAGUGUUACAUCCUCAAAAGCUGCAGGUCUGGUUUUAAGGCUGACUAGAGUACAGAUUGCACUGGCCAAGGCUCCUGGUAAUUAUCUCUCCCCAUCGACCUAUUUAGAAGGAUCCUAUAGUGCCAGGAAAACAAAUCCGUUUUCCUUGCACUUUAGGUUUUAUAGGUGCCCCUCUCCCUCAUGCCCCCCUCCAGCGGGCUGAAGAGGUUAAAACCCCUUCAGCCACUUACCUGAAUGGGUUUGAAAUUAAACAAACAAGAUGUGCUUUAACUGCAGACUUUCACCUUUAAUUUGAGGGUAUUUACAUCCAAAUCAGGUGAACGGUGUAGGAAUUACAACAGUUUGUAUAUGUGCCUCCCACUUUUAAGGGACCAAAAGUAAUGGGACAGAUUAACAGUCAUAAAUCAAACGUUCACUUUUUAAUACUUGGUUGCAAAUCCUUUGCAGUCAAUUACAGCCUGAAGUCUGGAACGCAUAGACAUCACCAGACGCUGGGUUUCUUCCCUGGUGAUGCUCUGCCAGGCCUCUACUGCAACUGUCUUCAGUCCCUGCUUGUUCUUUUUCCCUUCAGUUUUGUCUUCAUCAAGUGAAAUGCAAGCUCAAUCGGCUUCAGGUCAGGUGAUUGACUUGGCCAUUGCAUAACAUUCCACUUCUUUCCCUUAAAAAAACUCUUUGGUUGCUUUUGCUGUGUGCUUUGGGUCACUGUCCAUCUGCACUCUGAAGCGCCGUCCAAUGAGUUCUGAAGCAUUUGGCUGAAUAUGAGCAGAUAAUAUUUCCCGAAACACUUCAGAAUUCAUCCUGCUGCUUUUGUCAGCAGUCACAUCAUCAAUAAAUACAAGAGAACCAGUUUCAUUGGCAACCAUACAUGCCAUGACACUACCACCACUAUGCUUCACUGAUGAGGUGGUAUGCUUUGGAUCAUGAGCAGUUCCUUUCCUUCUCCAUAUACUCUUCUCUUGCCAUCACUCUGGUACAAGUUGAUCUUGGUCUCAUCUGUCCAUAGGAUGUUGUUCCAGAACUGUGAAGGCUUUUUUAGAUGUUGUUUGGCAAACUCUAAUCUGGCCUUCCUGUUUUUGAGGCUCACCAAUGGUUUACAUCUUGUAGUAAACCCUCUGUAUUCACUCUGGUGAAGUCUUCUCUUUGACACACAUAGACCUACCUCCUGGAGAGUGAAGGGUGUUUUUUUCACCAGGGAAAGAAUUCUUUGGUCAUCCACCAGAGUUGUUUUCCGUGGCCUUCUGGGUCUUUUGGUGUUGCUGAGCUCACCGGUGCGUUCUUUCUUUUUAAGGAUGUUCCAAACUGUUGAUUUGGCCACACCUAAUGCUUUUGCUCUCUCUCUGAUGGGUUUGUUUUGUUUUUUUCAGCCUAAUGAUGGCUUGCUUCACUGAUAGUGACAGCUCUUUGGAUCUCAUAUUGAGAGUUGACAGCAAUAGAUUCCAAAUGCAAAUAGCACACUUGAAAUAAACUCUGGACCUUGUAUCUGCUCCUUGUAAAUGGGAUAAUGAGGGAAUCACACACACCUGGCCAUGGAACAGCUGAGCAGCCAAUUGUCCCAUUACUUUUGGUCCCUUGACAAGUGGGAGGCACAAAUACAAACUGUUGUAAUUCCUACACCGUUCACCUGAUUUGGAUGAAAAUACCCUCAAAUUAACCCCUUAAAACCGGAGGACGUACAAUUACGCCCUAUUAUAGGCGGCUCUAAACGCCGCCGGGCGUAAUUGUACGCCCUCCGGUUUUUGUUAACUUACCCGGUCGCCGGCGGUCCCACGCCGGCGAUCGCGGUGGGGGGGACUCCCAGGGAGCCCCCCCGCGGCAGAUCCUCCUCCUCCGGUGCUCCCCGGCCAUGUGAGAGUGGGGUCCUAGCGAGGACCCCACAAUUACAUGGCCGGGUAGGCUGCCUCCUGCAUUGCCAGCAGGGGGGGUGCCUGUAAUGACAGGUGGUCCCUCUGCUGGCUGGAAAUAAUAAUAUAUACAUACACACACGUACACCGUCUAGGUGUAUUUUACUAUUAAUAUAUAUAUAAUUAUAUAUAUAUAUAUAUAUAUUAAUAUCAAAUUACACGUAGACUGAUACUGAUUAAAUAUAUAUAUAAUUAUUGUUAUAUAUAUAUUUAUAUAUAAUAUAAAAAAAAUAAAAAUGUAAAUACGUUAAAAAAUAAAAUUAAAAAAAUAAUUAAAAAUAAAUAAUUAAAAAUAUAUAGAUGUGUGUUAUUUCGUUCUAACUGUUUUGUGAAAUUAAUAUAUAUAUAUAUAUCAAAAUACACGUAGAACGAAAUAAUAUAUAUAUCUAUAUACAUCAAUAUAUACAUAUAUAUCACUAUAUAUACCUAUAUAUAAAUAAAAAUAUUUAAAAAAAAUUAUAUAGAUAUAUACAUAUAUAUACACAUACGUAUAUAUAUAUAUAUAUAUAUACAUAUAUUAAUUCUACAUAUAUAUUUAUGUAAUAUUUUUACAUAAUUAGGUAUCUUAAUUAAUUACAAUUAGCGGGACCUGCCUGACAACCCAUGCCGAAAGUAAAGGGAAUUUAAUUUGCUAGCACUAUAUUUAACCCUAUAACUUUCCAAGACACCAUAAAACCUGUACAUGGGGGGUACUGUUCUACUCGGGAGACUUCGCUGAACACAAAUAUUAGUGUUUCAAAACAGUAAAAUGUAUUACAACGAUGAUAUCGCCAGUAAAAGUGACGUUUUUGCAUUUUUCACGCACAAACAGCAUUACACGGACAAUAUUAUUGCUGUGAUACUUUUUACUGUUUUGAAACACAAAUAUUUGUGUUCAGCGAAGUCUCCCGAGUACAACAGUACCCCUCAUGUACAGGUUUUAUGGUGUUUUCAAAGUUACAGCGUCAAAUAUAAGGCUUGUGUUUCAUUUUUUUCACAUUAAAAUUCGCCAGAUUGGUUACGUUGCCUUUGAGACCCUAUGGUAGCCCAAGAAUGAAAAUUACCCCUAUGAUGGCAUACCAUUUGCAAUAGUAGACAACCCAAGGUAUUGCAAACAGGGUAUGUCCAGUCUUUUUUAGUAGCCACUUAGUCACAAACACUGGCCAAAAUUGGCGUUUUUUGCAUUUUUCACACACAAACAAAUACUAACGCUAACUUUGGCCAGUGUUUGUGACCAAAUGGCUACUAAAAAAGACUGGACAUACCCCAUUUGCAAUACCUUGGGUUGUCUACUAUUGCAAAUGGUAUGCCAUUAUGGGUGUAAAUUUCAUUCCCGGGCUACUAUACAGUCUCAAAGGCAACGUAACCAAUCUGGCGAAUUUCAAUUUCAAAUGUAACGUGCUAUAUUUGACCCUGUAACUUCCCAAAACGCCAUAAAACCUGUACAUAGGGGGUACUGUCUUACACGUGAGACUUUACUGAAUAUAAAUAUGUGUAUUUUAUUGCAGUAAAAGCAAACAGUAUUAUGACAUUGACUGUUAAAAUGUCAUGUAGAACUAAAAAAAUAAAAAAAAAACGUAUUUUCUCCCAUUUUUUUCAUAUUAAAUUAUGUUUCAUAGCUAAAUAUUUGAUAUUAAAUGAAAGCCCUGUUUCCCCUGAAUAAAAUGAUAUAUAAUAAGGGUGGGUGCAUUUACUAUGAAAGAGGUGUAUUACGGUUGGACAGACAUGUAGCGCAAAUGCCAGGUUUUGUUUACAUUUUGUUUUGUUCACAAUGUGUACAUUUGGCUCCGUCCUUAAGGGGUUAAAGCUGAAAGUCUGUAGUUAAAGCACAUCUUGUUCAUUUCAUUUCAAAUCCACUGUGGUGGCAUAUAGAGCCAAAAAGAUUAGAAUUGUGUCGAUGUCCCAAAAUUUAUGGACCAGACUGUAUAUUCCCUUUAUAAGAAAUCUAAAGCUGGGAAUUCUCUAUGCAGGUUAUUAGUUACAUUGUAACCACACAUGUCGAAUUGUCAAGACAGUUUUCCUAAUUGGAUUACUGCUGAGUAUACCAGUGAACUAUAAACCACAGAACUUCAUACCUAUAUCUCAAGGUGGAUUAAAAGGAAUACUGUAGCUUUUUUUUAUUUAAGAACAUGUAAAACUGACACUGAUAUUUUUUUUAUUUAUUGUGUGUGUGUGUCUGUUUAUAUGUGUGUGGCGAAACCGACCUCACCACUGGGCAUUGGAGAAGACUGAUUGCCAGCCUCCUGCCCUGUGACUAUGGCCCCAUGUUGAAAUGCUGGAUUUUCCCCUGCAAAGACCCGAAAGCCGGGUCAUUCGGUACUUUCCCUAUGUGAGCAGUGUUAACCCAGAUAGCUAUGCCAUGGAGACCAUUCGUAUAACAAAGACUAUGUGAAAGACUUUGGCUCCAUGGCAAUUGAACUGUAUGUAUGUGAUCUAAGCGCCAUUCAGUAAUAAUUUGUGCUCAAAUCUAAGCUAUCUGGGGAUAUGUUGAAUGUACCCGUUUUAUGCAAUAGCUGCACAGUUAUAUAUUUUUAUGUAUUUUAUUGUAUUUUGCUACCAUGUGGCUAAUGGAGUUUUGCCUCUGUCCUUGGAGAUAAUUGGAUUACUUCCCAAUUAACUCCAGGAUAGAAGACUCUGUGGAACUAGUUUUGGGCAGAAAAACCAUGCUUCAUUUGGUCAAAUAGGACUUUCUUGACAGCCGCUAGAGGCGCUUGUGUGCUUCUCACUGUGAAAAUCACAGUGAGAAGACACCAGCGUCCACAGGAAAGCAUUGUGAAUUGUGAAUGCUUUCCUAUGGACUGGCUGAAUGCGCGCGCAGCUCCUGCCGUGCAUGCGCAUUCAGCCGAAGAGGAGGAGAAGAGGGAGGAGAGGAGGAGGAGAGCUCCCCACCUAGCACUGGAAAAAGAGGCAAGUUUAACCCCUUCCUCUUCAUCCAGCCCGGCGGUAGGGGGACCCUGAGGGUGGGGGCACCCUCAGGGCACUAUAGUGCCAGGAAAACGAGUAUGUUUUCCUGGCACUGAGUGAUCCUUUAAACUAUAGAUUUCUUUGUCUAUUCUCUACAAUAUUUAACAUAUUUUCCAGCAUUAUCAUGAUGGGAUGUAGCAUACCUCCCAAUCAUCAUUUGUUUGGUAGGACAGACAGUUUUUGUGUCACCAUACUUCUCUCGGUCUCUGGUGUCCCGCUUCUGGGGCUGCCAUUGUCCAAAUUCCUAUAAAUCUCAGGACAAAUGCAUAAUUAUACCUGCUUCUGCUAUGUAUACUAACCAAGGCUGUCCUGAAUAGGGCCUGUCGCGCAGUUCUAACUCCGCAUAUCCGACUGUAUCAUCAUACUGACAUGGACAUAUGGGUCCUUUCUGGACCACCCCAACCGCACCCCAAAUUCAUACCUCGCAAUGUUAUAAGGUUUGAUAUAGUGAAUUUAAUAACUCAAUAUAUGAAGACAUAACUAGUUUAGCACGUGUUACAGGCAAUGGCAUUCCUAUUGACUUACAUUUUUUAAAGGAAAUAUUUGAUACACUUGACCUCUUACACAGGGCCGCUGCAAGGAUUUUUACCACCCUAGGCAGAAACAAUUUUGCCGCCCCAUUCACUCCACAGGGGUUCUGCAUGUUUAACCCCACAAGAUAAAACAUUGCCUUAACAUGAAGGGUUAAACAAGCCACAUACUGACAGCCACUAGAGGUGCCUCUGCUACAAUGCCAUGUUUAACUACAAGAAGUAUUGAAAGUGUAUAGCGCUUGCCACUGAUGUGCAUCAGGUCACCAAUGCUCCUAUAUCAGGAACAUUGGAUUGGACCAGCAUUGCCCAAUCAGUGACAUUGAGCGAGGUAUUGAGGCAAUCAGUGCAGGGGGGGUGGGGCCUUAAAUUUAUGUAGGAACAGAGACACUAUAGUGUUUGGAAUACAGGUUUAUAUUCCUAACACUAUAGUGUUCUUUUAAAAGUAUUUAUUUUUUAUUACAAUGGUCCUUUUUGCCCAAAUGCAACAUACAUACACACACUCACGCACACUCUCAUUCACUCACUCACACAAUCACAAUCAGUGACCAAUGCACACACAAUGCAGUGACCCAAACAGACACACACACACACUGACCCAAGCAGACACACAAUGACUGAUGCAGAUUGACACACACUGGACCAAGCAGACACACACACACACACACACACACACACACACACACACUGACUAAUGCAGACUGACGUGCACACUUACCCAUGCAGGCACAAACACAAUGACCCAAGCAGACAGACACACACACUGGCCCAAGCAGACACAUACUCUCACAUACUGACCUAUGCAGACACACACGAUCCAAGCAGACACACACACUGAUCCAAGCAGACACGCACACAGUGAUCCAAGCACACACAAACAUGCUGACUAAAGCAGGCUGAUACACAUUGUUUAAAUCACACACACAAACACAUACACUAUUAAGUCCCGGUGCCAUAACCUGCGGCACCCAAUUUGACCCGGCGCCCACCCUUAACAAGUUCCCUAGGUGGCCGCCUAAUCAGCCUAUAGGACGCGCCGGCCCUUCUCUUACACAUAAAUUAAGGUUUUCCUCUUUUAGAUAGCACAUGUAAUACUAAACAUGGACGUUGUAUUAAGAUACGGAAUUAGUUUCAUAUUUGUUUUUAAAGUGGUGAUGUUUUUAUUACAGGGACAUUAUUUUAUUAUUUUGCUAUACAUAUGCACAUAAUGUCAUAUUUAUGUUUUUCAUGAAAACCGCUUAUCUGUUCUGUGUUCCAAACUAAACCCUCUGAGACUGUGGCAAUACAUAUAUACUGUCUUUUGAAAUGCUGAGUUAUUGUAAAAAUUAUCCAUAGCAACUUUUAAUGAUAUGAAAAAUGUAAACUAUCAAGCAAACAAAAUAAGAAAUAAAUAAAUACAUUUAGAAAAAGGAAGUAUGUUGUAACAACAUAUUAUGUAUGAUGGAAAAAAAACAUUCAGGAUUGAGCUCGCCAGUUUUCAUGUUUCAAAACUACUUUACAUUUUUUUUCUAACACCAGACAUUUUGAUAGUUAAUUACAAAUAUUAGAAACUGCUACCCUCCCUGCUGCUGUAUCUCAGGGGUGGCCAUUUUCCCCAGAGCUACAUGCAGAGCUAAAAUGAUUACAUCAGCACCUCGUGUCCCCUGUCAGCUGAUUGUACAGAUAGAUUACCAAGUACACAAUACACAAUACACUAAUUUUAAUAAUUUUAAUAAUGACACUUGUAUUUAAAAAAGUAAAUUAGUGGGAUAUUUUUCACAGUCUGAUUCUGGAGGGUUUUAAUUCACAGAAAUUUACUUUUGUGAUGUGUGAUGUACGACAAAAAUAAUAUCAAAAAGGAAAAGCUAAAGGAAGAAUGACAGGCUCUCAGGAGAUGGAGGUCUGGCAGACCCCAUGAAAAAACUUGAAGCAUUCAAAAAUGGCUAGGAACCUAAGAACAAGGGAAGGGAGGAGGUGCGCCAGGGCACUCAUGCGAACAGUAGUGGUAAUGGUGCUUAGAGUGUUUUAUUUUUGUUUGUUUGUUUGUUUUUAAACCAUCCAACCACUCGUGCUAUAAUAGGUUUCUGUGUCUAUAAUAUAUUACACUCAUGAUGCACAUGAUGUUAUAGAAGGAGAUACGUUGGCAUACAAACAGUGACGGUAAAGCAAGAUCAAACCACUCACUCACCAGUAAAUCACUAUAAGCGGUUGAUCCAGGGAAACUGAUUCAUAUCUGGAAAUUGUUUUAAUUGUAUCAAAUAUACAAAAUCUUUGCAUGCAUGGCAUUGCGAAAUCUUGGCUUUUGAAAAUGUCAAAUAUACUUUGUGUGCAAUUUAAUCUUGGGCUUAAAUAAUUUACUUUAUUAUAUGAGCUUAAAUAAAUUGGAACAUUGGUGAGAUAGCAACAUAUACUGUCGAAGCCAGAAUAACCUACCUUCCAAGGAGAACCCAAAUGUAUGAAAAGGAAGACUUGUCCAGUCAAAGCUAUAAUAACUCUGGAUUCGGCAUUCUCUAAUCAGGCACCUCUCUGGUUUGUUCCUUUCUGAUUUUUCUAUUGGGGAUUUUAGGGGCUUUAUCUAAGCCAGAAUUGAAUGUGUGUCCUGUUAGUGUGCUAUUUCGCACCUCUUGAAGUGCUGUUUAUACAGCUGUUUGUAAAUACAUUUUUUAUUUCAUCAACUGCAGUUUUAUUUAUUCAGUUUAUUUUUCUUAUUUGUGUGUUACAUUUAUUAGCAGUAUUCUUUAUUGCCACUUUUAUUUGUUUACACACUAGUAAAUGUUGUUUUUCAAAUAUGUAUUUAUAUCAAGGGUACCUUUUCCCCACUGUUGCUCUUUUGCACCUUCUGCACUAUUUUGUUUUACGUUUGUGUGAUUACCAUCUCUAUCCAGUAGAGCGUAGCUGUUUCAGCUGAUGUGUGGUUGUUUUGAGGAUUGAGCAAUUCUACAUGAAAGUCUCUGAUACACAUCACUGUGCAUAGCAGAAUACACACAUUGCUGAUUCUGUAGAAAAUUCACAAAGGGUUUAUAAGCUUUCAAAAUUUGCACAUUUAAGAAAAGACAAAUAGAUACGUGUUUUAAAUUACCUAAGAAGCAGUGAUAAGACUCCAUUGACUAUCAUGUCAUUAAUGUACGUUCUGGGCCACAAUGUAGCAAUGAGGGUAUCUUGCAAGAUUACCAAUGAUUACCAACGACCUUGCAAACAGCAGAGUGCACUGCUUGCAACAAGGGAUAUGAAUUUAAUAAAUUAAAUUGAGGUGAAGUUGCACAAAUGGAAUGAAAUGGAAAGUUUGUGAGAUAGCUCAGUGGCUAAAAAGUCAGUCUAGGCACCAUAGCCACUACAGAUUGCAGUUAGCAUUUAGUAAUUAUAAACAAACAGAGUGAGGAAGACAGAUUUAUCUAUAAGAUUAGGCAUAAAGAGGCAAAGCAAGUUAUAAGAACUUCCAAAGCACACACAGAAGAGAAAAAGUCCAGUCUGUAAAAAAAGUGUGAUUAAAACAUUUUUAAAUACAUAAAUGAGAAAAGGAAAGUAAAAUAAGGGUUGGUUAGACUAAAAACAAAAAAGGAAGAUAUGUAGAAGAGGAUAAAGAUCUAGCUGACUGCGUCAAAUGAUAUUUUUGUUCAGUAUUUACAGAUAAAAAUAAAGGAAAUGGACUUCAGUUGGGAAAAAAAGUCAUUUGUUAAAUGUGACUUUACAGAGGAAAAGAUUCUAUUUUGGCUGUCUAAAGUUAUUAAAAGAACUUAAUGGUAUACUAGCAAACCCGUUAACUGAUUUUUUUUAACCAAUCAUUGUUAAAAGUAGUCCCAGAAGAUUGGAAAUUAGUGAAUGUUGUGCCAAUUCACAAGAGAGGUUAUAGUGAGGAGUCGGGCAACUAUAGGCCAGUAAACCUUACUUCAGUAGUGGGGAAAGUAACGGACAACAUGUUAAAGGAUAGGAUUGUUGUCACAUGGAUAUCAAGAUCAGAGACAACAUGGAUUUACUUAAGGCAAAUCAUAAGUAAUCCUAUUGUUUUUUUUUUAAUUGGGUAACUAGAAUAUGGAGAUUAGGGUGUUUGUGGUGGUAGAUAAUGCUUACCUUGAUUUCAGUAAGGCUUUUGACACAGUCGCCCAUAGAAACUCAUAAAUAAACUGCAAACUUUGAGUUUGGAUUCCAAUAUUGUUUAAUGGGUUAGGAAGUGGUUGAGUGAUAGGUUGUAGUCAAUGGAGUAUAUUCGAAGCAAGAUCUUGUUACCGGUGAGGUACCUCAAUGAUUCAAUAUUUUUUUUCAAUAUUUUUAUUGGUUAUAUUACAGUAGGUCUUAAUGGUAAGGCAUGUCUUUUUGCUGGUGACACAAAGAUUUGCAACAGGGUUGAUCUUCCAGGAGAGAUAAGCCAAAUUAAUUUAGUAAACUAGAAAAAUGGUUAGCGUUGUGGCAACUGACAUUUAAUGUAGAUAAGUGCAAGCUAAUGCAUCUUGGACAUAAACAUCCAAGGGUAGAGUGUAGAAUAUUUGAUACAGUCAUCUGAGUAAAGGGAUUUAGGGUUAUUUAUUUCAAACCCAAAGAUAAAGCACCAUGCUUACAGCAGCAGUAGCUUAGGAUCCAAGAGCUCAAAAUACAUAAAAAACUAAGAGAAUGUUACCUGCGCUCUGGCCUAAAUCCCUAUGUACAUUUAAACAAAAUGGUGGCUCUUUAGUUUAAUUCCAAUGGCCAUUUGAAUAUAAGCUCACCUGCCACGUCAAGGCAAGCCCCAAUUGGCGAGUCCUACACUAGCCAUUAGAUUUGCUGAGAUCAGCCAAGAAUCUUCAGUGAGACAGGAAGAGGUAUUUUAUAAACCCUUUCACAUUUUAUAAAGAGCCUCCAUUUUGUUUAAAUGUACAUAGGGAUUUAGGCCAGAGUGCAAGUAACGUUCUCUUUGGUUAAUUAUUUCAGAUGACUUAAAGGUAGACUUAAAGGAGCAGCAGAGAAUGCUAGCAGAAUGCUUGGUUGUAUAGGGAGAGGUAUUAGCAGUAGAAAGAGGGAAGUGCUCAUGCCAUUGUACAGAACACUGGUUAGACCUCACUUGGAGUAUUGUACGCAGUACUGGAGACCGUAUCUUCAGAAGAAUAUUGACAAUUUGAAAAGAGUUCAGAGAAGAGCUACUAAACUGGUUCAUGGAUUGCAGGGUAAAACCAUGAAAGGUUAAAGGAUCCUAACAUGUAUAGCUUGGAGGAAAGACAAGACAAAGAGAAACAUUUAAUACAUGAAAGGAAUCAACACAGUAAAAGAGGAGAGUAUAUUUAAAAGAAGAAAAACUACCACAACAAGAGGACAUAAUCUUAAAUUAGAAGAACAAAGUUUUAAAAAUAUCAGGAAGUAUUACUUUACUGAGAGGGUAGUGGAUGCAUGGAAUAGCUGAAGUGGUAGAGGUUAACACAGUAAGGGAGUUUAAGCAUGUGUAGCAUAGGCAUAAGGCUAUCCUAGCUUUAAGAUAAGGCCUGGGUCUAAUGAAAAUAUUUAGAAAUUUGGGCAGACUAGAUGGGCUGAAUGGCUCUUAUCUGCUAUCACGUUCUAUGUUUCUGUGGUACUUGGGUUCAAUAAGCGUCUGCUGUCACAAACACACCCUACUGUAGUUGUGGUGGUGAAAUGGUUACAUUUCACUAUUUGUCUGCAUUAGACCAGAAAUAAUAAUAAAAAUCCCCCUUAACACCACCCACACUUAAACAUAAUAAUAUAACCAUUACUAUUUUAACGCUGCCACCACCAAGACAAUUUAUAAAUGGGGUGCCUUGGUCCCCCAGGUAACUUAAUAGAAACAACUGAGCACAAUACCUAUGCAAGUGAAAAACACUCAGUCUCUUCAGGUAACGUGAUUCUUUACCAGACAAAGGCAGAAUUUAAUAAAGGAAUAUUUAUUAUGAGCAAAUAUAGUCACAGUGCACACAAAAAAGUAGAUGAUAAGCAAAUUAUUUACACCAACAACAGAUAAAAACAAAAACAAAAAAAGGAUAAAAUAACAGAAGUCCUAAUUACUUACUCAGGUUUUCAAAGUAAAACUUCUGCCCAGGGGGUCUCUGAGAAGGAAUAUGGUGGCUCAUUCAAAAUUAGAUUUUGGCCCCAAGCAAGUACAAUAGACACUUUAGUAUCAUUAGAUUUAUACCCUGUGGAUUACAAAGCCUUGCCCAGGUGGAGAUAAGGUGUAUCUAUAGUAACUAUAAGUGACCAUCCCCUUGUGUUCCAGACCAACAGCAAUCCAAAUUUAACUAUUUGGUUCUAUCUCCUUUUAUGUACUUGCCACAGAAAUAAUUGCAACUAUGAAUCUGUUACCAUUUUUCCAUUCCAUAGAUAUGUCAUACUCCUUACUUGUGACCCAAUCCCUUCCCCUAUGGUUAAAUUACGCAAAUCAUGUUAGGCUUGCUUAGAAGAUUGUUUUUGUCCCAUUCUAAAUAUAAUAAAAAUUAGGCUUAAUUAUUCAUCUGUGGGUAAGUAUUAAUGUUUCUUUUGGAUAUGAUACUGGAACACAAGGCUAAUGGCCAAUAACAUAUCAAAGGAAUCAAUUAAUCAAUUAGGAGGUAUGGGCUAUAUGGCUCAAGCCAUCUAGUUUACAUUGGAACUAGACCAGGCAUCUCAAGUGUAGAAUCUCACACUCUGCUUAAUAAAAGUAUCAAUCCAUGUUGCAAACCAUCUGCCCUCUUUCACAUGCCUAUACCAUUUACAUUAUCCCUUCUGUCAUCUGACCUUGCAACUAAUUCAUAUCUGCACUACAGAAAUUACAUUAAAUGGCAAUAUUCUAUUGUGCAACAAUGAAUUAUGCACCCAUGGCGUGACAUCUGCUGUCCAACUUCUUUACUUGGGUCAUUUUUCAAAAGUUCAUACGUUUGCAUUAGUAACGUCAUUUCCUCCCAUAUUUAGGUAGAUUUGUAAAUUAACUAAAAUAAAAUUGAAAAUAUAAAUAGGAGCAUCAUCUCUUACACAAUACAUUUCACCCAAACAUGGGCAAAAAUAAAUAUUUUGCAAAAAGGGAACUUCUGAUUAAGAUAAGUCAGAGGAAUAGGCCAGACUGGAAGAGCUAGGGUGGACCCAGGUAAGUGUAGAACUAUUUGAAAACAGUUUGACUACUUACUAUGGGUUGAGGUAAGGGACUCCUUGUACCAUGACCACUACAGUGCACUGUAGGGAUUUUGUUGCCUUGACUGUAGUUACUGUGAUGUUCCUUUGAAGGAUACUAUAGUUGUUACAGAGUAGUAUAGUAAUCUAGCUUGAAACAAGUCCAUCCAGUUCAAUCUUUCAUACAUCUGUUUCUCUGGUUUAUCUUAAAGAAGGCAAAAAAAUAACCAAAAACAGUUGGCGGCCAUUUUCAAUUGUGCCACAAACAAGGGAAAGCUUCUUCCAGAUUACAUAACGACAAUCAGAUAUCUCCUUGGAUCAUUCUGCUUAGAAAGUCCUUUCAAUGAAAAAAUGAAUAAUUUAGGUAAAAGUAGUACAUUUUAACUACUUUUGACCUAAACUGUGCAACUCUGUCAUCUAAUGUCUUCAGCACUCAACUAUUCAGUGGUUAAAUCAAAAGGAGUAGAAACAGAUUAAUGUGAAUCAUUUUUCUGAAUGUUUAGAACACAGACAGGGAUCCAACAAUAACAUGCUUGCAGUCAUUGUGUUAAAUGUAAUCUGCUUUUGGCAUAGAGGGAAAAAAUUGUUAUAUAAUCCUUCUAACCUUAAAUGUUCCAGUAAAGUAAUUUUACACUUGAACCAUAGCAAGCAUUUUAUAUUUCCAUCUUUGGUGCGUAAUCGGUUUUCAAAUUAAUCUUCGGGAAAAAAUAUAUUUUAGUUUUUUGAGUUCACCUGGCAUGUAAUAAAGUUAGUUCUCUGCAUCUCCUACCCACCUGUCUUCCAUUGAUUCUUUUAUUUCACUCAGUCUUUUUUCACAUCCAGACAGUCGUUUGUCAGCACACCACCACUCUCUUUAUUACAUCUUUUUUUUUGUCUUCCUCGUGUUUUGCUCUCCUCCACCAUGUAUCUCUGUCUCUUUAUCUAGGUAUUGCAUACAAAUAAAUGUUUUUAGAAUACAAUAUAUAUUAGUAUUAAAAAAGUUUGAAAGGAAAUGUUUGAUUAGUGUAGAUCAUUAAAUCCACAUAUUGGACUUAUAGUGAUUCUGUAAAACACAAUGUCAAGUAAUUCAGUUGCUUGUCAACAGUGAAUUUUUAAACCUCUUUAUUUCCAAGUUUUGCCUUAUAGAUACAAGGAAUAAUUUCAAAAUAGCAUAGAAGCAAAGGUAAAACCGCAUUCAUUGUGCAAUAAAAAGGGAGAACUCUAGAAGUUUCAGGUUGAACUGAUCCCAUAUGACCAAGAAAAUUGAAUGAAGGGAAGGGUGGCUGGACUUAAGGCAAACUUUUGAUGAGAAACAUCUAAAGAUAGGUGGAGGAGAGUCAGGAACAAGCAGAUGCCAGGGGUACCAGAGAUGCAACAAAAUGAGAAAAAGAGCCACGAUCAGAAGUACAGAAGGUACAAAGACCUAGGGUCAAAUAACAGGAACAUCAAUAACAGAAUAAACAGACUCUCAAGCCAUAGGAAUGACUACAGGGCACAGUAAAGAGUGUAGAAAAAGCUUAUUUAAGAGUAGGUGACUAGGAAUGGGUGAGAUUUAAAAAAAUAAAAUAAAAAAAAAAACCUAAGCACCAUGCACCCCAGAUGUACUGGCUUCCUGCUCCCCUUAGCAUUUGGAAUGACAUUCUAUCACUUAUUUCCUGCCUUAUAUAUGCCUUAUUAUAUUAACAUGGGUCUUUUUGCUCUGGGUAUCAGCCAGCGAGAGAUCCGAUCUUUAUCCCAGCAGUAUAACCAAUAAAAAACAAAUUGGGAUGGCCUCCAGAACAGUGAUGGCACAGUGGAAUUGUUGGGAUUGUAGCUGAAAUAAGAAUUUCCCUUCUGCCACUGGUAGCAUAUAAAUAUAGCUGUAGAAAAAUAUAUCCUCUAAAUAUUUCAAAUGGAUACAAUGUGUUUAUAGGAUAUUUAUAGGUGACAGUCCCAAUAUUUAUAAACUUCGAUCUCUUAGCAGGGAGUGGCGCUCCGUGGACUCCAGGUAAGAAUUAAAAAAAGUCAAAAACAGUUUGGCUCUUUACAAUGGGGGGAAUGGAGGGGCACCAGGUUACUCCUGGCACCUUAAAGGACCACUCUAGGCACCCAGACCACUUCAGCUUAAUGAAGUGGUCUGGGUGCCUGGUCCUUCUAGGGUUAACCCAUUUUUUCAUAAACAUAGCAGUUUCAGUGAAACUGCUAUGUUUAUGAAUGGGUUAAGCCUUCCCCUAUUUCCUCUAGCGGCUGUCUCAUUGACAGCCGCUAGAGCUAUGCGGCUUCUCACUGUGAUUUUCACAGUGAGAGCACGCCAGCGUCCAUAGGAAAGCAUUAUGAAUGCUUUCCUAUGUGACCGGCUGAAUGCGCGCGCAGCUCUUGCCGCGCGUGCGCAUUCAGCCGACGGGGCGGAGAAGAGGAGGAUCGGAGGAGGAGAGCUCUCCGCCCAGCGCUGGAAAAAGGUAAGUUUUUAUCCCUUUCCCCCUUCCAGAGCCGGGCGGGAGGGGGUCCCUGAGGGUGGGGACACCCUCAGGGCACUAUAGUGCCAGGAAAACGAGUAUGUUUUCCUGGCACUAUAGUGGUCCUUUAACCACUCCAGUGCGUUGUAGUGGUUUUGUUAUCUAGAGUGUUUCUUUAAUACCACUUUAAUACAAGAGUGAUAUAUCCAUUCCUAUAUAACAUUAGUCGUGUUAGAAUUAUGUCUGUUUCUAAGUACUGCCAUGCAUGAAUUGUCUUGCUUAAAUAAAUUAUAUACAUAUUACAAAUCAUAUUCUAGUCAAUUUAUAGAUUCUUGAAACUUCAUUUAAAUUAUUCUGAGCACUUAUAUGAAUUAUACAAAUUAAUGGAAAUGUAAUUCAUCAUUUAAAGCUUCUGGCACUUUAUGCAAUGGCAGGUUGAAUAUCUAUUUCAUUUUAAGAUUGUUUAAUCUUUAAUUGUCAUCAAACCAUCUAAUAUGUUUAUGCAGGCGGUCAAUGAUUUUAAUCUUCUAGGAAUACUGCUUGCAAUCAGAACGCCAUUUGCAAUUUCAAACUACAGCAUUUUUUUUUCCAUUUGUGAAUAUUGCUCUAGUACUCAUAAAUUCAUAAUGCUUUUUAUUGUUAUUGUGUAUAAAUGUAAUUGCUAUUGUAUUAAAGAUAUAUACUUGCAGUGUUACUACUACCUACUCCAUCCCUAGUUUUGGGUUUCUGGAUCGGUUCAUCUAGAAUGUCAGAAUUCCCUACUCUGUAGCUAUUUGUAACAUUAUCUCUCUCAUCCUGCAUUACUACUGUGACAGAGCUCCAGUACUCUGACCGAGUAUCUCUGCCCAGUCCACUUCCUAGCUACAUUCACAGACCCUGGAACGCUUUAACCUGCAGUUGCAGAAGCUUGACUGGGGUCUCUCUGGAGCUCUUCUACCUGACCAGGCUGCAACUCUCUUCCUCCAGGCAUGUAUCUACAACUCUGCCUGCAAUGUGAUUAGCUCCUGCCUUUAUAAAGACACUUGUUGCUCUCAGGCCAAGCUCUUUUUGAAUUGUCUCGGGCUACAGGGACAAUGCAUACAGUCAACAGGUUCCAAAGACUCUGUUCCUGGAUCCCUGAACAAAUCCAGCAGGACAAACAGCUCCAAAUGGAACUAGCAUACAAUUCUUUAUCUUAAAAAGAACUAACCUUUAGGGACUAGUCCUUGAACAUAUGGUGACAAACUGUCAAGGAUCUUACCUGAAGUGGGAGUCCGGCACGCAGAGUUGAGGCACCCUUUGCAAAUCGACACAGACCGAGGGGGACUCAGGACAGAAAUCCCCAAGGCUGUGACACAGUGCACUGGGGCUGAAAUAACCAGUGCUUCCUGGAACGCACUACAGACAAAGGAUAUCCAGAAGAGUAGUCAGUAUCAGAAUCAGAAGUCAGGACGGGCGGCAAUCAGGGACGAGCAGGGGAUCAAAAGCAGGAGUCAGAUGAACAGCAGUGAAACCAAACAGGAACAGGAAACACGAUCUGAAAACGAGAACCAGCCUUGCGGGGUUUAAAUAGGGAGUCUCAGCCAAUCAUCAAGGAACCAGGAACAGGUGUGCACAUUCCAGGCGUACAGGCUCAGACUACAGGAUACCAAGAACAACCAGAAACAGUCAAAGAUGCGUGGAGCUCAAUGCAAGGAUACCGACUGGGAUGCAGGAAACUCAGGUUUGAUCCCAACCAGACCCAAAUACACAAUAUUGUGUAAAGCACAAUGGUGAUCCUGACAUUACCUCCCCUUCAAAGACGCCGUAGGCGAGAAGAGGAAUGCAUCUUACGACCCAGGAGGUUACUUUUUGGAUUUCUUGGCUUUGGUGGUACUAGUAGGAGCAGAGGUCAUAGCUUGUAGGGCCUUUUCAAAUACUUGCAAGUCCUCCUUCCGGACUAGAGUCCCAUUAGAGGCAUAGGUACAGCCAGAAAGAGGGUCUUCCUUGACAGGACUUGUAGUGGUUGUGGUGCUUGCCUUCUUAGAAGCAGAAUCUUUAGUAGAAAUAGAGAUCUCAGGUUCUUUAGUAACAGAUUCCUGCACAACCUCAGGAGCAACGACUGUAGAAGGCUGAGGAUUGGACAGAGUGGUCAAGCAAGGACAGGCAGCAUGUUGGCAGACAGGUCUCAUAGGAUAUGCCAGAGUAGUACCCAGACGGAGAACCCGAGACCUAGAUGGACGAAUGGGACAAAAAGAUAUUAAAUGUCCCAUCUCCCCACAAUAAUAACACAGUCCAUGCGCCAUCCUUCUUGCCCUUUCUUGAGAUGACUGACGGAACCUAACCAGUCCAAUCUCCAUGGGUUCCUCCGCCUCCCUGCCAGAUUUAUACGAUGUUUCGGGAGACUUGGGAGCGGUAGGGUUAGCUGUAACAUCAGUCCGAGUGAAAGGAGUAGUGUAGUCCAUUUCCAGUCCGGGUUGCAAUAUGUGUGAAGCAACAGUAGAUGAUCUAUGUACAUAUGACUUUUGUGUCUUGUUGCAUUGUAAACCCAGGGACCGAAUAAAGGACUCCCAGGAAUCUAGGACUGGGCUUUUGGCGAGUAACAACUGGUGGGCCCAGAUCUUAAGGUGCCCCGACAAUAAGGUAAUCGCUGUCCUCACUUUAAUGACGUCUGUGGCAUAGGUAAGUGGUCUCAGGGAGAACAGGACCUCGCAAUCAACUUUGAAGGUAUCAUACUUAGACCGGAUCCCAGAAAAUUUCUCGGGUAGAGCAACCAGCGGUUCAGAGAGUCCAGAGUCAUAGGUUACUCUCCCUUUAAGGGAAGCCAGCUCCUGCUGUAAGCCCUGCAAAGCCUGGGUGAGCUGGGAAACUUGCUUGGUCAAGGCUGCAACGGUAAUCUUCAACUCUGCAGACUCCAUUUGGUCAGAUCGUACUGUCAAGGAUCUUACCUGAAGUGGGAGUCCGGCACGCAGAGUUGAGGCACCCUUUGCAAAUCGACACAGACCGAGGGGACUCAGGACAGAAAUCCCCAAGGCUGUGACACAGUGCACUGGGGCUGAAAUAACCAGUGCUUCCUGGAACGCAGUACAGACAAAGGAUAUCCAGAAGAGUAGUCAGUAUCAGAAUCAGAAGUCAGGACGGGCGGCAAUCAGGCGAAAACAGUAGACGAGCAGGAGAUCAAAAGCAGGAGUCAGAUGAACAGCAGUGAAACCAAACAGGAACAGGAAACACGAUCUGACCACGAGAACCAGCCUUGCGGGGUUUAAAUAGGGAGUCUCAGCCAAUCAUCAAGGAACCAGGAACAGGUGUGCACAUUCCAGGUACAGGCUCAGACUACAGGAUACCAAGAACAACCAGAAACAGUCAAAGAUGCGUGGAGCUCAAUGCAAGGAUACCGACUGGGAUGCAGGAAACUCAGGUUUGAUCCCAACCAGACCCAAAUACACAAUAUUGUGUAAAGCACAAUGGUGAACCUGACACAAACAAUCAAAAUACACAUGUCUAUUCAGUCAACAGGGGAUGCUGCUGAAUUCACAACUAACAAUGUAUAGUUUUUUUUUCAGUUGCUACCAUCACAAGCCCCUUUCAGAGUCUCUUGGGACCAAGCCCAUAGUCUGUGGGCAAGCGCAUGGCCUACAAGCCUCUCCAAAAGGCCAUAGGAUGGUAGCGUCUGACACAACUACUGUUGGGUUGGGUAUUUCAUAUUUCACAUUGUAUUACAAAUCUAAAUAAAUUGACAAAUCUACAUUAUCAUUUAUAAAAGUCGUGAUACUGUUUUACCGAGGAGUGCGGUUCCUGCUGUUUGUCGUAAUCAUGUUUAAUGACUCCAAUGCAAAUUUAAGAAAACUGAAAAAUGGCAGAAUUCCUGUAAUACCAAAAUUCUACUCCUGCUGUUUUACUGUAUGAGGAUGUGUGCGCUGGGAAUAGAAAUGGAACAAAAAUUAACAUAGCAUUUAGCUAAAAGGUUAUUUUUUAGAGAUUGCAUGGUUUAUUCCCUAAAUUCAAAACUGUAGUAAAUUGACAAAUUUGCAGAGAAUGAACAAUUCUCCAAUUCAGAAUAUUAUAUUAAUAAUUUGUGCAAUGUGUGGAAUAGUGAAAAAAAGUCAUGCAAAGUGUGGUGAGGAGAGGAGAAUGACUGUGAUAGCCCUUUCAGCCCAGGGUGGCUACGUCCCUUGUGUUUAGCAGGAACGAGGAUAGUUGAUUAUAAGAUGCUGGCUCUAUUAAAUAUUGUAUUCAAUAAGAUCAGAGAGAUGAUUUAAGGUCAUGUCACAUCCAUCCUGGUCUCUCUUAGUAGAGGGGAAAGGAACCAUAACACAGAUAGCCUCUGACAGUGGCCCUUCCCUCUGGCAGAUAUUUUAACUGGUGACCUACAUUAUCCAAAGACUUGCUCCACUGGGAUUAUGAGUUACUGGGAUUGCUGUUGGGAGUUAUGGAACUGUGGGUUUCUGUAUAUCUGCCACCGCUUGUGUUUCCCCAGAUGUUGCUUAUGUUUUAGAAACUCUGUGACUAUUAUAGUUGCACGGCAUGUAUCAUGGUUAUGCUAUUUGUCAAAUGUCCUGUGUGCACUCCUGUCCUGUUGAUGCUCUCUACCAACUAGGUGGAUUUGGCUGAGGAACCUGUACAGCACCACCUGUUGAUUGUGAAGAUCUUUCAAGAGUUAUGUGCACUACCUGAAUAGCAAGGCUUGUUAAAUAUUCAGGUAGAUAUGCAUGUUAUGGUUUAGGCAGGUAGGGGAUGUAUUUCUCGUUACUGUUUGCCUUCCCCACUGGUUAUAAAUAUUGCAUUGUGUUAUGAGUGUCUGUAUGAUUCCCUAUAUGAUCAUGUUUCAUGUACUGGAUUGAGUGUGUAACCAUAAGUGUAAGGUAAUGCCGAUAGGUGCUAGUCCUGAGUAUAAAUAAAGUAUUGUGUGGUAGUUCCAUUGGGAACUGUGUCCUGUCUGGAUUGUUUACGGAUUCCAGUAGCCAAGUUUUUGAACCUGCUUGCUGGAUGCCCUAGUCUCUGGUUCUUGGGACAUGUUAAGAAAGAACUAGGCCAUAGAGCUGAAGUGCAUUUGUAAUGGCAGUAGUUGGAUGCAUCACAGGCAGCUGCGUGGGAGAAGACGGCACAGGCAAAGGGGUCACAGGUAGCAGGUAUGGCUAGCUAACUGGGAGGACAAGCUUGGUUGAUAUAGCCACUGGCUUAAUUCCCCCGGUGGUGUUUAGUCACAGCUUCUUUCCUCCCAGCUCUUUGUGAGACAGUCAAGAGAAAAUGGGGCAAUUUAAGACAUGGAGAAUUAGGUCUAGGGAUAAGUCAUACUUAACAGGAGGCAGGAAGAAUUUGGCUCGGUAUUAGGGUGUUCCUGGUUGCACCGCUUGUGCACACCUGUUAAUAUUCUUCAUACUGCUGGCUGUUAAAGCCCUAACUAUCUUUUGUUGCAAAAAAAAGCCCUAAUCUGCUUUGCAAAAGACAAAAAGAAAAAAAAAAAAGUUUUUCAUGGACGAAUAAUUCUAAAUUUAGUUUGUAAUGCUCUUUUUGAGCUAGAUCUGAUCUCCUGGUGACAAGACAACACAUUUGUUAGGAGUUGGGGUCAGGGGUUAUAUAUGUUCAAGGAUACAUGAUCUAAUGGCAGGAUGACUGUUGGAAUGACUAUGAGUUUGGAGAAGUCGUCAAUCUCCAUGCUGAUUAAGAGAAUACCAGACUGAUUAUUCAACAUGUAUAUCAUUGAUGUGUUAAAUUAUGCACAGAUACAUCUGCACAGAGUAGGAUGCCUGCCUUCCCUUCAAAGCACCUGGUCAAAUAUGGAUCACAGAAAAAUGUGUUCAGAUAGCACUGCAAAACUAUAUGUCCAUUAGAUAUGCGCUUUACAUUUAAGAAGGUGCACAAACUGCCAAAAAAAGUAUCACAUUGAGAAAUGCAAACACUACUAUUUUAGCAUCUUUGUUAAGUUUUUGUUGAUACUCUUUCACGUUACUCAAUUUUGUCCUUUUAUAAUUGAAAAUCGAAUAAUUGGAAAUUAUUGAGAUAGGGGUUUGGACUGCAUAUAGGGGUUGUGGACUGCAUCCUCCUAUUCUCCUGCAAAUGAAAAUAGUUUGUUUGUAUGGAGGUCUGUUGGCAGAGAACUGCAGGAGUUAGGAAGCUGGUAGGACUUGUAUGGGCGUGUUGCCUUAAUCUUAAUGUUCUCCAAGUAUAGACCGUUCACUGGGAUGUUCCCUAAUGGACUACUGUAUCUGGGGUUGACCACAUAUAAUGUAAUUACUUGUAAUCACCACCAAGGACAUGUUGUUAUUGACAUAGAUAUUCACAAAUCUAUAUUCAUGGUCUGCUAAACGUUGCAGGUCAUAUUGAUAGAGAGUGCAUGGAUACAUGCCUUCUUGUCCCAGAUUUAUAUUUAUUGCAUGUUCUGCCUUAGUAGUAUGAUUGUCAUGGAAAUGUGUGAGUUCUAUUUAUAGAUCAGGAAUGCUCUACAUGAGUGACAUUUUAAUGGAUCAACUCAGCAUCUCAGGAAAACAUACAGACAAAUGGCAGCUCUGAUGCAAAAUAAAUACAAAUGCAGGACCAUAUUGCAUUCUGUGUAUACUAAUGUUUGAUACUUACCAGGGCCUUCUUAACAGCAUUAUAGGCCCUGGGGCACUGCCUACACAGCCACUAUAUAUAUAUUAUCGAUAAAUUAAAACUUAUAUUUCAUGGUACCUCCAACAAAAUCAGUGUUUAAACGUAAAAAAAAAAUAAAAAAAAUUCUGUACAGCAGAUAUUAAUUCACACAAAUGUUUGGACAAUAAAACAUGAGUCUUGAAGAUGAAAAACAAGAAAUUCAACAUAAAAAUGGUACUCCGUUGGUAAAUCAUAUGACGGAGAUGGCACAGUACGAGAUUACUAUGAAUUACCAGUAUUUAUGUUCAGAUAACAGCUGGUACUGAGGUGGUUAGUCCACCUAAACAUUUUAAUAAAGAGGGUUUGACAGUUCUGAAUAAAUCUUGCAGAUUAAUAUACUGAAAUGUUUGCAAGCCUAUGGGUCCCUAUGCUCGUGGGGCCUCCAGACACCUGCCCAGGGUGCCCAUGCGUUAAAACAGCCUUGACUCUUACCUCUUAUAAUUCAAAAGGUAAAUUACUCAUUAAACUGUAAUAUAAUUGAUUAAUGCUUAAGUGAGAUCCUCUGUUGGUCACUUUUCACUUGAUCUGUGAACAAAGUCAAAAUUUAGUACCUUUCCCUUAGCCAUCAAACGUCUUUUUCCCCCCCAUUAAUUAUCUUUGUUUGAUCUCCACAAAUUCAGUAUCAGAAAUUUGGUUAGUAAUUUGGGUACAUUUUAACUUGGAGUUUGGAAAUUCGGCCGAUCACCCAAUCAGCCAAAAUUCUAAGUCUUAUCCAAAUGCAGUUUUAAUGAGAUAUGUUUUUAAAAAGCUUUGUUUUGUACCACUAAACCAGACCUCUUUUGUAUGUGUGAUAUGCAGAUUCUAUUUGUCUGUGUCUUUGCAAGUUGUAUUAAGAGCAAUUACUAACCCUUCUUAAGGCUGCUUAGAAGAUAAACUCCCUGCAGUCAUUUAAGGCAAUAUUUUGGAACUUAACAGAGAUACCACUGAGAACAGGUGAAAGAAGUGGACAUGGCCAAUAUAGAUAUAGCUUAGGUCUUUUUGCUCACAAUAUCCUUGUCUUUUGUGUGAGAAGUACAUGGAUGUAGAUGAUGGAUGUAAGUUAAUGUACAGAAUUCAUUCUCCAUCUCACCUGCUAUGUGGGUAAGUGUCAGGAAUAUUUACUAAGAUGAGAAUUUAAAGUGGCCAGGUUAGCUAAACUGAAAAUGUAGCUGAACUAGAGAAUGUUUCCAAUUCGGCCAUGUUGACCUUUAAUUUUACAUUCACUUUGAAUACUCACUUUAUUGAAUAGCCCUGAGAGCUUUGAAGUUUUACAAAACAAUUAGAGCAGGAAGAUGUGUAUGGGUUAUACAUGAUUUUGUUACUGAUAAAAAUUAAAGACGGGACUGCAUACUGUAUAGUAGUAGUACUCAUCUUUUGCUCAAAAAGUAAGAGAAAUGUUCACUAUACAAAGCAAGGGAACAUUUGAGGUGCAGAACUAUGCCUAACUUAAAGGUCUACAUUUGCACAAAAUUUGUGAUUUUGCAAGAGGUGUCCACAGACUAAAGGCACAGAGCACUGAUGAAAGAUUUAAAAAGUUAUUCACGAAAGUGAGGAAAGUGAGAAUUUUAAAAUAAAUUUAAAAUUUCAGGGCAAAAUAUACGAAGUUUAAAAAUUUCCCAAUACAGCUAUACUUUCAGUUCAGUCACUUUUUCCUUAUAUUUUAAAUUCAGUUUGAAUUGACUUUGAAUUACAUCCCUCAUAUAAUCCUGUGUGUUCUAAAUGGCCCAAUUCAAACCUAUAAGGGAACAAAAAACCUCUUCCUCUGUAAAGAGAGAAUGAUAAUAUUAUUUAUUUGAGCCAUCAUAUACUAUUUACCAAAAUGGAACCUGUGUGAUGUUUAGUUUUUCAGUUUAAAGCUGACCUGGAAAAAUAACGAGAUGGCAAUUUUUUUCACCUUGCCUAUUUUUCCCUGACAUGUUGUUCCUGUGUAAUUUUUCCACUAUCCCCAGUUUACUGAAUAAACACUCUAACACUCAAGCUAAAGCAUGUCAAUGCUCGGCAAGUGUAUGAUAAUAUUUCCAUAAAUAGCAUCGGACGCAUGCCUCCUCACUUAUGCUAUAGCCAUAAUUGAGAUACGGGUUAUUGAAUACACGACAACUUCUAAAAAUACCCUGCCUUCUCCCUAGCAAGGGACAUUUGUGGAUUAUGCAGACCAGUGGGGUAAAAUGAUGAAAUUGACACUGUACUUACAGAAGGUAUUGGCAUAGGAACCAAACAAAAUCUAAAGGGGUGGGGGGUAUUCAGUCACAUAAGUUCCAGCUUUAUUUAGGGAGUAUAUAUUAAUCCAUGCAAUGUUUUACAGGCAAAGUGAUAUAUUACUACUAGGAAAUAUAUUAACCCCUUAAGGACGGAGCCAAAUGUACACGUUGUGAACAAAACAAAAUGUAAACAAAACCUGGCAUUUGCGCUACAUGUCUGUCCAACCGUUAUUCACCUCUUUCAUAGUAAAUGCACGCACCCUUAUUAUAUAUCAUUUUAUUCAGGGGAAACAGGGCUUUCAUUUAAUAUCAAAUAUUUAGCUAUGAAACAUAAUUUAAUAUGAAAAAAAUGGGAGAAAAUACGAUUUUUAAAAAAUGCCUUUGAGACUGUAUAGUAGCCCAGGAAUGAAAUUUACACCCAUAAUGGCAUACCAUUUGCAAUAGUAGACAACCCAAGGUAUUGCAAAUGGGGUAUGUCCAGUCUUUUUUAGUAGCCAUUUGGUCACAAACACUGGCCAAAGUUAGCGCUAGUAUUUGUUUGUGUGUGAAAAAUGCAAAAAACGCCAAUUUUGGCCAGUGUUUGUGACUAAGUGGCUACUAAAAAAGACUGGACAUACCCUGUUUGCAAUACCUUGGGUUGUCUACUAUUGCAAAUGGUAUGCCAUCAUAGGGGUAAUUUUCAUUCUUGGGCUACCAUAGGGUCUCAAAAGCAAUGUCCAAUCUGGCGAAUUUUAAUGUGAAAAAAAUGAAACGCAAGCCUUAUAUUUGACGCUGUAACUUUUGAAAACACCAUAAAACCUGUACAUGAGGGGUACUGUUGUACUCGGGAGACUUAGCUGAACACAAAUAUUUGUGUUUCAAAACAGUAAGAAGUAUCACAGCAAUAAUAUUGUCCGUGUAAUGCUGUUUGUGCGUGAAAAAUGCAAAAAACUUCACUUUUACUGGCGAUAUCAUCGUUGUAAUACAUUUACUGUUUUGAAACACUAAUAUUUGUGUUCAGCGAAGUCUCCCGAGUAGAACAGUACCCCCCAUGUACAGGUUUUAUGGUGUCUUGGAAAGUUAUAGGGUUAAAUAUAAUUCUAGCAAAUUAAAUUCCCUUUACUUUCGGCAUGGGUUGUCAGGCAGGUCCCGCUAAUUGUAAUUAAUUAAGAUACCUAAUUAUGUAAAAAUAUUACAUAAAUAUAUAUGUAGAAUUAAUAUAUAUAUAUAUAUAUGUAUGUGUAUAUAUAUGUAUAUAAUUUUUUUAAAAUAUUUUUAUUUAUAUAUAGGUAUAUAUAUAGUGAUACAUAUAUAUUUAUGUAUAUAGAUAUAUAUAUUAUUUUGUUCUACAUGUAUUUUGAUAUAUAUAUAUAUAUAUAUAUAUAUUAAUUUCACAAUACAGUUAGAACGAAAUAACACACAUUUAUAUAUUUUUUAAUUAUUUUUUUAAUUUUAUUUUUUAACGUAUUUACAUUUUAAUUUUUUUAUAUAUAAAUAUAUAACAAUAAUUAAUACAAAUACACACACAGAUACAAACACACAUGUAGAUACAAAUACAAACACAUACAGACACACAGAGAGAGGCACACGGGCACAGACACACAUACAGAUAGACACACGCAUACAGACACACUGAUACACACACAGGCCGCAGGCCCCCCCAACAACAUCCCUGGCACACUCACCCGAUACCUCCAAAAAUGCUCCAGAACUGCUGAACGCUGUUGGAGAAAGUCUCACUGUGCAUCUGACUUUCUCCACUAUAAAUUUAUGCUGAGCUCAUACAGCUUGGCUCUUUCCUCUGCAAAAGUUAAUUACUUCAAUACCCUCAUAACCACACUCUCCCGCGAACCCAAACGACUAUUUCACGCAUUUAACUCUCUUCUUUGCCCUGCUGUUCCUCCUCCACCUACUAACUUGAUCGCCUCAGACUUUGCAACUCACUUCACUGACAAGAUCUCUACAAUCAGAGAAGAAAUCUCUCAUCUUUCUUCUUCCCCUAACUUCACUCCCUCUGCUGUUCUAUGUUCAUUUGCACCUGCAACAUUGGAAGAGGUUUCUGCUCUGCUCCAGUCCUCCUGCCCCACCACCUGCUCCUUAGAUCCAAUUCCCUCACAUCUCAUCCGUACUCUAUCUUCUCCUCUUUCAUCACAUCUCACUGAAAAUUAUCAGUUUCUCUCUCUUCUCUGGUAUAUUUCCAUUGCCCUUCAAACAUGCAACUGCAACCCCAAUUCUAAAGAAGCCCAAUCUUGACCCUAACUCCCCAUCCAACUAUCGUCCUAUCUCGCUACUGCCUUUUGCAUCCAAGAUCCUUGAAAAAAUUGUGUAUGCGAGAUUGACAGACUUCCUCGAGUCCAACUCUCUGCUAGACCCGCUUCAGUAUGGUUUCUGCGCUAAGCACUCUGUGGAAACCGCACUGACCAAUGUAUCCAAUGAUCUACUCGCUGCAAAAUCUCGUGGUCACUACUCUAUCCUAAUUCUCCUUGACCUGUCUGCGGCUUUUGACACUGUUGAUCAUCAACAGCUUCUUCUCAUCCUCCGCAUUAUCGGUCUACAAGAUAUUGCUCUCUCCUCGUGCUCCUCCUACCUCUCCCAGCGCUCUUUCAGUGUUUCUUUCUCUGGCUCUGCUUCUUCUCCCCAACUCCUCUCUGUUGGUGUCCCCCAAGGUUCAUUCCUUGGUCCCCUACUGUUCUCCAUCUAUACUGCCUCCCUUGGUAAACCCAUUAGCUCCUUUGGCUUCCAAUAUCAUUUCUAUGACACGCAAAUCUACCUGUCCUCUCCUGAUCUCUCCCCGUCCCUCUUGACUAGUGUCUCUGACAGCCUCUCUGCUGUUUCUAACUGGAUGGCUGCUCACUCCCUUAAACUAAACUUGACCAAAACUGAAAUUCUGGUCUUUCCUCCCUCAAGUGUUGUUACUCCUGUGUCUGUCUCCCUCCAAGUCAACAGUGCUACCAUCAGCUCCACCACGCAGGCUCACUGCCUAGGUGUUCUUUUUGACUCCGACCUCUCCUUCAAGCCUCAUGGUCAAUCUAUCGCCAAAUCCUGUCAUUUCAACCUCAAAAACUUUGCGUACAUCUGCCCCUACUUAACACCAGAUGCGACUAAGGUCCAUUCCACUGUCCUUUCUCGCCUUGACUACUGUAAUCCGCUUCUCAGUGGUCUUACGUGCUCCCAACUUGCACCAUUACAGUCCAUAAUGAAUGCGGCGGUGAGGCUCAUCUUCCUGUUCGCCUGCACCUCCCAUGCCUCACCCUUCUGUCAGUCCCUACAUUGGCUUCCUAUAAAAUAUAGAGCUCAAUUUAAAAUUCUUUUUCUUGCUUUCAAAUCUCUACAUAAUGCUGCUCCCACCUAUCUAUCCUCCCUUAUACACAAGUAUGUCCCGUCUAGCCCUUUACGAUCUGCUGAAGACUUUCGUCUAUCUUCUGUCCGUACUCCCUCCUCUGAUGCUCGCCUUCAAGAUUUUUUGAGGGCUGCACCGUUCCUGUGGAACUCGCUUCCCUCCUCCGUUAGAUGCUCACCCAGUCUCCACUCCUUCAUAAAAAUCGUUAAAAACCCACUUCUUCAUAAAAGCGUAUCAGUUAAACUGUUAAUAGCUCCUGACUGAUUCCUCUUCUGCAACUGUCACUAGUCUAAUACUAUCCCUACCUUUUUGUGUCAUUUUACCCCACUACCUCUAGCAUGUAAGCUCAUUGAGCAGGACCCUCAACCCCUCUGUUCCUGUAUGUCCAACUUGUCUGGUUACAACUACAUGUCUGUUUGUCCACCCAUUGUAAAGCGCUGCGGAAUUUGACGGCACUCUAUAAAUAUAAUAAUAAUAAUAAUAAACACAGAAACACAAACAGAUACACAGACACAUAUUGACAAAUACAGAUACAUAUAUACCAACACACAUACAGAUACACAGACAUACAGGUAUGGUGAGAGGGAGGGGGGUGAUGGUGAGAUGGAGAGGGGGUGAUGGUGAGAGGGAGAGGGUGAUGAGUGAAGGGAGAGGGUGAUGUGGGAAGGAGAGGGUGAUGGUGGGAAGGAGAGGGUGAUGGGGAGAGGGGUGAUUUGAGAGGGAGGGAAUUGAAGGGGAAGUGAUGGUGAGGAGGGAGGGUGAUGAUAGGUAAGGAAGUGAUGGUGAGAGGAGAGAGUGAUGGAGAGAGAUGUGAAAGGGAGGGUGAUGGUGAAGGGAGGGUGAUUAUGAAGGGAGAUGAAAGGAAGGGUGAUGGUUAGAGGUAGGGAUUGAUGGUGAAGUGAAAGGAGGGUUGAUAUUGUGAAGGGAUGGGGGUUGAUGAUGAGAGGAGAGGGUUGAUGAUGAGAGGGAGGAUGGGGAGGGUUGAUGAGUGAGGAGAGGGAGGGUGAUGGUGUGAGGGAGGGGGGUGAUGGUGAGAGGGAGGGGGUGAUGGUGAUGGAGGGUUGAUGAUGAGAGGGAGGGGUUGAUGAUGAGAGGGGAGGGUUGAUGAUGGUGAGAGGGAGGGGGUUGAUGGUGAGAGGGAGGGGGUGAUGUGAGGAGGGAUGAGAGGGAGGGGUGAUGGUGAUGAUGAGAGGGGGGUGAUGAGGGGGUGAUGAGAGGGAGAGGGUGGUAUGAGAGGGAGGGGGGUGAUGAGAGGGAGGGGGGUGAUGGUGAGAGGGAGGGGGGUCUGUAGCUCUGCACACCGUGGAGCUGCAGACCGGUGUCUGCGAUGGGUGCAGGAGGGGCAUUGCACCCGGCGGCAUAUCGAGCAAGCAGCCGGGCCCCCUCCUGGUGUCGGGGUCUCAGUCAGUGACCCAGGACCCAACACAGUCUGCCCCAGGCACCCCCCUAGUGAGUGGCACCCGGGGAGGCCCACUCUGCCUCCCUCCCCCUUAGUACGCCACUGGAUGCAUUAAAUGUAGAUGUCGGGAUCCUAUUCUGACAAACAAGACUUUUGUUCCGUUUAUUCUGUUCCUUUAAAACCAAGGUCCUGCACUGAUUAUAUUUUACCAUAGAAACAUAGAAUGUUACGGCAGAUAAGAACCAUUCGGCCCAUCUAGUCUGCCCAAUUUUCUAAAUACUUUCAUUAGUCCCUGGCCUUAUCUUAUAGUUAGGAUAGCCUUAUGUCUAUCUCACGCAUGCUUAAACUCCUUUACUGUGUUAACCUCUACCACUUCAGCUGGAAGGCUAUUCCAUGCAUCCCCUACCCUCUCAGUAAGGUAAUACUUUCUGAUAUUUUUAAACCACAACCACUAGUGGCCUCCCUUGCCUCUAGUUCUGGAAACUCACGUGCCUAGUUUUGAUUACUUCAGCUACAAAAGGCUACACCCAACUCACCACAUGGACUUUACAUUGAAGUUGUUGAUUUGCCUGAAACACGUCAGAUCCUGGCUCAUGUGAACCAACCUUAUGAAUUACCUUCUUUUCUUUAAACCUGCAUUAUCACCAACCUGCUCCAUACCAGCCUGAACAACUUUGCAUUCCUGCUAGACUUCCAAACUUGCUCCAUACCAGCCUGAACAACUCUGCAUUCCUGCUAGACUUACAAACCUGCACUACACCAACCUGACCUUUACAACUAUCCAGCUUUCCCUUACCAGUCUGCAGAUACAACUUAUCUGCUCCAUACCUACCUGCAUAACACCAAUCUGAACUUUUACUCAAAGUAAUAUUUCAUGGUGUUAUUUUCCUGCUUGAGCAAUACUCCUUCCAAUAGGGGGCUUAUUAACUAAAGUUCUCCUUUUCCUGUAAUUCUGCAACCUUAUUGUUCUGUUUUAUUUGUCCUAUUUUACCUAUACUUUUAUCUAUAGAGUUUCUUGUUAUUUACUUGCAUUCCUGUUUAUAUUCUAUUUAGGGCACAUUGCCUAAAUCCCUUUAUUUCUGUUUUCUAUCUUUUCGAUCAUGUCCAAAUCCAGCAAUAAAGAAUUGUUAACUCUGGCCAAAUCACAUAUCUGACCUGCUCAGAAUUAUGACAGAAGGUAUAAAAUAGGGAAGUGCCAUUAUUGGAAUCGCUAAAGAAAAAAAUGGAUGAAAUACUCAUCUUAUUUCUAUAUUUAUCCCAGAUCUGUAUCAAAAGUUUGAUUUGGGGGGACAACAAGCUGAUUUUAGGUCUACGUUUCUGGGGCACCAAAAGUAUAUUAGUUAUACUAUGUCCUCCUAACAUGUCUGCUUCCAAAGUCACCCAUUGUGGUUUUGUAAUUUUAAGGAAGUGGGGUAAAGCGGUCACUAGUAUGACUGGAUGAUAGUUCGACUUUAUAUUUGGCAAAGCCAAACCUCCCAAUUUUUUUAAGAGCUUGUAACAGUCUCACUAUAACGCAAGAUUUAACCCUUGCCGAAAUAAAGCUCAUAAGAGCAGUCUGUAUAGUCUUAAAAUAUGAUGUUGAAAUAGGUAUAGGAAAUGUACGAAACAAAUAUUGAAGUCUCUGUAAUAUGGACAUUUUAAAUGUCGCUAUUCGAUCUGACCAUGUUAAGUAGAACAUGGACCAUUGUUGCAGAAGUUGCUCACACUUAUUCCAAAGAGUAUUAUAAUUUGCUGCAUAUAAAUUAGCUGCAUUUGUUUUUUGUAAUUAUCAGUCCUAAAUAUUUAAUGGAAUUUCCUUCUCCAAUCAAAUUGAUAGGAAUUACUUACGGGACAAGGCAGGGGUGUCCCCUGUUCCCUUUAUUCUAUGUGCAUGCACUUGAACCAUUGUUGCAUUAUAUUAAAGAACAUCCCAAGAUACACGGUGUACAAAUGGGAGAUCAAAAUGUUAAAAUCAGCGCAUUUGCAUUAGUAUCUUACUAUUAGUAUCUUACUAUUCCCUUAAUGCAGCUAAAACGCAAGCUGUGCCUAUUCCAUUUUUGGGUCUGUUAUUUUUUGCUGUAGUGUGGCAGUCACAUCUUUAUGUAUAAAUAUGGAUACUCAUUUUGUAUUAUUACCUGAAAGGGCAUGAAAUUGUGUUGGGAAUUGUUUAUUGAAAAUAUGUGGCGGAUGCGUUUUAGUAAAAUGGGUUUCCUGAAUACAUGCAAUGUCUACUUUUUCCUGCUUCAUAUCUUUAAGAAGCGUUCCCCUUUUGGCUGGAGAAUUGAGACCUUUAACAUUAAACAUUACAAUUUUCAUAAAGUAUACACAUAUUGCCUCUUUGAAGUCUUAUGGUAAUCAAAGAAAUAUAUCUCCAAUCAGAAGGAGAUGGAAAAUAUUUUACUUGAUAACUUUUUGCAAUCUUGUUAUCUUGUGUAAAAAAUAUAUUACAAUGUACCCAAAGAGAAGUAAGAAAAAUAAAGAACUAAAAAUGCACUGGUGAUCUACUAGUUAAAUAAUGCUCAAUAUUCCUGAGCAUAGUUGUGUCAUGGAUAUCCCAGACACGGGGGGGGGUGAGGUGGGUUGAAUUAAUUAAGAGUAACUCCAUAAGCUGGAGGAACUAAACUAAAGAAACUAUUGAGGAGACGUUGAACAGCAGUCAGGUUUAAAAAUGAACAUGAACAGUUUUCAUGGUUUAGAUUUAUAUAGUUAUACUUUAUAUCUUUUUCCCUUUAUAUAUAUUUGAAGUUUACGAAAUUAAUAUAAAACAACAAUAUUUGAAUGAAAAAGGCUCAAAUUUUAGACUAGGUAGCAAAGACAAAUUGAUAUGUUACUAUUUAUAGCCUAAAUAUAUCCACAGCUACUUAUAUAUCACCCAAAAGUAUCUUACCGAAAACUACUUGACUUAAAUUAUCUAAUCAAUUUGACCAGUAGUGUAUAUACACUCUAAUACAAUGCAAAUCAUCCAAUUACAACCUGAAGUGAAUCCCCUCAUAUCUAGCCACUUAAAAAAAAAAAACACACACCACAAUUUAAGCAUGCGUGGGAUAGGCAUAAGGCUAUCCUAACUAUAAGAUAAGACUAGGGACUAAUGAAAGUAUUUAGAAAAUUGGGCAGACUAGAUGGGCUGAAUGGUUCUUAUCUGCCAUCACAUUCUAUGUUUCUAUGUUUCUAUUUAAAAAAAAAACAAACAAAAAAAAACAGUGUUCUUGUUUUUAUGACUGAGUCCAUUCUGAUGUUAUUCUAAAUAUAUUAGAUGGCUGUAUUAAUGGAAUAUAAAGCAGUGGAAUAUUCAAUCCGCUGAAUUUCGGUAAGGCUUCUACUGGCGUAUUUAUCGUAUGAGUCUUUCCUUCCUUAUAUACCAGUAUUUUUGCCUUGUAUCCCCAUCGAUAAACUAAGUUGUUAGAGCGUAAGGUAGCAGUAAAUAAAGAAAAAGAUUUACAAAACUGAAGAGUAGUUGCUGACAAAUCGGUGAAAAUAUAUAUGGCUUUGUAAGGAUCUGGAAAUUCUCUAUUCCUGCAGGCUUUAGUAAUCUGCUCUUUUACGUGAUAGACAUAUAUGCGCACAAUCAUAUCUCUAAUAUUGUAAAGAGCUUUGGAAUCUGUUGGCGCUAUAUAAAUGGCAAUAAUAAAUAAUAGAUGUUUCUGGUAAUUCUUUCGGUCUUCUUAGGCGAUGGACUCUGUCUACAAUCAAAUAGUCGAUUUGUGUUUCAGGCGUAAGGACCUUAAAGAAUUCUGUCAUGUAGCUAUGCAAAUCCGGAUUCUUUACGGACUCUGGGAUGCCUUCGAACACGGAGAUUAUUUCUCCUGGAACGAUCCUCCAAGUCAGCCAUUUUUCAUUUUUGUGUUUUCUGGAUGUUAUCCAUUUCUUGUAUUUUAUCAACUACACUAUUGUGGACUUUUGCAAAAUCAACCAACUUUUGUUCCAUAUGAGAAGUUCUUUGACCUAUCUCUUGAAUUGCCUUACGUACACCAGCCUUCAGUUUUUUAAUUUGGCUUUUAAAUGUACUUUGCAUAGUAUCUGAGAGAUCUGCUAACAUUGCUCUCAUAGUAGAUACCGUUAGGGGCCCUUAAUCCAGCGACAAGGGAAGGGUUUCUUGACCAAGGAUCUCCACCAUCUUCGCCGCCAUCUUGGUUAGAUGGAAGAUCCUCUCGGGGUUUCCCUAUAGGUACACGUGACAGAAAAAAAAAAAGUAGAUUUUUCAGCUUUUUUUGCUUUUGCAGAUUUUCCUUUACCUCUCGGAGACACUGGCCAGGGUACGUAAUGUUACUCAGUAUAUUGGUUAGUAUAUUGAUUAGUGUAUCGGUUGGUAUGUAGGUUAGUAUGACGGUUGGUAUUGCUACUCCUCAACACUCAAUCUGUGGGAGCUUCACAUACAUACACUCUGCCAGCACAAACUUUAAGUCACGCCCACUUAGAGAUAUGAUUUUGUAUAAGCACCUUACAAACCGUUAUGCUUACAAUGCUUGUAUUAUGAAUAUCAAUUCACAUUUAUGGGCUUAGUAGCUUCAGAAAAUAUUUUACCUAUAUAUUUUAAAUGUAUUUUUUUGCAGAUGUAUUUGCAUAUAUAUUUUAUAUGGCAGCUAACCGAGUUCCUAUCCGAGUUCCUUAAUUAGAGUCUAUGUAAAUGUCAUGCAUCUGCUAGGCACUUAAUCCUAAAUUAGCUAUGUGCCUAAAAAAAAAGCUCACUCUAUUUAUCAGUUUGUAAAACACAGGUCAGGUUAAUACAAUUUGAUGCUUGCCUGUCUUUGGUACAAUAGCUCUGGCCCUUGGUGUCGUACAGGAAGUAUUAUGGCAAUACGGCCCCUCUCAAUGCAAUAGCUCUGGUCCUCGUCAUCAUACAGCCAGUAUGAGUAUUCUGCCAAUAAUGUCCCCUUUCCUUAAGGGUUAGUAUGCCGUAUGCUGUUAGUAUGCGGUUUUCCUUAUUUCCUCCUUCACUCCUCACUCCUGUUUGUGGACUAUCGCGGUCCAUUACUGUCCACUUUUCCCCUCAGGUACUCUGCAAUUUUACAAUGUUGCCUGCAUCUAUGUCCGUGUUUCUGUUCACGAUUGUUCCACUCCAUCUCGUGGUGGCGUUCCUCUCCCCUCACUGCGUUCACGGCGUGCGCACGCUUACGUCAUCGUAACACAUUAAGUGUAAAAAUAUAAUUUAUUGUGAAGAUAGCAAUAGGUACGAUAACAUUAAUCAGUGAUUAUACAAAUGUAACACAGAAGAUUGCUUUAAAAUAUAUCAGGUUAUAUUUGCUAUUGCAAACAGUGUUCCUAUGUAAGACUUAGAACUUUAAAUAAUCUCUGUAGCAGCACAAGGCAGGUUUGACAGUUAUUUAUGAGAUAAAUGGGUUUUGAUUAAAAUCUGAAUUUCAACCAAUGAAUUUAUCAAUAAUUACAGGUAUUUAUAUCUUAGGAAUAUUUAUAGCCAUAUUUUCAAUUUGAGCUGCAGUAGCAAAUUUCAAAUAUGCAGAGACUACUUUUCCUAACAGGAAUGCAUUAUUCGAAAUGUUGAAUCAGAUAAUUUUCAUACCUAUUUAAAAACAUAAAGUAAUUAUAUUUACCAUGGUUGUUGCUGCUUCGCCCACUUAAUGGAUAAGGAUUUCAAAUUUGACGAAAAGUUGAAAAUAGCUAGAUAAGUAGCUUUAAAAGUUCAGAUUGUCAGUAGAAUAGUGAAUAGAAAUAUUAAUUAAAAUACAUUUAGGAGAACAUUAUUGAGUAAGGAGCUAAGAGAAAUAUUUUUUUUCUCUAUUCUGCAUAAUUUUGGGAAGGUUUCCUUAUCUCAGGUAACUUGCACCUACGGAUUUAACAUUCUUCAAUCAGAUUGUUGGGUGUAACAUAUGGCAAUUAUUAAUCUAUCAUCAAAUUAAUUAAAUUACACCAAUGGUUACCAUAGUGUUAAAACCAUAGUAAAAAUCUUAGUUGUGUUCAAGUAUAUCGCUAUCACUUAUAAAAAUAAGAUGAAAAGGUAUCCAGGAGAUAAAAUUAAUAAUGCUAAAAUAUAUAUCACAUAAAAGCACAAAUAUAAAUUAAUUCAAGUUCAUAUAGACCCAGAUGAGAGUUAUAUAGUAAGUCCAGAAUGAGUCCAAGUAUAAAAUCCAAUUAAUGAAAAGUUAUACAAGUCCAAUAGUCCACAAAAUGUGGAAAAAGGGUAAUCACACUGAGCUGUGUAUAUAUAUAAUACAGAGUCAUGGGAACCUAUUGCCAAUACAAUAUAAUUCACUGACUACCAAUGAAUAUGAAAAUAAGGAGAAAAAGGGCAAAACUAUAUAGGAAAAAACAACAGUACUCAAAGCAACUGCUUGCUACAAAACAUUAAAGGACCACUAUAGUGCCAGGAAAACAUACUCGUUUUCCUGGCACUAUAGUGCCCCGAGGGUGCCCCCACCCUCAGGGUCCCUCUCCCGCCCGGCUCUGGGCGGAGAGCUCUCCUCCUCCGAUCCUCCUCUUCUCCUCCCCGUCGGCUGAAUGCGCACGCGCGUGCUCUCACUGUGAAAAUCACAGUGAGAAGCACGCAAGCGCCUCUAGUGGCUGUCAAUGAGACAGCCACUAGAGGAAAUAGGGGAAGGCUUAACCCAUUCAUAAACAUAGUUUCUCUGAAACUGCUAUGUUUAUGAAAAAAUGGGUUAACCCUAGCUGGACCUGGCACCCAGACCACUUCAUUAAGCUGAAGUGGUCUGGGUGCCUAGAGUGGUCCUUUAAAAUAGAAGAGAAAAAAAUAAGAGAUCACCAACAGAUGUUUCAGAGUCUAAGUAUGGCACUUAAAGGACCACUCUAGGCACCCAGACCACUUCAGCUUAAUGAAGUGGUCUGGGUGCCAGGUCCCUCUAGGAUUAACCCAUUUUUUUUAUAAACAUAGCAGUUUCAGAGAAACUGCUAUGUUUAUAAAUGGGUUAAUCCAUCCUCCAAAUCCUCUAGUGGCUGUCUCAUUGACAGCCGCUAGAGGCGCUUGCGUGAUUCUCACUGUGAAAAUCACAGAGAACACGCAAGCGUCCAUAGGAAAGCUUUAUAAAUGCUUUCCUAUGAGACCAGCGAAAUGCGCGCAGCUCCUGCCAAGCGUGCACAUUCAGCCGAAUGGGAGGAUCGGAGGCGGAGAGGAGGAGGAGAGCUCCCCGCCCGGCGCUGGAAAAACGGUAAGUUUAACCCCUUUCCUCUCCCCAGAGCCGGGCGGAAGGGCGACCCUGAGGGUGGGGGCACCCUCAGGGCACUAUAGUGCCAGAAAAACAAGUAUAUUUUCCUGGCACUAUAGUGGUCCUUUAAUAGGAAUAUUGAUUCCAUCAGACUUGCUGGAAGAACUUUUUUGGACACUAUACUUACUAAUGGGGAUGAUUGUUUAAAUACUGAUCCCACAAAUUAUGAAAUUAGCCAAUCUGAGGAUGUUAGAGCAAAGAUCUAUACACUUAGCAAAAUCAUGGAAAGGGUAGUGUAUGUUUGGUGGGAUAUAGCAAGCUUGGAUUUCUAUGUAAGCAAUAACAUCAUACCCUGAGGUUUAAGCCUUUUAAAAAAGUUAGCAUAUAAACAUAAUCAUCAACAAAUGCUGAACAAAUGGGACCAAUUAUUAGACAAGGGGUCAUUACAGACAGGACUUCUUAUAAUUAUUAUUUUCUGCCUCCUCAACCAGCGAUACAUUGUAAGUUUGGUUUAAUCUAGCAGUGGCUUUUAUUCUCUCUAUUUGUGAAUGAUUAUUUGUAAGCUUUACUAACAACAAUUUAUAACAGUGUCUUUUUACCUGCUUUCUCAUCACUAACGCUAGUAUUGCAGGCUUUAGUGUAUCUAUCUAUAGCAGUGGCUCGAUAGGGUUCUCUUUCAGCACUUAUUAGGAUCAUUAGGGGAUGUAAUAAAUUUACUGUGUCAGUAUUACAAUCAUAUAAGCAACAAAUCUCUUGUAAAUGAUCCUUCAUUGCAUGCAGCAAUUAGUAAUAUAAUAUUAUUCACCCUUAGAGGCACAUAUAUGUAAAAGACGUGUCCUGAUCUUGGUUCUGGGAUUUCAGUCUAGUAUCACCACUUCAUAUAGGGCAAUCUCCCUGUAUAUGUGCACCAACAGUUCACUGUCUUUAUUUAAUGUAGUGAGAUAGUUUAUUUCAGGUUUAUAUACCUCUACAACAUCCUUCCCUACAGUGUAGAUUAUCUCUGUAUAAUCAUUCCAUUAGAAUGCAUCCUUUUCUACUUUUACUAUUCUAGUAUCGAUACGAUAUCUCUUCCAUUUCUGUAUCUCUUUCCCUUUAUGGAUUCAUAUUAUAGAGCUCACAUCCUUUUAGAGCUCUUGUGUUAUGAGUAUAUGUUAUAUGUUCCCUCCUUUUUUAGAGAAUUAAACAAUAAAACGUAUUCAUUUUAAUUUACGCUUCACAAUAUCUCAGAUUAUAAGGGACCUUUCUCUCUGUGUUAUAAUUAAGGGUUACCGCCUAUUUAGGCUCCCUUGCACACACCACAGUCCCCUAGUGGGACACUAUGCUUUUUCUAUUUAUAGACCUACACAAGUUUUUCCACAAAAUUACUAUUAAAAAAUUUGUUAUGGACAAGACUUUAAGUACUCAAAUAACAACAGAAGGUUAUGAACACACUGAUCUACAUCCUACCUCCACUUUUUAUCCACAAAAUGUUAAGAGUGAACCAAUCAGAGUUUUUGAAAUAAUGGUGGAGACUGACUUUAGGAGACUGAACAAUAAUAAACAACUGAAGAAUAAUAAUUUGACUUCUAGAGAGAGACAAUCCCCCCCCCCAAAAAAAAAACUAACGAAGGAAGACAAUAUAACCAUUAAAUCAGCCGAUAUCGGAUUGGUCAUUCUAAAUACGGAAGAUUAUAAAAAAGAAAACAUAAGAUUACUUGAAGAUAUAUCCACCUACCAGAAGAUGGAUGAGGAUCCUACCAUAUCAUUUAUUGCCAAACUAAAUGAAUGACUAGAUUACGCCAAGGAUAGAAGAAUUUUAAGUGAUAGGGAAUAUAAAUACUUGUUGUUUCGCACCCUAGGAUCCCUAUCUUUUACCACCUACCGAAGAUACAUAAAAGACUCCAUAAUCUCCCUGGUAGGCCGAUCAUAUCAGGGAUAGGCUCUCUCACCUCUAACUUAUCAGAAUAUGUGGAUCAAUAUCUACAAAACCUGGUUCACCAUCUUAAAAUCAUAUCUUAAAGAUUCAACUCAGAUCCUCAGCCUAUUAGCAGACAUCAACUGGGAAGAGGACAUGAUCUUGGUGACAGCAGAUGUCACUUCACUAUAUACAGUGAUAGAACACCUCCAGGAAUGCAAAGCGAUACAGUAUUCAUUGGCCACUUAUUCUGAACUUAAGAAUGAUCAGAUUGAUUUUUUAAUACAGUGUGUAGCAUUUAUUUUAAGUCACAAUAAUUUUUGGUUGGAUGAUAACUUUUAUUUACAACUUGAAGGGAAUGCCAUGGGAAAAUGUUUUGCGCCAAGCUAUGCCAACUUGUUUAUGGGCAAGUAGGAGGACAAAUUUAUUUUGAACCACUGCCCCCUUGGUGCAAAACUGUUUCUAUGGCAGAGAUAUAUUGACAAUAGCUUUUUUAUCUGGUAGGGAAGUAUAGAAUCACUUGAACGUUUUAAACUGUAGCUUAAUAAUAAUCCAUACAAUUUACAAUUCACAUUUUACCACUUUGCAAGUCACAUCGAAUGUUUAGAUCUUGAAAUAUAUAUUAUAAAUGGGAAAAUCCACACAAAAGCUUUUAAGAAGAAUGUAGAUUGUAAUAGUUUUAUACCUUUUAGCAGUUAUCAUAAACGCACAUGGCUUGAAAAUAUACCAUAUGGAUAAUUUAGAAGAAUAAGGAAGAACUGUUCAGAAUUGGAAACCUGUCAAACUCAAAUGCAAGAAAUGAAGCAGAGAUUCACAAUAGAAAGAUAUUUAGAACCGCUGUUGCAACAAGCAAUGAAGAAAGCCAAAUCUAUACCAAAAGAAGAUACCCUCUAUCAGGGGCGGACUGAGAGCAUUUGGGGCCCCCGGGCAAAAUUAGAUCCCAGGCCCUUUGAAGGCCAAAUAUAUGUGCAUUAAAUAAAUGUUAAAUAUAACUCAUAAUACGGCAUUCCUUUGGAUGUGUAUAUUGUGAAGACCUGUGUAUCAAUGCAUGUUUGUAUUUGAGUCUGUGUGAAUGCACUUGUGCAUGUCUGGAUUACUACAUGUGCUUUUUUGUAUAUAGUGUCUGUGUGAAUGCAUAUGUGACAGGUGACAGUGUGUGAGGGAGAAGGUGACAGGUGGAAGAGUGUGGGAGGUUGUGACAGGUGGCAGAGUGAGGGGGUACCUGGUGGCAGAGUGAGGGAGGGAGGGGUUGAGUGGUGGCAGAGUGAGGGGGAGACACAGUUAAGUGGGGGUGACUAGUGACAUAGGGAGGGAGAGGGGGUGACUAGUGACAGAGUUAGGGAAUGGGUGACUAGUGGCAGAGUGAGGGAGGGAAGGGGUGACUGGUGACAGAGUGAGGGGAUGACUGGUGACAGAGGGAGGGAGUGACUAGUGACAGAGGGAGGGAGUGACUAGUGACAGAGGGAGGGAGUGACUAGUGACAGAGGGAGGGAGUGACUGUCACUAGUCACUCCCUCCCUAACUCUGUCACUGUCACCCGCUCCCUCACUGUCACUAGUCACCCCCUCCCUCACUCUGUCAUUACUCACCCCCUGUCCCUAGUCACCCUCUUCCACACUCUGUCACUAGUCACCCCAUCCCUCUCACUGUCACUAGUCACUCCCUCCCUAACUCUGUCACUGUGAAGGAAGGAAGGGGUGACUGGUGAUAGAGUGAGGGGAUGACUGGUGACAGAGUGAGGGAAGGGAUGACUAGUGGCAGAGUGAGGGAAGGAAGGGAUGACUGGUGACAGAGUGAGGGAAUGACUGGUGACAGAGUGAGAGAGUGACUAGUGACCGAGUGAGGGAGGGAGUGGGUGACUAGUGACAGAGUGAGGAAGGGGGUGACACAGUGAUAGUCACCCCAUUCCUCCCUCUGUCACUAAUCACCACCUCCCUCACUCUCACUAGUCACACCCUCCCUCUCUCUGUCACUAGUCACACCCUUACUCACUAGUCACACCCUUACUCACUGUCACUAGUCACACCCUCCCUCUCUCUGUCACUAGAGUGAGGGGGUGACUAGUGACAGAGUGAGGGGGUGACAGGUGACAGAGUGAGGGAGUGAGGGAAGGGGUGACUAGUGGCAGAGUGAGGGAGGGGUGACUAGUGACAGAGUAAGGGGAUGACUGGUGACAGUGAGGGAGGGGGUGACACAGUGACGGAGGGAGGUGGUGACUAGUGACAGAGUGAGGGAGGUGGUGACUGUCACUAGUCACCACCUCCCUCACUCUGUCCCUAGUCACCCCUCCCUCUGUCACUAGUCACCCCUUCCCUGCCUGUCACUAGUCACACCCUCACUCACUCUGUCACUAGAGUGAUGGGGUGACUAGUGGCAGAGUGAGGGAAGGGGUGACUAGUGGCAGAGUGAGGGAAGGAAGGGGUGACUAGUGACAGUGUGAGGGAGGGGGUGACUGUCACUAGUCACACCCUCCCUCUCUCUGUCACUAGUCACACCCUCCCUCACUCUGUCAUUUGAGUGAGGGGGUGACUAGUGACAGAGUGAGGGAAGGGGUGACUAGUGACAGUGAGGAGGGGUGACUAGUGACAGUGAGGGGGGGUGACUAGUGACUGUGAGGGAGGGUGACUAGUGACUGUGAGGGGGGUGACUAGUGACAAGUGACUAGUGACAGGGGUGACUAGUGACGGUAGUGACUCAGUGACGGUGGGGUGGACUAGUAACAGUGGGGUGGACCAGUAAACAGUGGGGGUGACUAGUGACGGGGUGACUAGUAAAUAGUGUGUGGGGAUGACUAGUAACAGGGGGUGACUCAGUGACAGGGGGUGACUAGUGACAGGGGGUGACUAGUGACAGGGGUGACUAGUAACAGUGGGGGGUGACUAGUGACAGGGGGGGGGUGACUAGUGACAGGGGGGUGAUUAGGACGGGGGAGGGGGGUGAUUAGAGCCUACCUGUGCUUCCUCUGCUCUCCCUGGCUGCUGCUCCUUCCCCUCGCUGGGCUCUGUGUGAGAGGAGUAAACAGGAAGUGAUGUCACUUCCUGUCCCUCUCCCAUCACACAGAGCACCGCGGGACUGGGAGAAGGAGACCUGGCAGAGAGUGGCUGAAGCUGCCAGGUCUCAUGGGGGGGAGGGGUGAUUUACAGGGCGGUAGGUUGUGGGGCCCCGUGCUGCAUCAGGGGCCCCACAACCUAUAAAUGAAAUAGUUUUAUUUUUUUUAAUUUUGCCGUUCCAGUUGGAGAGAUCUCUGAUCUCUCCAGCUGGAGCAAGGCUGUGCUGCCGGGCCCCUGACUGCCUCGGGCCCUCGGUCCAUGACCGAUAUGCCCGAGUGGUCAGUCCGCCCCUGCCCUCUAUAAUAAGAGAAUACAACCAGAAGAACAAAAGAGCUCUGGCCUUCUGGCCUUCAUAGUAAAAUACAGCAAUCAUAGUUACAUAGUUACAUAGUUACAUAGUCAAACCUAAAAUAUCAGAAAGGUGGUAGCCAAACAUUGCGAUAUACUAAAGAGUGACCAUAUGCUUAAUCAAUUUUUAGAUGACCAACAAACAUUAUAUUUUCCCAAGCUUCCAAUUUAAAACUUAUGCUGGCACCUAUGAUAACUCUAGAAACCAUCUUCAUGACACCACAGAAUGCCUAUUAAAGACUUCACAAGGUUCAAGAAAUCCAUAGGUUGUAGGAAUAAUCCUAAUUUCGAUUACAUUCAAGAUAAUUUUCUCUCAUUGGACAACAAGAAAAAUAACAGAGUAAAAUCUAAUAUGGACUGUAACAAAACAGAGGGUAAUCUAUUUACUUACAUGCCCCUGUCCAAAACAAUAUGUAGGAAGAACAAAAAGGUUCUUAAAAAUAAGAGUGUCAGAACAUAUAAGAAAUAUUAAAAAAGGAUUGCCUACACAUAAUCUGUCAAAAUAUUUUAAUGAUGUUCAUGGAAGAGAUCCAGGUGAUUUACAGUUUUUACCUAUUUAAAAAGUCAAUGUGCAUUGGAGAGGGGGAAAUCAAGACAAAAAUCUAGACUAAAUAGAAAUCUUUGAAUCUAUAUUUUUAUUUUCUAUUUAUUUGUUUUUUUAUUUGACUUAUUUUUUUUAUUAUUAUUUCGUUUCACCUUAUUGCAUAGUCAUGUCUCUAUAUUUACACAAUUCUUUUUUUGCCACACUUCUCUGACAAUCUACCAUUUUAACGUGUGGUUAUUUAGUUGCCAGUACAUUGUAUUAUACUUAUUCUUUCACCCCUCUAUUCAUUAUUUUUCAUUCUUAAUUUUCUCUUGCUCUUCAGAUUUAUCCUAUUGUAUUGUUGAUACUAUGUUUCUUUAUUUGUAUUUCUAAUCUGUUUUUUUUUCGCUUGGCACUAACUUCAUUUUUUAAUUAUUAUGUACUAUAUAUUAUCUACUAUCUUUAUUUUCAUUCUCAUUCUCAGUUUCUAUUUUAUUAUCAUUCUUUAUUCUUUACUUUUUUUGGUCUAGUUUCCAUUCUUACUAAUGCUUCCUAAAAUAUCCACAAUCUAAGUAGUUAGUUAUGUAAUACGACUGCUAUUUGAUACAAUGUGAUUUGUACCAGCUGUUUUGUGUCUAACUAGAUAUAGAAGUAUCUUGAAAUGUAUCUGUCAGCUAUUGAAGUCUCUGAUGAAGGCUUUCCUCAUGAAAUGUGUAAGGCAAAGCACAUAGACUUGUGCUAUUCACGAUUAAGAUCCACUAUCCAGUGGAACAACGUUACCACAGCAAUGCUAUACAGUACUAUGCACGAGCCGACCUAGAUCUUCACACAAAGAGACAUUGAGGAUCAUUCUUCUCUGACAAUGGUGGAACCAUACAUGGGAGUGAUGCUUCAGUGGAACGCUGUGUGGAACGCACGCCGAACUCAGCGACAGACCACACACAACGAGGACUGCAGCUCCCACAUAUCCUAUCCACCAGGAGAACUGUGUAUGCGGUACCCAUGCAGAACAUCUUGAGCUUCUGUUGGUACUGUUUAUUUUAUUCAAGUAAUUGUGUUUAUGAAUUAAUUUUACUCUACUGAAUUUUCAUUAAAGACUUAUGGAUUUUUAAGAAGCAUUUCCCCAUUUUUUUUCUCUUCUAUUUUCAUGUUUGGUAGCAAGCGGCUGCUUUUAGUACUGUGUUGCGUUUUCCUAUAUAGUUUGUUUUGCCCUUUUUUGUACUUUUUCUCCUUUUUUCAUAUUCACUGAUAGUCAGUGAAUUAUAUUGUAUUGGCAAUAGGGUCCCAUGACUCUGUAAUAUCUAUAUACACAGCUCAGUGUGAUUACCCUUUUGCUACAUUUUGUGGACUAUUGGACUUAUAUAACUUUUCAUUAAUUGGAUUUUAUACUUGGACUCAUUCUGAACUUACUAUAUAAUGCAUGUGAGUCUAUAUGAACUUGAAUUAAUUUAUAUUUGUGAUUUUAUUUGAUAUAUAUUUUAGCAUGAUUAAUUUUAGCUCCUGGAUACCUUUCAUCUUAUUUUUAUAAGAGAUAUCGAUAUACCUGUUUUCCUAGGGAGGAUUGGUGUCCCUCCUUCCAGUUUUAGAGCCAUUUAUUUGAUAUUUGACAAUUGUGGUUUUAUCUACUUUUUAUUUUACAUAUAAAAAGUAUCUCUUACUCCCUCCAUUUUAGGGCUUACCUAUUCUUGUAUUUUAAGCACCCUUCUUUCUCUUUUUCCUGUGCUUUCAAUACUUUUUUUUUUUUGUCUUUUAUCAGUCUUACUUGCAUUCAAGUCUGCUGCUGCUGGCUCUGCCCCUGAUCUGCCUGUUUGGCUGACAUCAUUAGAAGUUAUUCUCUGAACCAAUCACAAUGCUUUACCAUAGGAUUGGCUGAGACUGUCAAGGAGGCAGAUCAAGGGCAGACCUAGCACAAGUCAAACACAGUACAGGCCAAUCCGCUUCUCCUCAUAGAGAUGAAUUAAUUCAAUGCAUCUCUAUGAGGAAAGUUCAAUGUGUCUCCAUGCAGAGGGUGGAGACACUGAAUGGCAGUGCUGCACAGUGUGACACAGGAAGCACCCCAAGCAGCCAUCUGAGGAGUGGCCAGUGGAGUUGUCACAAGGCUAUAUUGUAAACACUGCAUUUUCUCUGAAAAAGUCUGAAGCCUGCAAUAAGCUGUAGUUGUUCUGGCAACUGUAGUGUCCCUUUAAUUUAUUCCUAUUUCCUGGAAUUGUUCAUUUGUACAAAGACCAAUAUGGCAAAUAGUCUAACCCUGGCAUGUUUGGGAUAUAAUCCAUAGUAAAUUUACCAUGACUCAAUUCCAAAGUUUAUAACCCAUACACAUGCCAUAUUAUUCAUUUAGCAGAUUUCAAAACACACAUCUUCACAAUUUAUUCAAAAUAUUUUAAAAUAUAUUCUCAAUUAGGUACCAACACUUCUAAUAUAUCGGGGGUUUUUUAAAUCUAAAAUUGGGGGUUGUCUUAUAUACGGAAUGUCACUACAAGGGUUAAAAAACCAAACAAACACUUGUGUGCAGGGCCUGACAGCUUAAUUAGGUAUGUGUAUGAGAAACAAAACUAACAAGGUAUGUGCAAGAAUCUGGGAGAUCUUGCUCAACUGCAUGCUUUCUCACAGCACUCUGGUCUACAGAUAAAUGGCACAGGGUAAGGCCUGCCCUGUACUGUGGAAGUGGAGGAGUGUUCAGAUGCCAGAGUCCCGCGCCUGCUUCUACAUACCUGAACGAUAGGUCCACCGGGGUAAUUCAUCACAGCAUGGCUUCCGUGGGCAAAAGGCAUAGUUGCCACCAAAAGCAGGAUGGUGGUCCAGGGACAGUAUCUGGUCAUGAUCGGACCUCGGGGUGCAGCCAACUGGAUUGUGAAGAGGCCAGGGACUGGUGGGGCAUCCUGCUCAUCCAUAAAACCAAAACUGAAUAAGAUCAAGUCAAUAUCAGAUAACAGGGCGCCACAGUCACUUCAGUUGACAAUAAUUAUGGGAUUUUUUUCAUUGAAAAUAGAGAGGAAAAAAAGAAGAAACAAUCAAUAAAAAGAUAACAUACAAUUUAUUAAUAAUUGGAUGAGAAAUUAGGCAAUAGCACAAAACAUGUGCAAAUAACCCAAUAUAUAAGUAAAAAAAAAAAAAUCUUAAGGAUAGGAGAUUUAAUAAAACAUGACACACGAUGUACUGAUAUAAAGUGCAUAUGCUAAAGUGCAAAAGACACUAUAGUAAGGGAAAGUGCAAGGUGCUUAACACGCCGCUGUAAUCAGCAGCUAACACCCAGUACUCCUUCACAACAUGUAAUUAUAAAACACAUACCACAAAAAUAUAAAGUGCACAUGUUAAAAAAGACUGCUUAUACCAAAUAACAGGGUUCUUCAUAGGGCUCUAUGCGUUUCAUCGAUCCCACUUCCUCAGGAGCUUCUGUCUUCUUUCCGGUCUUCUUUAAAUCUACAGUUUUUUCAGAUUGCGACCUUGAAGUCAAUUCAUUUUUAGUAAGUUUUAUGAAGGCUUAGCUGCUAUUUUCACAUUUAGUGAAUAUUACGCCAGUAUUCCUUUCAUGUGGGUGGGUUUAUCAAUUUCAAUUCAUUGUGGCUAGACCUCAAAAGUUUCAUAUUGCUCAGUAACUUACAAUCAACUGUUUAACCCUUUGUGAGUAAAUAUAUAUGAGUGAUUCAUCUGAGGUGGGGGUUACUGAUUUCAAUCUAUUGUUGUCAAACUUUAUAAGUUUUAAAGUGCUCAGCAAUUUACAAUAGUUAUUUAACCCUUUGUGAACAAUAUAUUUUUCACUCACCAUAACCACUUGAAGUAAGAGUGACUUGGAUCGAUUUAACCUUUGUUCCUCCUACCUAUAAUUAUAGACUUCAUAAGCAGCCUUCAUUGCUACAGAUCCCCUUCCACCCCUUCAACAUUGCAGAGCUUAUUAGCUUCUGUUCUUUAUUUUGUUUGUAUUUAUAAGUUUACUUUUUUCCUAUUUUUUGUGGUUUUGGUUAUAUUUUUGAAAUAAUUACCUAAUAAACAGAAUUUUUAAUCAUAUUGGGCAAUAUAUGAUUUUUAUAUAGGGACUUCUUUGUGUCCUCUGGAGUUUGUAUCCAUUGGACAUUUUUCUGUAUACAAUUUAUCUAAUUCCUAGAGUUACCCCCUUCAAGUCCCUUUACACACUCCAGGCCCCCUCGGGAGGUCCUCUCUUUCUAAAAUCCCAUAUUAGCAGAUAUAAAGAAGGCCAGGUCCAGACAAUGAGGAUAUUGCAAAAAGCAAAUGAGCAACGUUUCGGCCUGCACAGAGGCCUUUGACCUGCAGAGUGUCCCAGGAGGAAGCAUUUUACAAGUAAGUGGAUUAAUCUUAUAAGAGUAGGCAUUGGGUGCUAGAGUAGGACCUGCCAAGAAUGAGGUACAUUGAUGUUGUGGCAGACUUUUGCAAUGUAUGAUCAUAUACUGUAACUAAACCCCCAUUAUUGUUUGCCUAGGUGAGGUUUUUUUAACAUAAAAUGAUUGAGUUCUGUGAGAUUUUAAAUGACUGUUUAUUGAAUGAGCGCAGGAUCCUGAAUGCUUUAGAUUGAUAGAUAGAUAUGAGGUCUGUCUGGAAAAAGUCCAGACUAUUCCUCCAUGAAAACUGUUCGGAUUAUUCAGAAGGCUUUCAGGGAUGAUGCAAUGAGUGCAGCGCAAAUGAAAAUCACAAGCAAAGCAUCCAUUUUAUGUUUAAUAGUGGACAUUGCUAUAUUCCUACAUGCGUUUUGAUCUUCCCUUAACACUUAGAGUUUGUUUCUAUGUCUGUCUCAAUCAUUUCCCAACACGUCCGUAAUCUCUGAAAUGGCUCUUGCUAAUGUUCCAUAUUACAUACCUUAACAUCAAACAACAACAAGUAAUGGUUGCAGAAUGUUUCAAUGUCUCUCACUGAGGUUAACAGAAGAGUCUAAAUGCUAAGUAAAUGUUUCUAUGAAAUCAAAUGCUGGUGAAUGUGCAACACUGUAUCCUUAUUCUUAUAUCAGCAGGGCUAAUUACAUAUAUCCAAAAACCAAACAUUAAGGAACAUUUUAUAAUCUGUUGAAACAAUAUUAAAUAAAUAAUUACGUGAUAUGCAAUUUAUACAUAUUCUCUCACACUUUCAAGAGCCAAUGAAAUCGGUCUCUGAAUACUGAAUGGUCUAGGGGUUGGUAAGGCUACGGAUGUUUUCUUAAUGUACAUCUUGCUUGCAAAAAUGGUAAACAUUAAGUGGUGGUCGGUAUCAGUGGAGUAAACGUGAGCUGCGUGAAGAAGUCAAGCACUGAGGUUUUAAAGUGCAAACAAUCUCUUUUUUUAGCUUCAAGCAUCUAACAGCUGUUGGUAAUUCCAGUGCUUAACAGCUACCUUUUAACGACAAGCAUAGAAAUUACAUCUUGUUGCAGGUAUGUCUAAAGGCUCUUAGGAAUGUUCACAGUGUUAACAAGGCACCAGCAGUCAAUCGUUUCUUCAUUUAUAGGUAAAUUUUGUCCCUUCAUCCAAAUUCGUUUUUUCGAAACAAUUAUUUUUAGUUUAUUGGCACUAUAUAAAUGACAAUAAUAAUAAUAAUAAUAAUAAUAAUAAUAAUAAUAAUAAUAGUGCUGUUCUUGCACCCACUAAAUGACUAGUCAUCAUUGGCAAGCAUAAAGCUAGGACACAAGGGGGAAACAUGGUGUCAUAACAGCUCUGAAAUAUCUAUCAAAGUGGUACACAAGUCAAUAAAGUAAGUCAAAAUGCACUGAUUUGAUGGUGUUAAAAUGUUUAAAGGCUGCCCAGGUCAAAGGACUAAUAUAGUGCCAGGAAAACAAACUUGUUUUUCCUGGAACUAUGUAGUCCUUAGGUCCCCCCUAGUCUCAUGGCCCCCCUCCUGCUGGGCUGAAGGGGUUAAAACCCCUUCAGCCACUUACCUUUCUUUCAUGUCCCAGGCUCCCUCAGUGCUGGUGACCUCUCCUCCUCCUGCCGACAUCAGCGCUGAAUGCGCAUGCGCGGCAAGAGCCAUGCUCGCAUUCAAACCGCCCAUAGGAAAGCAUUACUCAAUGCUUUCCUAUGGACGUCCAGCAUCUUCUCACUGUGAUUUUCACAGUGAGAAUCGCGGAAGCGCCUCUAGCAGCUGUCAUUGAGACAGCCAUUAGCGGCUGGAUUAACCCUCCAUGUAAACAUAGCAGCCUCUCUGAAACUGCUAUGUUUUCAGCUGCAGGGUUAAAACUAGAGGAUGAUGGCUAAAAAUGUGAUAAAUAAACCUAAUAGGUGUAGGAUGAAAUGGAAAUGUAGAUUUCUAUAUGAAGUGGAAUAGGUAGAUACUGUGCCUUUAAGUGCUAAAAAUUAAGUGCUAUACCUUUAAGUGCUAUAACAAUGUAUAGGGAUCGUGGAUAAAAAGAGACAGCAAUGGAGGUGGAUGGAAGGUGGAGUAAAUAAUAAAAGAGGGAGGGGAUGGGUAAAAGUAAGUACAAUUAAAAAUAUAUUUAAAUAAAUAUUAAAAUAAAGAAAAUAUAUCAAUUAAAACAAAUGGUAAUAUAAGUAAACCACAAAAUGAUUGAAUAAACUCCUUGAACCAGUAUGUGCAAAACAAAGUGGGGGGUAGGUGAUACCAAAAAGUAUAUCAUUUUGGAAUAGGUAUCAAAGACAAAAAAGUUUUAAAAAGUAUCUAACUGUUAAGCAAUACAGUAUAUAGAACUGCAGGCUUGGAUACUAUGUACAAUGGAUCGUGAUUAACUGAAGCAAAGUAAACUGGAUAGGUAAUUAGGUUUGUUUAUCACAUUUUUAGCCAUCAACCACUAGCUAGCUCCUGGAGUCCACACACUAUAUUCUUAGUGUUUCUAUUUGUCUUCUACAUAGGUUUUUAGUGUAUCCCUAUUGUUUCCAGUUUGAGCAGCUUAGUGCGAGUCGGUCUUCCUCUUCCCUGUGUGUUACACUAGGUACACCAGAACAGUUUUCUUAUUAAAACUAGAGGGACCAAGCACCCAGACCACUUCAUUGAGCUUAAGUGAUCUAGGUGCCUAUAGUGGUCCUUUAAGAAAGAUGCUGACAUUUGUUCAUAUGAAGAUCUACAGUUUUGAUUGUGGUUGGUCAAUAGAGUAAUCUUCGUUAGGGGAGAGUCAGGGUAGUAGAGGAAGCCUCCUGUCUAUGAAGAAUCACAGGAUAAAAAAAAAAUUCACACAAUGACUCAUAUGCUUAAGCAAGUCAUGUGGAUUUAUAUGCAGGCAAUAUUGGCAUGUGAUGUCACUGCACACAAAAGAUCCUCUGUUUAUAAGGAAAUGAAAAUUUCAAGAAUCUUGAGUCUUUAACCCCUUAAGGACCAGACUGUUUUGGCCAUGUUGUAUGUUAAGGACCAGGGCUGUUUUAACACUUUAGUUUGUGUUUAGCUGUAAUUUUCUUCUCUCUCACACUGCUCUCAUAUAUGGUUUUUUUUGCAGGACAAGAAGGGCUUUCUUUACAUGCUAUUAUUUGUAUCGUGUCAUAAUUUACUUUAAAAAAAAAUAAAAUAUGGUGAAAAAUUAAAAAAAAUAAAAAUGUUUUUGACUUUUACUUGAAAAAUCUUUUACUUAUCUACAAUAGCUAAUGAAACAAACUGCUAAAUAGAUUCAACAUUUUGUCCUAAGUUUAAAAACACCCACUGCUUACAUGCUUUUUUGCUUGGACAGUUAUAGGGCUAUAAUUACAAGUUGGAAAUUGUGGUUUCAAAAUAUAAAUUUUUUAAAUGUGUCAAUAGUGACAUUGUAACACUAUUAUCUGUCAUAAAUCUCUGAAUCACAACCCACAUGUACAUAUUUUUUUUUUAAAGUAGACAACCCAGGGUAUUCCAUAUGGGGUAUGUCCAGUCUUUUUUAGUAGCCACUUCAUCAUAAACACUAACCAAAGUUAGCAUUAUAUUUGUUUGUGUGUUAAAAAUGCAAAACACAAUGAUGAACGCUAACUUUGGCCAGUGUUUGUGACUAAGUGGCUACUAAAAAAGACUGGACAUACCCCAUUUGCUAUACCUUGGGUUGUCUUCUUUUGCAAAUGGUAUGCGAUCAUGGGGGUAAUUCUCAUUCCUGGGCUACCAUACGCUCUCAAAAGUAACCUACCUGACAAAAUUUCAAUGUAAAAAAAAAAAAGGGAAAACCAAGCCUUAUAUUUGACCCAGUAACUUUCAAAAACACCAUAAAACCUGUACAUUGUAUAUUAGUGUUUCAAAACAGUAAAACGUAUCACAACAAUAUCAUCAGUGAAAGUGCCGUUUGUGUGUGAAAAAUGCUAAAAAUGUCAUCGCUGUGAUAUGUUUUACUGUUUUGAAACAUUAAUAUUUGUGUUCAUUGAAGUCUCCCAAGUAAAGCAGUACCCCCCAUGUACAUGUUUUAGGGGGUCUUGGAAAGUUACAGGGUUAAAUACAGUGCUUGUCUAAAAUAUCAGUACGUCAAUGACUACCGUUUAACAUUCCACUUUUUGAAUGAACGAUAAGGUGUAAGAGAAACAAUAUCGCAACAUAUUACUAAGGACUUAAAUGCUUAGCACAAACAGGACAACAUGGUUGUUGAUGUAUCCUAAGUAUUAGAUUUACCGUUAUAAUUUUUGUGUAUAUAUACAUAAGUGUAUGAGAGAGAGAGAGUUACCAUUUUCCAUGAUUCACUAUAAAUUGCUUUAUACCAGUUCUUUGUUGGAAGUCAUGAUGACUGCAGUUGCUAAAAUGACUUUCUGGGAAUCCAUCCAAGUUGAUUGUUAAACUGUGUUAUUGUUACUUUAUCAUAUACAGGCUAUAGUGCCUCCAGUUGUAUUUAGGGUUAAAUGGAUAAUACUUUGUUAAGAAAAUGUAAUCAUAUUAUUGUAGUUUGGAAUUUGGACGUACACUUAGAUUCCCAUGUGAUCUUUUAUGGUGAGUAAUUAAAGGACCACUAUAGUGCCAGGAAAACAAACUUGUUUUCCUGGAACCAUAGGAUAUUAGGUCGUCGACCCCACCCUCAUGCCCCCCUCCCGCUGGGCUGAAGGGGUUGAAAACCCUUCAGCCACUUACUUUUCUCCAGCGCUGGGUUCCCCAGACUGUCUGUCUGUAACUGUGUGUGUGUGACUGUCUGUAACUGUGUGUGUGUGACUGUCUGUAACUGUGUGCGUGUGAAUGUCUUCCUGUGACGCUGCCGGUAACUGUGUGUGUGUGACUGUAACUAUGUGUAUGACUGUCUGCCUGUGACCGUGUGUGUGACUGUAUAUGUGACUGUCUGCCUGUAACAGUGUGCGUGACUGUGUGGUUACUGCUUGUAACGGAAUGUAUGUGUAACUCUCUACCUGUAACUGUGUGUAUGACUGCCUGUGACUAUAUAUGUGACUGUCUGCGUGUGACUGUGUGCGUGUGACUGUGUGCCUGUAACUGUGUGUGAGGGGGUGCAGGGAUUUUGUAAAAGGAGGCAGAGGUUUUAAAAAAAAUGAACAAACUUGUGCAAUACAUUAAAAAAAAGAAAGAAAGAAAAAAAGAACACAUUUAAAAAAUGUAGUAGGUGACUUUUUUUGUUUUGUUUUUUUGGAGGGGGGGGUGCCAAACCCAGGACCCGUCCCGGGUGCCACAUGCUCUAGGUACGCAGCUGCGCGUUCAAACCACCCAUAGAAAAGCAUUACUCAAUGCUUUCCUAUGGACGUCCAGCGUCUUCUCACUGUGAUUUUCUCUGAAACUGCUAUGUUUUCAGCUGCAGGGGUAAAACUACAGGCACCUGGCACUCAGACCACUUCAUUGAGCUGAAGUGGUCUGGGUGCCUAUAGUGGUCCUUUAACUUUGAAAUGUUUGGCAAACAUUAGGGCUUAUAUUUAUUUUUAAGCUACCGAAUAUACUCGAGUAUAAGACGAGUAUAAGACGACCCAAAUAUAAGUCGAGGCCCCUAAUUUUACCACAAAAAACUGGGAAAACUUAUUGACUCGAGUAUAAGACUAGGGUGUGAAAUGCAGCAGCUACUGGUAAAUUUCUAAAUAAAAUUAGAUCCCAAUAAAAUUACAUUAAUUGAAUAUUUAUUUAAAGUGUGUGUGUGUGUGUGUGUGUGUAGUGUGUGUAUAUAAUGAAUGCAGAAUGUGUGUGUUUGUGUGCAUGCAGUGUGUGUGUAUAUAAUGAAUGCAGUGUGUGUUUGUAAGAGUGUGUGUGUAUAUAAUGCAGAGUGUGUGCAUUAUAUACACACACUCUGCAUUAUAUACACACACUGCAUUCAUACAAACACACACACACUGUAUUCAUACAAACACACACACUCUGCAUUAUAACACUGCAAAACACUGCUGGACAAUUUAAGAUGGCCGCUGCCACAUGUUUGAAUCUGUUCCAGUUAAAAGUCCAAAGGGCAGAAACAGUGCCCUUAAAAUCAAAUAUGCCCAAAUAGUGUUUUUAAAGGGAAAUAUAUCCCAGGGGCCACAGGGCAAGAGACUGGCAAGCAGUUCUCUCCAAAUCCCAGCUUUCGUCACAACUGGAUUAAUAUAUACCCUUAAUGGAAGCGAAUUAGGGAUAGCCACACACGAAAAGGACUUGGGAAUUGUUAUAGACAACAAACUAUGCAACAAUGUGCAAUGUCAAUCAGCAGUGGCCAAGGCCAGUAAGGUAUUGUCAUGCAUGAAAAAGGGCAUUCAUUCUCGGGACGAGAAUAUCAUUUUGCCUUUUUAUAAAUCACUGGUAAGACCACAUAUUAAAUAUGCUGUGCAAUUUUGGGCACCUGUUCUAAAGAAGGAUAUUAUGGCACUGGAAAAAGUGCAGAGGCGGGCUACAAAAUUAAUAAAAGGAAUGGAACACAUCAGCUAUGAAGAAAGGUUAACAAAUUUACACCUAUUUAGUUUAGAAAAACGUCGCCUGAGAGGGGAUAUGAUAACUGUUAUGAGACCAAUCUCGCCACUGUGCAUUGGAGGAGCCUGGUUGCUCGCCUGCUGCCUUUAGACUAUGACCCCAUGUUGAAAUGCUUGAUUUUCCCCUGCGAAGACACGAAAGCUGGGUCAUUUGGUGCUGGCCCUGUUUGAGCGGUGAUACCCCAGAUAGCUAUGUCAUGGAGCCCAUUCGUAUAAUGAAAGACUAUGGGAAAGACUUUGGCUCCAUGGCAAUUGAACUGUAUGUGUGUGCUCUGAGCACCAUUCAGUAAUAAUGUGCGCUCAGAUCUGAGCUAUCUGAGGAUAUGUUGACUGUGCCGGUUUUGUGCAAUGGCUGCACAGUUAUGUGUUUUUAUGUGUUUUAUUGUCUUUUGCUUCCAUGUGUUCAAUGGAGUUUUGACUCUGUCCUUGGAGAUAAUUGGAUUACUUCCCAAUUAUCUCCAGGAUAGAAGACUCUGUGGAACUGGUUUUGGGCAGAAAAGCCAUGCUUCAUUUGGUCACAAAGGACUUCGAUCUAUCUUUUGAACCAGUGGACCAAUUUGGAUGAUUAUGACAUAUGUUUGUAUUUGGAGUAUGCUUAUUCUGAAAAAUGUAUGUGAAUGUGAUGCAUAGUUUUCAAGUUAUUAAUAAUGUGGAAAAACUGUAUUUCUCUGCCGGUGAUAAUUACAUUACCCAUUGUGUAAGGUAAUUGAAUCACAGGCAGAGGGGAGGAUUUUGUGUGGGAGUGUCUGAGUGUAUUGUAUGUGUUUAUUGGUUGUUUUCCAAAACCCUGUGGGUGGUACUAAUGUGUAUAUAAGAACAAUAAACCCACAGCUCUGACUGUUCACUGCUUGACCCUCAAAACAGAGCCUUGUCUUGUUCUUGGGGGGAUUUAUUGUAUGCUGUUCCAGUUUGACUGCUAGGAGUGUUAACCUAUUCGUAUGGUUUUUCCUAUUCGGCUGUUUAUGGCAUUCAUAUGGUUUCCUGGUUGGUGGAUUGGUGUUCUGCAGUAGCUGUGCCUGUGUCUCUGGAAGGGAAGAUCUACUAAAUGGCGGUUUAACCCUUUAAUGCCUGGGGGUGCCGUUACAAUAACAUUAUACAAAUAUAUUCGGGGCCAAUACAAACCAUUGUGUGGAAAUCUAUUCACAAACCGGGCUUUACAUAGGACACGAGGUCAUGCGUUUAGACUGGAAGAAAGAAGAUUUUGUCUAAGGCAAAGGAAAGGUUUUUUUUUACUGUAAGAACAGUAAGGAUGUGGAAUUCUGUGCCUGAAGAAGUGGUUUUAUCAGAGUCCAUACAGAUGUUCAAACAGCUACUAGAUGCAUACUUGCAAAAACAGAAUAUUCAAGGAUAUAAUCUUUCAAUGUAGGCAGGGCCGGAUUAACAUAGGGGCUGAUGGAGCUGCAGCUCCAGGCCCAGGCCCAUGGAAUAGGCCCAUUGAUUUAAAAAAAUAUAUAAAAAAAUGUCUUCUUCCACACACUACUCUCAGGGAUUCCACCUGGCUUUUAUUUUAUUGGCACAGCCAGUAUUUGAGGCUGCCUGGCUGGUGCCAAUAUUGCAGUGAUACUGGCAAUACAAAUGCUGGUAUUUUUUUCAUUAUAAACAAGAGAUUACUAUGCAAUACCAGCACUGGCCAGUAGGGGUCACUGUAUGUGGAGACAGGCAGGGAUAGGAAUUUCCAGCGUAUCCCUCCCUGCCUAUCUAUACUCACUGAUCUGCAGGGGUGCAGCUACAGAGAGUCCAGACAGCAACUCCCACCCUGCAGAGACAGCCUACAGCUCAGGGAAGUAAGGGAUGGGGUGAAAGGCUGCAAGGAGACAUACACUGAGACACUAUGGGAGACAUUAUGACACAGACACAUGGGGACACAGUGUCCCCAUGUCUCCCAGCCAGUGUCCCUGGUGUCUCAGUGCCCCCUAGUCUCUCAGUGACCCCUGGUCCCCCAGUCUGCCAGUGUCUCACUGUCCCCAUGUCUCCUAGUGCCUCCAUGUCUCUCAGUGCCUCAAGUGUCACAAUGUCUGCAAGCUAGUGUCCCUAGUGUCUGUGGCCCUGGUGUCUCAGUGUCCCCAUGUCUCCCAGUCCCCCCAUGUCUCAAUGUCCCCAUGUCCCCCAGCCAGUGUCUCUAGCGUCUGUGUACCUGGUGUCUGUGUCCCAAUGUAUUCAAGUGUCCCCUAUUUUCCCAUUGCCCCCAUGUGUCCCAGCCAGAGUCCCCUAGUCUCCCAGUGUCACUGGUGUCUCCGUGUCCAUAGGUCUCCCCGUGUCCCCAGGUCUCCCCAUCUUCCUAGUGUCCUAGUGACAUGGGGCACUGAGACACUGAUACAUAGGAACACUGAGACCUGGAGUAAUCGACACAUGGGGGCACUGAGUCACGAGGGCACUGGGAGACAUGGGGGCACUGGGAGGAAUCCAUCUAUACAGCAGAAUCAAACUAAGUAGUUUUUGGGUGAUUUUACAGCAUUUUCUCUUAUGUCACUCCUUGUAAUUUACAUCAUCUGAUGUCACCCAUACAUAUUUAAUUAUGCAAAUUAGUAAGGCCGGUUUGUUUUUCCAAGAAAGGUGGCAACCCUAACUACUUUUCACAUACUCUUAAUUAAGUAUGGAAACUUAAGAGGGAUGUAUGGGAACAAAACUUGUGUGGACUGGCUGACAAUGAAUAUAGUUAAAGGGACACUAUAGUCACCGGAACAACUACAGCUUAUUGAAUUUGUUUUGGUGAGUAGAAUCAUUACCGUCAGGCUUUUUGCUGUAAACACUGUCUUUUCAGAGAAAAUGCAGUCUUUACAUUACAGCCUAAAAUGUAUCCAAACAUUCAGUGUCUCCUCCCUCUGCAUGCAGACACUGAACUUUCCUCAUUCAUUAAUUCAAUGCAUCUCUAUAAGGAGAUGCUGAUUGGCCAGGGCUGUGUUUGAAUCAUACUGGCUCUGACCCUGAUCUGCCUCUUUGUCAAUGUCAGCCAAUCCUAUGGGGAAGCACUGUGAUUUGAUCAGGCCACCACUUCUAAUGAUGUCAGCAGACUGCUUGUUUUUAUGAGUCUAACAGAAUGCAGAGUUACAGCUUCAAGCUUGAAUAUAGUAAGAUUUUGCUAUAUUUAUGGAGGCAUGAGGGGCCCAGGGGGGCUAGAUGGUGGUGUUAACACUAUAGGGUCAUUGUACAGUACCCACUGUACAGCGCUACGGACUUUGUUAGCGCUAUAUAAAUAAUAAAAUAAUAAUAAUAAUAAUAGGGUCAUGAAUUCAUGUUUGUGUUCCUGACCCUAUAGUGAUCCUUUAAGGUAAUGCUGACUUUGGUCUCUCUAACACUGUGACAUGUUCCCUUUCUUCUACACUCACUACAUACAGCUUUUCUCUGUCCCAGACUAUAUACCAGGAGCUUCUGCCUGCUACUAAGAAGGUAAGGAGACAAGUGGACCAGCGAGUGCUAGGGGACAGUCCUUAGAAAGCGUUGAGUGAGCGCAUCAUUAGAUGCAUUUAUGCCAAGCUCAGGGUGCUGUCUGCAUAGCAUGCCCUUAGUUGGCCAGCUGCAUUCAUGCCAGGUGGACCUUCUAAUUCUUUGGGCAGACAUGUCCUCUUUUUGGGCAUGUUCGCCCCUUUUGGCAGGUUACGUGAUUUGUGUCAAUCUCACAACCUUUUACCUUCCUGCUUGACUGGACACUGCUGUUAGGGGUUAUGGAUUUACUUGAAAGAUGAAAACAUAAAUUAGAGAGAGAUUAGCCUAAGGUAUGUGUUUUCUUAUGGCGGCUGUUUUCUAUCUCUCCAGCACCAUCUCCAUCAGAUACAUGACGCUUGGGAGUGUUUUACUGUUUUUAGUCGAUAUGAUUCUGUAGUUAUGCCUGUCAUAAUUGUCAGCACCAGGCCCACUGGGCUCUUAAUCUGGCCCUGAAUGUAGGGUAAUAACUGCUUGAUCCAAGGAUAAAUCUGACUGCCAUUCUGGGGUCAAGAAGGAAGUUUUUUCCUAGCUUGUGGCAAAAUUGGAAGUGCUUCAAACUGGUUUUUUUUGCCUUCUUUUGGAUCAACAGCAAAAAACAAAUGUGAGGAAGGCUGAACUUGAUGCACGCAAGUCUCUUUUCAGCUAUGUAACUAUGUAACUAUGUAACUAUGUAAAGGGACAUGCAUCACUUUGAGACAACUGUCUCAUUAAACAUAUGUAGCUUUGAAUGAGACAGUUGCCUUACUCUGCAAGUUGAAAAAAAUUGAAGAAGUGCGCAUUGAAAGUCAUUUGUCUGUGUUUGCAGAUGACACAAAACUAGGUAUGCUAAUGCAGUCAGCACAUGAUAUAACUUCUCUACUGAAGGAUUUUCAUAAAGUGCCAAAUGAGAUUCAAGACAGAUAAAUGCAAAGUCAUGCAGUUUUGAAUAAGAAACCCAGGGCCGCCAUCAGAAAUUGUCUGGGCCCCUGGGGGCCUGCCUCCAAAUCCCGCCCACAGGAAUACACACACACACACACAGACACAGAUACACACACUGAAAGAUACACACAUACUAACAGACAUAAAUACUGAAACAGACAUACACACUGUAACGAGAAUAUACCCCUACACGCAGGAUCCAGCUAAACAGAGGCAAAUACAGAGGAGAGAUACGUCUACCGGACCUUAGAAUGCCCGGACUCGACGUAUAUGAGAGGAGACAGAGCCAGGAACAAACCGAGGUCAAGGGCACAGAGAGACAGCGUAAACUAGGACAAGCCGGGGUCUGGUACACGGAAAACAGCAAGCCGGCAAACAGUACAGAUAAGGAUAAAGCGAAAACGAAGUCAGAAUAUGAAGCCAAAGUCAAUACGAGAAAACACAACUGAACACCACAAGCGCUAAAGGGAACUGAAACAGAAACCACGAUAGGGCAACGAGCUAAGGGAAAAAGGUAAGUUAAAUAGCUUUUAAACCAAAGUGAUUGGCUCCUGUCACUUCCACACCCCCUAUAGGUAAUUGUACAGGGAGUGUGGUAUGACAGGAGCCAAUGGGAGCCUUUUGGCAAUUAGGCUCCCACUGUCUCUUUAAGAGUGACUGGCCGUCACUUCCUCCCAUCAGCCCUUGUGGUGCAGCCGCAAUUUUUUUUUUUUUUAAAGGGACCCGGUCGUGCUAUUACGUGGCCGCAGCGCUGACCGGGCCCCUGAAGAUAUAGGGCCCAUCGGUGGCCCUAAAUGCUUGGGCCAUCUGAUGGGCCCCGGUACAGAUGCACCUGCAGCAGUUUCGCCGCUCCACGUGGGGCCCUGGGUGGCCAGGCCCCCCAGCCUGUGACAACCGUCAUGGUUGUCACCUCCUGAUGGUGGCCCUAAAGAAACCCACAGGCCACUUAUACAGUCGUGCUCAAAAGUUUGCAUACCCUUGGAGCAUUGGUAGUAUAUGUACAAUUUUUAAAGAAAAUAUGAGUGGGCAGGCAAAACACAUUUCUUUUAUUUCGGAUGGCAUUCAGAAUUAACUGUAGGUUAUACAGGGCCAGACUGGGGAUACAAAGCAGCCCUGAAAAAAAAAAUAUAUAUAUGCCAACCCCAAAAGUCAGUGUGCCAUAUAUUGUCGCAUUUAAUAUGUAAGGCUAUGUCUUGCCACCCCAGAUGAUUGAGUAAUUUAUAUUUAUAUUUAUUUAUAUAUAUAUUUUAAUAAUACACACAUUUUAUUUCUUAUAGAUAGUAUCAGAUGGAUUUUAGAAAAUAAUUAUUUUAAUUUUAAUUUUAAAUUUUAUCUACAACUACAAGGUACGGCUAUGGGGACCAGGUUCGCCCCUAGUUACGCUAAUUUAUUUAUGUCAGGUUGGGAAUCGGAAGUUAUUUAUAAUAGCCAUAAUUGGGGGACGAAUCUGGUCUCCUACCAUAGAUAUAUCGAUGAUAUAUUUUUUAUAUGGAAGGGCACACAAUUGGAUUUAGAACUUUUUUUAACAAGUAUCAAUUCAAAUGAGUGGGGUUUACAUUUUAGCAGUUCUUUUAGCAGUCAAAAUAUUCAAUUUUUAGAUUUGGAAAUUUAUGAAGAAGCCGGCAUUUUAAAAACAAAUUUUUUUUUUAAAAGUAGAUGCCAAUAGCUAUGUACUAUAUAAUAGCGGGCAUUACACCCCCUGGCUCAAUAAUAUUCCAAAAGGCCAAUUACAAAGGAUAAGAAGGAACUGCACCGAACAGAAUGUUUUUGAAGAACAAGCAAAAAUAAUAGACAAAUUCUCCCAAAAACAAUAUCCCACUGACAUACUAUGUAGAGCAUAUGAGGAAACAAAAGACCUGGAGCAGAAUCAAUUGGUUUUUAGAGAAAGUAAUUACAAUAAAAUACAAGGGAAAUUUGAUAAGGUACCUUUAGUUUUAGAUUUUAAUCAGGAUUUUAAAAGAGUGAAAUCUAUUAUUAACAAACAUUGGCACCUUCUAAAAAAGGAUAGAGAACUAUCGGCAAUUAUUCCAGAGAAACCUUUUAUCACUUUUAGAGGUGCACCUAGCCUAAAGCAGAUUUUGACUUUCAAUCACCCAAGAAAGGAGGCACCCGAUACGUUUUUAAGUGUGAAUAGAAAAGGUUUCUAUUCAUGUGGAAAAUGUGUAGGAUGUAAAUGUAGCAAAAAUAAUACUAUAAAAGGUAUUAGUAAAUUCAAGACAAAAUAUACAACAGAAGAAUAUAUCAUUAAGGAUUUUAUUACUUGUUUUACUAAAAACAUUAUAUACCUUUUAAUAUGUCCAUGCGGACUCCAAUAUGUGGGCAGAACUAUUCGCCCUUUACAUAAGAGAAUUUAUGAACAUGUCAAUAAUAUUCGAAAAGGCAUAGACCAUCAUAGUGUGUCCGCUCAUUUUAAAAAAUAUCAUAAUAAAGAUCCUAGUGGCCUCACAUUCUUAGGAAUUCAAAUUGUUAAAAAACCAUGGCGAGGAGGUAACUUCAUUCAAUGUAUAGGAAAAGAAGAGAUGAAGUGGGUUCACACACUGGAGACCCUUGAACCAAAAGGUCUUAAUAUUGAAUUUGAUUUAUAUAAUUUUAUUAUGUGAAUUUUAUAUUUUAGAUGAAUUUUUUAUCUGAGAAUAAUUACUCUCUCUUCUUUCCACUCAUUAGUAGGUGCAAUUGCAUUUAUGUAUUUUAAUGGAGGAUUCUUUCUUUUUAGAUUUUAUAUGUUUAGUAUAGUUAAUAUGUUUAUGACAUUUCAUGAUUUUGUUUGGGACAUGUAUGUACUUUUAUUAUUAUGUAUAUUAUUAUUUUUUUGCCAUAUUUUUUUGCCAUAUUCCAUUUACUGCUUGGGACUUCUUUAUAUAGAUAUUUAGGGGAUCUACCCCGUUCAUAUGAGACUUUGGCCAUUCAUUUACAUAUUUCACGCCCACAAUGUGGGCUUUAAAAGUCAGGACCAGCUGUAUUAGGACGUGAUCUGAGGAAGCCUUUUCUGGGCGAAACGCGUCAUCACGUUCGCAUACGACGUCAUCACGUUAUCACGUGACCGCACGGAGCUCCAAACCCGGAAGUGCCCUGUAUAGUGCCGCGAGUUGCAGAGAUUGUGAACCCUGGUGUGUUCAUUUCUUCAAGUAUCUAAUGGGACACUGGCCUUCUAUGGGGGAAAAGGAGUUUUUGUAUUUGGAAGAAAUAAAUAUCGUUUGAUUCAGCUGGCGUCCUGCUCUUCACUGUCAUCAAAUCCCUGUGUUGUGGAUUACAUGCUGAAAAGUUAGAGCAGACUUUCACUGCUCUUUCCUUGUGAGUUUUAUUCCAUUUCUCUUGGCUGUUUUUAUGUUAUUUGAAACAGUAUUAUGCUAUAUGCUUUCUCUUUUUUAUGUACCAUACCAUAUGCAUUUUACAUUGAGACAUAUUUCCCUACUGUAAGUGACCAUUUAUAUAUUUUUUUAUCACUCUUCACUUGCAAGUUUUGCACAUUUAUUAUAUUGAGUGUGAUUUUAUUGAAUAUACACUUUUCAUUGCACGAUUUUUUUUGCACUUGUUGCACUUUAAAUUUUAAAGGUACAGCGCACCUUUUUUUGUUUUAUAUCCUUUGUAUGGUGUUUUUUGAGCUUGUGCACUUUUAGGUGCUGCUCUACCUUUAUUCUUAAUAUUUGCACUGAUACAUUUAUAUUUUUAGCGCCUAUAUUGCUUGUUUGUUUGUUUUUUUAUAUAUAUAUAUAUAUAUAUAUUUUUUUUUUUUAUUUUUUUUUAUAUAAAAUAUUGGUCCUUUCAGAGUAAAUAUUUAAUUAUACAGUAAGCAUACUCACAUGCAGACACAGACAGAAUCUCACUGACACACACAAGCUCAUUGAUACACAGCCUCAUAGACAAAUAGUCUCACAUAUAUACAUAAGCUCAUUGACAUAAAAACACAAGCUCACUCACUAGCAGGCACACACACACACAAAUGCAAGCAAGCUCACUCACUAGCAAGCGCACAUACACACACAGCGCUUAAUGUAGUGGUUCUAGUGUAUAUAGCCUGUCCCUGCAGGCUUUUCAGUGUAAACACUGACUUUUCAGAGAAAAGGCAGUGUUUACAUUGCUUCCUAGUGACACCUCUAGUGACAGUCACUCAGACUGUCACUAGAGGUGCUUCCUGUUUCAGUGCUGCACAGUGUGCAGCACCUACAUUCUGAGCCUUCAGGCUAUGGAGGCGCUGAACGUUCCCCAUAGAGAUACAUUGAUUCAAUGCACCUCUAUGAGGAGAUGGUGAUUGGUGUAGAGUUUUGCAGCCAAUCCUAUGGCACAGCAUUAGAUUAGCUGAGAUCAUCAAUUUAGAAAAUUUCAGCCAUAGAGACAGGGCUUGUUAAGGAGAGACCAACACGGCAUGGGGAAAAACACUAUUUUUAAACACAAACCUUGACAGACACACACACACACACACACCUUGACAAACACGCACACCUUGACAGACACACAGAAACACACACAUACCAUGACAGACACACACAGAAACACUCACACAGACUGACAUUUUUACCAGUCGUGCAGGGCAGAAAGCUGGGUAUGAUGGCGGCCGAUGGGGGAGCUCUGAUGAAGGGCAUUGGCCGUUACUGGGCGAGCUGUGCUGUCACUGCUCUGCUCCUCAGCACGCAGCUCAAUGAGACUAGGGCUGGAAUAUGACGUCAGGGCGGGGGGAGCAGAGCAGUGACAGCACAGCUCCCCCAGCGGCCGCCAAUGCCCUCCAUCAAAGCUCCCCCAGCAGCUGCCAUCACACCCAGCUGUCUGCUCUGCCCCAGGUGCCGACGGCCCAUAGGGAAAUUUCCCGGUAUAUAUCGGUGGGCCAGUCCAGCCCUGAGGUUAUAACAAAAUGGUACAAUCAUAAAACAAAACAUGGCAACAAAUGAAAAAAUGAAAUGACCCCUGUUCAAAAGUCUGCAUACUGUAUAUUGCCCCCUUUAGCAUCAAAGACAUCGUGCAGUCCUUUGUAAUAGUGGUCUAUGAGGGCCCUAAUUCUUGCAGGUAGUAUAGCUGCCCAUUCGUCUUGAUAAAAUACCUCCAGGUCAUGCAAAGGCUUUGGUCAUUUUGCAUGAACCGCACAUUUGAGAUCUCCCCAGAGUGGCUUGAUGAUAUUAAGAUCUGGAGACUGAGAUGGCUACUCCAGAGCCUAUACCUUUUGUUCAGUAUCUAUCCUGCUCAGCGCAUCCAUGUGAGAGCGAACAAACUCAUUGACUAUAUAUACACAGACAGUAAUUACAAUUUAAAAAGCCACAGAUGUGGUAAAUUAACCUUUAAUUGCCAUUUUAACCUGCGUGUUUUACCUUGUGUGGUUGUAACAAGGCCAAACAUUCAAGGGUAUGUAAACUUUUGAUCAGGGCCAUUUAAGUGAUUUCUAUUAUCAUUAUGAUUAAAAAAGGAGCCAAACAACUAUGUGAUAAUAAAUGGCUUCAUAUGAUCAUUAUCCUUCAAUAAAAGACAUUUUACUUUGCAUGUCAUAUUUUCAAAGUCAAUGCCAAAAUGUCAAAACUUUUGCUGUGGUAUGCAAACUUUUGAGCACAACUGCACAUUAAAUGGGGAUGAAUUGGAGAUAAUAUUAAAUGAAAGGAUUUUGGAAAAAUUUGCUCUUGUGCAUAACAAGGGGUUUUGAUUUAUGUGAUCAAAAUGAAAUUUUGCCUCUUUAGUAAUCAAUGGUAAGACCCCACCUUGAAUAUGUGGUAAAUUUUGGGCGCCAGUUUUAAAGAGAGAUAUUGCAGAACUAGAAAAAGUGCAUAGGUACACUACAAAAUUAAUUAGGGGAAUGGAAAACAUAGUUAUGAGGAAAAGAAGAAAAACUACAUGUGUAUCCUUUAGAAAAAAAGGCAUCUUAGAGGGGCUACGAUAUCACUACACAAAUAUAUACAGUGUCAGUACAAACCGCUAUGUGCGAACCUUUUUAUUAGCAGGAAUAUUCAAUAGACAAGAGGUCAGCCAUUGAGACUGGAAGAAAGACAUAUUUGCUUAUAAUAGAGGGAAGUAUUCUUUACACUAAGAAGACUAAAGAUGUGGAUUUCUCUGCCUAAUGAGGUUGUGUUGUCAGAUUCAAUGAAAAUAUUAAAAAAAAUAAAGGCUUGAAUGUUUGUCAUAAACAGAAUAUUCAAGGAUAUAAUUGAUAUGUAUGUAAACAGGUUGUUGAUCAAAGGUGAAAUCUGAUUGCCAUAAGGAGUCAAGAAUCAAUGUAUUCCCUUUUUGUGACAUAAUUGGAAAUGGCUACAAUUGUUUUUUUCAUUCUUUUGGAUAAACAGCAUAAAAGAAUGGGUUUCAAGGUUAAACUUGAUGGACAUUUUUCAAUCUAGAAAACUAUGUAACUAUAUUGCCUUCACGUUAUUUUUUUGUCUUUAUCAUAUAUGUAGAAAGAAAUACCGUACCCCUUACAAUGUUGCAAGGUUCACUGCUGAAGUACAUUAUCGGAAUAGAGUGUCCCUUUAAGAAGCUGUGAGAAUGGUACAAUGAAAAUUAUGACACGCAUUGGUAAGGAUCUCUAAUAUCUAGCUGAUCCAGUUUAGGAGAAUGUCAACCAUAAUUCCCAGGUUACAAAGCUGUGAUGUGCUGUAAUAUUUAGGUCUCCUUUAUGAUCUCAAAUUAUAUGACUGCAUUUAAAGGUCAACAUGACCUUCUAAAACACAAUGGCACAUUUAUAGUUGAGGUUAUUUGUAAAAGAAGAGGCCAAUUCUCCAGAGAGACGCAGACUUCAUGAACCUGGAUUAAUUAAUGUGAUAAGUUUAUUAAAAAGGAAUAAUACACCAAAGAGCAUUUAAAAAUGUGGACAAAAUGAAGUACUUGGGAGUUCCUGCCAUGGCCUGAUCCCUUUAUCACAUCAAGAAUUCUACUUUUACAAAGAAAAUAGCCCACGUUUCCUCCAUUUUCAGCAUAUAAUAGCUUUAACCAGCUACAGCCCCACAGUGCAAUAUGUGCCAGCCGUUUGAGUUUAGCCAGAACAUAGAAUAUGACCAUAAAUCUAAGAGGGUUUAUUUUAAUCCUGUUAAUUAUAGGUUUUUGGAUAAUGAAUGACCUUCAAAAAGAGAACUUGGCCUUCCAGUGCAGGUUCUGUCUCAAACAAGCCAGAGUUUGAAAACAUGGGGAACUAAUUUUCCCAAGUGUGAAUUUUGGUAGUGAAUCCUUAUAGUAAUUAUAGUUGGUGUUUUGAUGAUUUUGUCUAAAGGAAAGGUGAGCUUGCAUAAAAUAAACUUUGUUUCUUGUACCCAGUAACUAUGUAACUGCCCAGGAAUAUUCCCAGGGAACCUGUACUAAUUUAUUGUCAGUGGUAUCACAGAAUGGUUAAAGAGAGCGAUCGCUCCUCCUGCUUCUAGCAGCUGGAGAUGUCUCUCCCAACCCAGGACCCGUCAUCUCCUCUACUCACACUAGUCAACCAGAAAUCACACAAACUUCAUCCCAAUACCAUGCCGUCUAUCCACAUCUACCAAUAUGCAGUAUGCUCUCUGGAGUGCCCGCUACAUCUGUAGCAAUAUAAAAUCAACAGCCAUACACAACCUCUUCAUUUCAAAUUCUUUCACACUUCUUGCACUCACUGAGACCUGGCUUUCCCCUUUUGAUACUGCUACUCCUGCUUCCUUAUGUUAUGGUGGGCUACAAUUCUCCCACACUCCUAGAUCAAACAACUGUAAAGGAGGUGGUGUAGGAAUCCUCUCCCAUCAACAUACCUUUCAACCUAAGCUCCCUGCCCCUGCCCUAUCCUUUACUUCCUAUGGAGUUCACACUGUCUGUCUAUUUAAACCCACUCCUCUGAGAAUUGCCCAUUCAUUUAACACUUUUCUUCAUGGCUACCCCAUUUCCUCCCCUCUUGCACUCCUUCCCUCAUACUUGGGUACUUAAUACCCCAAUCAACAACCCUAACUGCCCUAAUGCCUCUCAUCUGCUCGCUGUAACCUCCUCUGGUGGACUCACACAGUGGUCUAAUUCAUAAACUCAUACAGCAGGAAACACUAUUGACCCCAUCUUCAUCAAUCUCUGUACCAUCUCUAAUCUCUCCAAUGUUCCAUUUCCUCUGACCACUAUCUGCUGUCCAUUGACAUUUGCAUAACCCGUACCCAAAGUACACCACCCUCACCACAUCAGUCUUGCAGAAACCUCCAUUGUCUUGACCUACAGCAAUUCUCCACCAACCUUCAAAGUUUCCUUUCACCCAUCUCAAAUCUCACCUGCCCUAACACUGCAACCUCCCUCUAAAACUCCACUCUCUCCUCUCAACUAGACAUCCUGGCACCACCUACACUUAUGCGCACUAAGCGCCCCCAAUUACAACCGUGGCACACCAAGCUGACCCGAUACCUCCAAAAAUGUUCUAAAACUGCUGAACGCUGCUGGAGAAAGUCUCACUCUGCAUCUGAUUUCCUCCACUCUAAGUUUAUGCUGCGCUCCUACAGUCUGGCUCUUUCACCUUCAAAAGAAAACUACUUCAAUACACUCAUAACCACAUUCUCACAUGAGCCCAAAUGACUGUUUCAUGCUUUUAACUCUCUUCUUCCUUGAAUCCAACUCUCUCUGCUUUCAAUCUGGGUUUCGCCCUCGUCACUCUGUUGAAACAGCUGUGACCAAAGUAUCCAACGAUAUCAUCACUGUAAAAUCCCAUGGCCAUUACUCUAUCCUAAUUCUCCUCUACCUUUUUGCUGCUUUUGACACUGUUGAUCAUCAACAGCUUAUUCUAAUCCUCCGUAAUCUCAGUCUACGAGAUACCGCUCUCUCCUGGUGCUCUUUCUACCUCUCCCAGUACUCAUUCAGUGUUUCAUUCUCUGGCUCUGCCUCUUCUCCCCAAUCCCUCUCUGUUGGUGUUUCCCAAGUGCCUAUCCUCUGCCUCUUCUCCCCAAUCCCUCUCUGUUGGUGUUUCCCAAGUGCCUAUUGUUCUCAAUCUACACUGCCUCCCUUGGUAAACUCAUCAGCUCCUUCGGCUUCCAGUAUCAUUUCUAUGUGGAUCACACACAAAUUUAUCUGUCCUCCCCUGAUUUGCUAUUUCCAGCUGGAUGACUGCUCAUUUCCUUAAACUGAACCUGUCCAAAACAAAACUUCUGGUCUCCCUCAAGUGUUGCUACUCCCUUGUCUGUGUCCCUCCAAGUCAAUGGCGCUACCAUCCGCUCUACCUCUAAGGCUCGCUGCCUCAGUGUUCUCUUUGACUCCGACCUCUCCUUCACCUCUCAUGUUCAAUCAAUCCCCAAAUCCUGCCGCUUUCAUCUCAAAAAUAUUGCACGCAUCAGACUCUUUUUAACGCCUGAUACAGCAAAGGUGCUUGUCCAUGCCGCUGUCCUCUCUCGUCUUAACUACUGUAAUCCGCUUCUCAGUGGUUUUACGUGUUCCCAUUUUGCCAUGUUACAGUCUAUAAUUAAUGUGGGCUCGUCUUCCUGUCUGCCCGCACCUCCCACGCCUCCUCGCUUUGUCAGUCCCUACAUUGGCCCUGCGUAAGGUAUGGGACUCAAUUUAAGAUCCUGAUACUUGCUUACAAAUCGUUUCCCAAUGCUGCUCCAACAUACUUAUCCUCACUAAUACACAAAUAUGCCCCAUCUAGGCCUCUACGCUCUGCCGGAGACCUAUGUCUAACCUCUGUUCAUACCCCUACCUCUGAUGCUCACGUUAAAGACUUCUCUAGGGCUGCACCGUUCCUAAGGAACGCAAUUUCCCUCUCUGUUAGACUUUCACCCAAUCUCCACUCCUUCAAAAAAGCUUUGAAAACUUACUUCUUUAGGAAAGCAUAUCAAUUAAACUGUGAACAGCUUUCCCUCCCCGCACCCUCAUUCAGCACCUGAAACGGUCAUCAAAACAAAACACUAUCCUAGCAACCUACUUUUCUACCCUACCCUUACCUUUUGUGUCACAUUACCCCACUCCCUCUAGAAUGUAAGCUCAUUGAGCAGGGCUUUCAAUCCCUCUGUUCCUGUGUGUCACGAUUCUGGAACCUAACACGCUAACUGGAUACAGAGAGGAAAGAUGCUAUACCGGUCCUUAGAGUGGCCGGGCUAAGCACACUAAGAAUGGUCAGGACCCCUGUCGGAUACGAUAUCCUGUGGUAUACCAUGCAAGCGGAACACCUCUUUGGCAAAUACUUGAGCCAACUGAACUGCAGAAGGUAGUUUCUUAAGUGGAAUAAAGUGUGCCAUUUUAGAGAACCUAUCGUUCACAGUCAAAAUUACUGUCUGUCCACCAGAUGAAGGAAGAUCUACAAUGAAGUCCAUGGAUAAGUGGGUCCAUGGUUUCUUGGGCACGGAUAGAGGCAUUAGGAGUCCCAGGGGUUUAACAUUAGGGGACUUACACUGUGGGCAAACACGACAAGCCUGCACAAAAUCCACUAUGUCUUGCUUAAGUGAGGGCCACCAAAAUUGUUGAAGGAGACCCUUGUAUGUUUUUGGUUCUAGAUCGGUCAACCACCUUAUAAUAAAGGUUAUAUCAUUAUUUACAAGCAAGCAAUUAAGAGUUUACUGAAGCAAAGCUAUGGAGUAAUUUUGAGAGUGUAUUCGGACAUAAUAUCUAUUUUAUUUAACAUAUGGAUCAAAAUUAAACAUUUACAUUUUUCAUGUGCUCAGGAUUUUAAUUUUACCCACUUACAUUAAUACAGAGUGAAUAGCUUUCAGACUGAGUAAAUGUGCUGGAGAGCGAAAAAUGAAUAAGCGACUGCUUAAUGUGCCUACAUCUGCUCUCAACGCAUCUCUGAAUUAGCAAAAUCUAUUUUAUAGAAAAAUGAAAUGUGAGUGAAAGACAAAAAAAACAUAGAUACAUACAUAGGAUGUAGUAAGAAUGUGUUCAAUGGUCAAUGCUGUGCAAAAUGAUUGACACUUUAUAAGGACCUAAAAAAACAAAACACCUGUUAUAGUAAAAUUGUCAGGAGGAUUGGAGAUAAGAUUAGAAUGAGAACAAAUCACAAUAAAAAGCAAAUCUGAUUGCGUAAUCUAGAAUUGUCCAAAUAUCAGACAGCAAGGUCCAUAUACAGGUAGGAUAAGCAAGGAUCAAAGUCAAGGUAGAAAGAAGAUCCACAAUGUAUAACUGAGGCAAAUCCACGAACAUAGAAAAAAAACAAAGCCAAUGGUCAUAUGUAAACUUCAUAGCAGGUAACACACUAAGUGCAAUUGCUCAGAUAGUUCGGUGCAUUUACAGGGGAAGCCUAUUUAGGCCACAUUCCCUGCUCUCAACUCCAGGAGCAGAAUUAGGGAAUGCACCCUCAGUACUUUACUGAGAGGGUAGUGCAUGCAUGGAAUAGCCUUCAAGCUGAAGUGGUAGAGGUUAACACAGUGAAGGAGUUUAAGCAUGCAUGGGAUAGGCAUAGCCUAUCCUAACUAUAAGAUAAGGCCAGGGACUACUGAAAGUAUUUAGAAAAUUGGGCAGACUAGAUGGGCCAAAUGGUUCUUAUCUGCUGUCACAUUCUAUGUUUCUAUGUUUAGGAACCAUGACCCCAUUGGGCGCCCUGCUCCUCCUCGGGAAGUGUGCCACCCACGAAGGAGAGUGGGAUCACCGCUAGAUCUCCGUCUGUCAUGGAGUAUCUGGACCAGAGCUGCAGCUUUGAGGGCACCUCAGUCAUCAGACUGCGAGGGAGGUGGGAAAAGGUAUGAGCUGGUGUGACGAAAAAAAAAUGGUGAAGUAGCAGAAAAAAAAUUAUUACAAUUUAUAUGGUGAUCAAACUCAGAAUGUUUUAUAUACACCAACAACCUUUGCUAGGUGCUUAAAAUUAAUAGAGAGGUGGGUACAGAAUUGCUGCUAUAAAAUGUCAUAGUAAUACAUAAUAAAUACAUUAAAAGUUUUACAUUACAACUACCCGGCACUUAACAGCUGAAAUAAUAUGAGAGACAUAGUGAGAGAUAAUGAGAGAGAGAAUGAGAUAGUGGGGAUGGUCAGAUACAAAAACUGGACAGAUAUGAAAAGAAUGAGGCAAAAUAUAGACCAAGAGAAUGCAUAAAAAGACAGCUACACAAAGCAAAAAAUAUCCAGCAGCAUAUAUAACUAUAGGAUUAAUACUUGGUAUUUUCUGUACCCAAUUUAAACCUUGGUUUCCCACAUGAUUUACCUACAAAAAUGGUCUAUAGCUUUAACUAUAUUUUUGUAGAUAAAUAAUUUAAAAGAAAUAUCUAACAGUGUUGAAUCGUUUGGAAAGUUUAUUGAAGCAAGGUUUAACAUACCUGUCUUUGUAAAGAACCUGGAUAAGGACAGUAGAAAAGAAAUACUAAAUAGAUAUAAAAGAGGAUUGACAACUCAAGAGCCAUUUACUGUUACAUUUCCGUGCAUAGUUUCUAUUCUCUUUUGCAUGCAGUAAUCCCGUCAUCAUUGAGCCUUUUGUUGAGAUCAGCUGACUGAUGACAGACAUUUGAAUUGCUGACAAUAACUUCUACAUUAUCCGUCUCUGUAUUCUAAUGCUUACACCAAGGCCUCUUUCUCCUCAAAGACUCAUAUGCCAAUUGCAAUAAAAGAACAGAUCAUUGACUGACAGUCUUGGGGAGAGUUUUAGUCAUUAUUUUAAGUCUGUACAGCUCUUGCAAAUCUUUUUUUUCCCCCUCCCCAACGUAGACAAGACUUUUGUAUCUUUCUUUUUGUCAUAAUCUGUGACCUCCUUAACCUAGAUAUUGGAUAUGUUCUUUGAUUUUAGCAGGAUGUCAUGAUGUCCAGCUAUAAGCAAAUCUAUAACACCAGAGCUGAGACCUUAACUCUCCAUAUAGCUACAAUGAUUCCUUGCCCGUAUUUCACAGAAAACUUCUGUUUUUGCAUCACAUGAGUUUCAUUUUAAACACUAUUAACCAAACUGUGUAAAAAAAAAAAAAAAAAACCAUUAAAAAAAAAAUCAAAAAAAAAAAAUCACUUUUUUCACUUUUGAUGUUGACCUCAGUGGGUUUUGAACGAUGUUACAAAAGUCAGCCAAGUAUUACACUUUUCCAUACUCUUAUGGGUCUUUACUAACUAGCAGAAAACGUUUUUUACAUUUAAGAACAGAGUAUCAUCACCUGUAGUAUCUACUACCAACUGCAAAAAGGUUGAAAAAACCACUUUCAGUUUGUUACUAUUAAAGGGACACUAUAGUCACCUGAACAACGUUAGCUUAAUGAAGCAGUUUUGGUGUAUAGAACAUGCCCCUGCAGCCUCACUGCUCAAUCCUCUGCCAUUUAGGAGUUAAAUCCCUUUGUUUAUGAACCCUAGUCACACCUCCCUGCAUGUGACUUGCACAGCCUUCCAUAAACACUUCCUGUAAAGAGAGCCCUAUUUAGCUUUCUUUAUUGCAAGUUCUGUUUAAUUAAGAUUUUCUUAUCCCCUGCUAUGUUAAUAGCUUGCUAGACCCUGCAAGAGCCUCCUGUAUGUGAUUAAAGUUCAAUUUAGAGAUUGAGAUACAAUUAUUUAAGGUAAAUUACAUCUGUUUGAAAGUGAAACCAGUUUUUUUUUUUUCAUGCAGGCUCUGUCAAUCAUAGCUAGGGCUGCAUAAACAGAAACAAAGUGAUUUAACUCCUAAAUGACAGUGAAUUGAGCAGUGAAAUGAAUGAUCUAUACACUAAAACUGCUUUAUUUAGCUAAAGUAAUUUAAGUGACUAUAGUGUUCCUUUAAUUCCUUCAUAACACAGCUUUGUACAAAGUUCACUAAAUGUUACAACUGAGGAAGGAACUAAACAAACACUUUUUAUCCUUUGGAAAAUAGGGGAAAGGCAAUUCCAAUCAACAACAGGGCCAGCGCUACCAUUAGGAGAAUAAGGCCUUCGCCUUGGGUGCCAGCCUCUGAGGGGAGCCCACUGGAAGGAUUCCUGUUGGGCUGUCUUGCUGCUGUCUGCUCCUUAGCCACUCCCCAGCACAGCCAUUUAGCUGCUGGGCUCCCUCUGCUGUCACUUUCCUGCUAGGGAGCGGGGUAUGCUGUAGGCCGAGCAGAGCACAGUGCUUCCUGCAAGCAGGGGAAGCCGGGACAUGACUUCAUAAAGUCGCUGCCCCCUGCCUGUGAACACCAGAAGCACUCUGAUGGGAGCAGGAAGCAAACUGUGCUCACAGUGCAUGGCUCUCCUGCUCCCCGCACCAGGAACAACAGCAGCUACCAGCAGGCUGGACUUCUCUCCCUCAUUCACAGCACUUAUGAAUGGUCCAUCUGAAGGUAAGUGGAACUGAUUAGGAGUAUGAGUGUAUGAUGGCAAAUUGGUCUGUGUGUAUUGAAUUGCUGUGUUUGAGUGUGUAAAUAAAGUGUGACUAUCUGUAAAGUGGUAUGAGUUUGUGCUUGAGUAACAGUGUGGGUUAGUGAGUGUGUAAGUGGCACUGUGAAUGUCACCGAGUGUGUGUGUGUGUGUGUGUGUGUGUAAGUGAAACUGUGUGUGUAAGCGAAACUGUGUGUAUGUCAGUGAUGGACAUUGUGUAUAUCAGUGAAAGUGUGUAAGUGACACUGUAUCACUGUAUGCUAUUGAGAGUGUGUAAGUGACACUGUAUGUUAGUGAGAGUGUGUGUCAGUGAGAGUGUGUGUUAGUGAGAAUGUGUAUUUAUGUCAAAGUGUGAGUGACAGUGUAUGUGACCAUGUAAAUAGAUACUUUUAUAUUAAAUUAUAUUUAUAAUGUAUAUUAAUAGCAUUCUAUAUUAAACCGAAAAAAUGUUCACAGUAACAAAUUUAAUCCCAAUAUUAUUACAAAUUAAAUACCACCAAGUGCACCAAGUGCAUUGAAAAACAGUGUAUGGAUAUAUGUUUUAGGCAGUAUGUGUCUAUUGAUGUAUGCAUUAGACAGUACGUGUGUAUUGAUCUAAACAUUAGGUAGUAUGAGUGUAUGUAUUAGGCGGUGUGUGUAGAUUUAUGUAUUGGGCUGUGUGCGUAUGGUUUGAUAGUAUGGAAUAGGCAGUCUGUGUGGAUGGAUGGAUUAGGCAGUGUGUAUACAUAGAUGCAUAUACUGGCUGAGUGUUUCUACGCAGUGUGUUUUCUACCCUUCAUCACUUAAAUAAAUAAUGGAUUGAUUACUGAAGACAAAACUAUAUAAAGAAAUGUUACCCAGAUACCUCAACAGCAUUCCAUUACAUUUCACAAAAGUAAAGCAAAGUGGAAAUUAUACCAUAAAGGGCUUCAAAUAAGUCCCAUGAUACUAACCGGGCCUUAAAAGCUACUAGCCACUGCAAGGCAUGCCAUACACACCACGGCUACAUUUUCUGUCGUCAAAGGCAAGUUGCAAGUGAAAAUUUUAAGCCAUUGUUGCACAGUCAUGGAUCCUUACUAUCAGUCUCUUCCUCUUUCUUUGCCUCUUAUUAUUCCUGUUUCUACUUUGUUUUUCCUUUCAUUGCUUUUACACUGGAAGCCACAGUAUUGGUCAUCCUACAAGUGUUCUCACUUCCCAAAGAAAGGUUGCCAAUUACUUAUUUUGCUGUAGAUGCCUACAUUUCACGCUGUGAAACCUGCUACCAUUAUAUAAAUAACCUUUAUUACUUUGAACAAGCUGGUUUCAUGUCUGUUAUUUUUCCAUGCUUUGUAGUAUAUCUUUUGCAGAAAACCAAUAAAAAUUCAUAUUUGGAAAAAAAAAAAAGCAGACUUGGGGUUAGACUAAUGAUUUGUAGACAUGAGUGGAAUGAAGAACUAAAUGUAAUUUUGUUUUAUGGUUAAAACGGUUUUGGGAACUUAUGUUAAUUAGUGAGAUUUGAGUGAUUCAAGAUUAAUUUUUUUUACUAAAAUGUAAUUCUGAGAUAAAGCUACUACCCUCAUGAAUAAAUUGGUAAAAAAAAAAAAAAAAUGUCUAUGUUAGAUGCAUUUUGGAAAAUAUAAAACUACAUAUAAAAAUAAAGAGAACAGCAGAUAGUUAAAAAGUAACAAGGCCAAUUAAGUUGCAAAUUAGAUUUAAUGUAGAUAAGAGCAAAGUUAUGCAUUUUGUGAUGAGGAACAUACAGGCAAGUUAUAACCUAAAUUAUAAUGAGUUAGGAAAAACAAUACAUGAAAAGAGAUAUAGUUAACAGCCUAGACCAGGGGUAGGCAACCUUUUAGCAGCACUGUGCCGAAAUAGAAUUGUGAUGUCCCGUAGUGUGCCGGUCCAAUUUUCUUAUAAUUGAGGUGUGUAUGUUGCCAUAUUCUGCUUGUGUUAUUUAUACUGCAGCUGCUUUGUAUAGUUGUAUUUGUGCGUGUAUGAGCUAUUAUAUUGUAUAUGUUCUUGAGUAGGUUGUGGUAUCGUGUGAUACAUGUGAAUGUGGGCUGUGUAUGGGGGCUGCUUGUGGAAUUGUGUGUAUGGGGAUAUGUCACAUUGUGUGUUCAGUGUGUUUGUGGGAUUGCUUGUGAUUUUGCAUGUGAGUGGCUACUUGUGGGGUUUUGUGCAUGUAUGUGCAUUGUUAGUGGUGUUACGAUUGUGCGGAUUGUGUGUAUGGGCUGUUAGUAUUAUUUGUAUGAGUGGAGAGUUAUUCUGCAGCUCUGUGUAUAUCUAACAGUGUGGGUUGCUUCCCUGAGGACCAGGCUGGCCAGGUGCAGGUCAAGGACAGGAGCUGCAACAGCGGGCUGCUCUACUACAGUGUGAAUUUCCAUUCAUAAGUGCUGGAAUGAAGUGAUCUGAGAUCACUUCCACUAUAUGCUGCAAUGCAUAAAUUGAGGAUUGUCCUUCACCACCUUUUCAUAUUAGCAGAUAUCUGAAGUUUCACUGGGACUCCUGAUAGGCCAGAGCCUGUUUGGCUCUUGCAGCCUUGAGUGCCAUGCAAAGACACCUCGAGUGCCGUGCAUGGCACACAUGCCAUAGGUUGCCUACCCUUGGCUUAGGUAAUAAUGUGAAAAGUCAGUCAUGAGUUGCUAAGGCCAGUAAUGUGUUGUCAUGCAUAAAAAGGGGUAUUACCGUGCAAGAUGAUAAUAUAAAUUUUGUCUCUUUCUAAAAUAAUAGUAAAAUCCAACUGUAAUAUAUAGUUUAAUUUUGGACUCACAUAGAAAGGUAUUAUAGAGCUAGAUAAAAUGCAGAAGCAGACUACAAAAUGUAGAAGGAGAAUGAAAGAUUUUAGCUAUGAAGAAAGUCUAGUAAAAUUGAACUUGUUCACUUCAGUAAAUAAAUUGUGUAACAGGGGAUACGACCCCAUUAUUUAAUGAUAUAAAUAAUUUAAUUAUAAACAGCUCUCUGUUUAUUAAUAGGACUAUACAAAAGACAAGAGGUCAACAACUUGAACAUAACAAAAAAUAAAUGUCAUCUACG
rnacentral:lncRNA from 1 species